CACAAGGAACUUUCUCCUUAAAUUUUCAUUCAUGCAUGCAGACUAUAAAUAUCGACCUCUCUAGCUUUCAAUUACAACUUAACAUUAGAAAUUGGCUUUAGUCACCACAUCUUUUCUGUCACUAAUCCUUUGUUUUUCGGUAGUUCCGUCAUUCAUCCUUUCAAAACUUGCUCCGACUUCGAAUUUCUUACAUAUAUCAAUGGGAAAUAGUGAAGCAAAACAGCAAGAACGUCGCAUGCAUUACGAAUUUCCGGCCUCUCAUCCUCCAAACACUUCACUUCCGAGCCAUGAUCAUACUCGCUAUACGAAUAGUAGCCAGGUCAAACUAACUAAUGCGUCUGGAGCUGAAGCUGGGCAGAUUGGAACGGCACAAGUGCACAAGGAAGAGAUGAAUUUGGAAGACAAUGAUGCAUUUUCUGACUACAUUAACCGCACGAAAUUUAAGAUCAGAGCUACGACCUCCAAUAUUGAUCCCGAGAAUGUUGCAUCCACAGCAGAUGGUGUUUAUGAAACAGAGCAAGAAGAUAAUGAGUAUGAAAUGUUUACGGAUUUUGUCAACCACUCUAAGUUUAAGAUUAGAAAGACAUCCAGCAUCGGAAGUAGAAACAACAUCUCCUUUAAGAAGUAGGAGACUGAAAUUCUGCAACCAUAUGUGUUCUGGUGAUUGCCGGCAUAUUUAUGGAUUGUGUUCUCCCUCUUUAAUUCUUUUAUCAUAUUUACGUCCUGGAUACACAGGUUAUGUAAUGUUGUUGAAUAGUCCUCUAUGUAUUUCUCAGUCAAUGAUAUCGAAUCAUUCUUUUUCAUGUGUUUCUAGAGCCCAUUUGCUAAAAGUGUGACUUAUAUGCAUUGCAGCAAGCUUCCUUGACAAUUGGAAUCUGUUUCUUUACCUCUUCGAAAGGCGAUAGUUUAAAAGGCGAGACUCCUUUGCAUAGCUAGCUAAGCAAAGAUAGAUGUUUGGAAAAAGCUCAACCAUGAAGUGCUUCUGCAUCUCAAUUUUUGUACGCGCUAAUUGGACCGAGAUAAAACAAAACAAAUCCAACCUAUGUUACAUAUGCAGGGUUUAUUCAAUUCAGGCAAUAAAACAUCUAAAUAAUAUUCUAGUUGGUACGCACUUGCUGGAUCCCACUUUUAUGAAAAAAUUAUGGGCUAAGAAGCUGGGAAUAUGAUUCCCAUACAUCACUUCAAUUGAAGAAAUUUCUCCCUUAUGAGCAAUUUUUUGCUAUUCAGCCAUAGUGGGUUUCCCUUCAUUUCUGUGUGUAUCUUUCAGUUUUCGACCAAGGAUCGCAAGGACAUGCUCUCGAGAUUUCUCUUUACCUCAUCUCUUAAACUUAGUACAAGCUUGCUAUCAAUUUAAUUUCUAACAUAAUAAUGGGAAAGAGUUAUAGCAUAGCAGAUGCUGGAGCACCGCAGCAUUUGUUGGUUGGUUGGAUAGUACAGAGACCUUGACAAUGCUUUGUGGUUGGUUUGCAGAUUUUCAUGGCAGAUGCUGGAGCACCGCAGCCGACACCGUGAAUUGGUCAAUGACAGACUAGUUUCUUUAGGGCAGUUGUAUCGUUAUACUGUGGGUUCACUUUUGAAACUUUGACUUUGAACUAGUAAAUGUCAGAUUUUCGGUAGGCUGGUUAACCGUAGGGUUUCUGAAUUCGUGUUGUUCUUAAUUAAUGGAUAUGCUCUUAUUAGUAGCUUGGCACAUUGUGUUCAUGUUGAUGCAUUCAGGAGGAGCCGUUACAGCACAUAGCAACUAGCAUGGAAGAAAAAGUACAAAAAUGAAUGCGACUGGAAAAUGACAAUAAAAUAUGUUUUAUGUUGAAAUACGAUGACUUUUAGCAAUUUUUGUUAAAAUGCGAAUUUUUACCACUUAUUGAGUCUAUAUAGCAUUUUUUUUAAUACAAAAUUUUAAAGUUGAAGGAUAAAAGAAUCGAUACGAAAAUUCUAGCAAGUCAUAAAACAUCUUUGCAAAAUGUGGAGAAUGAUUACCUUUCUACACAGCAUAUAGUGAGUGAGGAACGUACAAGAGAAAUGCAAGAGGAGAAGGUAGCUCACAUUCCUCGUAAUGUCUUGAAUGAAUUUUAAAAAGUUUAGUGACACAAAAAUACCACAAAAAUUACAAAAUAAGUUUAGUUUUCCUAAUUAAAUCACAAUAUGGUGUAUGCAGAACUUCGCUAAACUGAUUAAAAACACUCACUGAUUUUGAGAAAAAUUUAAUAAACCAUGAGAUUAAUGAAAUAACCUAGAAGUUUUUUUUUAUCGAAUAGACUUUCUAUCAUCUUGAACUUCUCCACAAAAAGACUGCUGUCGUAGAAUUUCGCAAAAUUGAUUAAAAACGGGAAUUAUUUUUUACAGAUUUUUUGUGCAAAUAUUUCUUACAAAUUUUGUGAAAGGUACAGAAGGACAUUAUAGUUUUGGCAGCUUUUCAAGGAAAUGUUUUUAGUAAAAUCAAGUUGGAUUGCUUAUUUUCCUUGUGUUAUUUGGUAGAUGAAUGCAUUAAAUAGGUUGGUUGUUUCCCACCAGAAAUCCAUGAUGCUUGUUUUAGACUUUGAACUAUAAAAACAAUGGAUUAAAGGGAAAUUUUAUUUGAACCAUGUAACCUCUUUUUACACCCAACUUAAAUUUAAAUUAUUAAUUGUCUAUUUUACCCUUUUGCAUAAUUACUAUUAAGUACAAAAUGAAAUUAAUAAUAAAACUCAAAUUUAUCAAUAAACCCAUUAAACCCUUCCAUCAGUUCUUGUUUAUCAUACGUUCAUUCUAGCUAAAACCCUAAUAGGUCUUGUAGAGAAAAACAAGUUUUUUUUUAUUGAUGGAUGGUGAUUUUGUAGUUUUGAAUCCUCCAACUAAGGUAUGACUCAAUUUAUGAAUAUUUUGUUUGUUUGAUUUCAAUUUUUUUAAAGUUUAGAAGAUGAGUAUUUGGGUUUCAAUUUUUUCAUCAAUCCCGAAUGGUUUGUUAAACUUUUUGCAAUUGGAAAAUUCUAAGAAAAACUUCUUACUAAUGUUCUUAGAUUAUAAACUUCCUUACUUGUUGAUAAAUAGAAGGGGAUGAAUUGUUUGAUUUGUUGCUUAUGCACAUUAGUAGAAAGAAAAAAGGCAAAUAUCUGGCUUUGGUAGCAGAAAGAAAAAAAAAAAGUAGUCAUGGAAAUGCUAGUGGGAAGAGGGGGUGGGGCAAGGACACCUUUUUAAAAAUAAAAAAUAAAAACAAUUCAAUUACAGAUGUUAUUUUAUAAAGGAAAUGGGUGUAAAGAUAACUUAACAUUUUGAAUUGGGUUUGAUAGGGUAGUUUAGGUAAUAAAUUUGGGUUUAAAGAGAGAUUAAUUCUUCAAUAAAAAACAAUAUGGGUGAAGAGAGUAAAUUGGGUGUGGAAAGAGGUUACAUGGGUUCAAAUAAAAUUUCCCUUAUUAUAUUAGCAUAUUCAUAAUUAUUUUUAAAGGUCGCCAAUUUGGAAGAGCUAGGGUUUCUGUAUGUGCCAAAGUUUCAUUCUUACCAUACUAUAUUCUCUAUGCUUUUUACCUAAACUUUUCGUUGCUUUUGGAAGCUAAUUAAUUAAUUAUGCUUUGAUAUAAUGUUAAUAUAUAGCAUAAUCCCUUCAAAUGCUAGUUGUUUAGUGCUGUGUAUAUAAGUUGUGUUUAAAGCAGGAUUUUAAUUUCAAAACCAAGGACAAUUGGAGCUGAAAUAUCGUGAGAAUAUUUUCCAAACAUCUCAUCCUUUAGAAAGAAAAAAAAUAAUGAGAAAGAAGUUCUUCCUUCAUUAGGAAUCUAAACCAAACUUCUCCCUUUAUUUAUGCAGAAAAAUCAAUUACUAAUUUCCACACAAGGAAUUUUCUCCUUAAAUUCUCAUUCAUGCAGACUAUAAAUAUCGACCACUCUAGCUUCAAUUACAACUUAACCUUAGAAAUUGUCUCUAGUCACCUAUUGGAAGCAACUUUGUGUCAAUCACAACUUUGUGUCAAUCAACUUUGUGUCAAUCACAACUUUGUGUCAAUCAACUUUGCGUCAACUUUGUGUCAAUCAACUUUGUGUCAACUCCUUAAUUCAAGGAGCUUGUCUUCCCUAAACCAUUUGGUCGGUUGUCUUCCCUAAGCCACCUUUGUGGUGUAAAUCAAGGGGUCAAUCUCCUUAUAUAUUGUUGUACAAUUGUAAUGAUAUUAUGAUGAAAAUACAAAACAUACUUUGAAAAUCAACAUGGUAUCAGAGCAGGAAAUCUAACCUGCCUCUGCUCUACUACUAUCUGAGGGUGUUCAAUCUUCAAAAUGACUGAAGACAAUUCGUUAGGAUCAGAAGUUGAAAGUUCACAUGUGAUUUCCUCCAUGACUGUGCAUGAGGUGGAUGUCAACCCAAAUCAAAGAUUAAGCUUAGUUGUGUUGAAUGAGUUUAAUUACUUGCCUUGGUCGAGAGCAGUGUCUCUGGCUCUAGGUGGAAGAUCCAAGUUAGUGUUCAUAAAUGGAAGCAUCAAAGUACCUGAUGCUUCCUCACCAACCUAUGAAUCCUGGCUUAGCAAGGAUCAUCUAGUUAUGUCAUGGCUCUUGAAUUCCAUGGAACGGAAAUUAGCUUAAAUAUUUAGUUACUCUGAAUCUUCAUACCAGCUAUGGGAGGCGGUCAAGGAAAUGUAUGGCAGCCAGAACAAUGUUGCAAGGGUUUUCCAAUUAAAGAAGGACAUCUCCGAUCUGCAACAAAACGGCAAGCUGUUUGUGCAACUCCUAGGAAGCAUGAAAAGCAUGUGGAAUGAGUUGGAAAUUUAUCGCCCUCAUACAACCGACGCAGCACUGCUACGAAAGAGAGCAGAAGAAGACAAGAUAUUUCAACUCUUAUCCAGUCUCGAUUCAACGUAUGAAGAUCUACAAUGUCACAUACUCAUGAACAAUGAACUUCCUUCCUUCACCAGUGUAUGUGCAACAAUCCAACGUGAAAAAGUAAGGAGGAAAGUUAAAAUCAUGGGUAUAAUGGCCAGUGUACCUGAGGCUAGGGCCUAUUUAACCAACAAGAGAAAGUACAAAGGAAAGCAUCUAAACUUGAAGUGUCAACACUGCAACAAUAUAGGUCAUGUUAAAGACACAUGCUGGAUUUUACACCCAGAAUUAAAGCCUGACUUCAUGAAGGACAACAAGGGUUUACAAAGGGUGAAUCGUACUACACCGCGCAAAUCAUGCGUCUGCCUCUAACUCUGAUAAAUUCAAGAACUUCACAGCGAAUCCAGCUGAACUCAUGAAUGAGUUUAUGUUUUACCUUUAAGGCAAGAAAGGAGGGGCUGGAAUUGACCGUGCAGACAACAUAGCAGAAGGGAACACGACGGCAUUGCUUGGCAAGUUUGCGGGUUUCUUGGCAGACACGAAACCCGUACCCCAAGAGAACAUGCAAGGUAUCAUGAAAGCCUUUAAAACUACUCUUAAAAUAAAUUUGUUGCAUGAUUUUUGGGUUUUAGAUUCGGGUGCCACAAAUCAUAUGACUAACCAUGUGUCUAAGUCUCAAAAGUUUGAAAAAUUCACUAAUCCUUCCCAAGUUUCAAUUGCAAAUGGUGAGAGUGUAAAGGUUUUAGGAAAGGAAAAAAUAAAAAUAAUGUCAGAUGAAAUUGAAUCAAUGGCUUUGUAUGUACCUUCCUUCCCAUUUCAACUUCUAUCUGUGGGAAAGAUUACAAAUACCUUGAAUUGCUUAGCUAUAUUUUCUCCUCACAAUGUCAUCUUUCAGGACUGUGCCACCAAGAAGACGAUUGGUGAAGGGUUUUAUUUAGAAGGUCUCUAUUACAUAUCAAAAGCAAUCCCAGAGGGUUCCAAGCCAAGUUCAAUCCCAUUCAAGAUAAUCAAUUGUGGCAUCAACGUUUAGCUCACCCUUCUCCACCCAUUUUGUCAACUUUAUUUCCAAACUUAGGGAAUGAUGCUAUUUCAUGUGAAACAUGCCACUUGUCUAAGGCCACUAGAUUAUCUUUUAACUCUUCCUUGUCCAGGGCUAGUAAGUGUUUUGAACUAGUUCAUUCAAAUGUAUGGGGACCAACUAGUGAAUCUUUUGAUGGUUAUAAGUAUUUUGUGAUCUUUGUUGAUGAUUUCUCUCGAGUCACAUGGUUGUAUCUUCUAAAGUCUAAGAAUGAAGUUAUGGAAGUAUUUAAGGACUUUCAUAACCUUGUUAAAAACCAUUUCUCCUCUCAAAUUCAAACAUUAAGGUCUGACAAUGGCACCAAAUAUAUGUCCCAUAUCAUGAAACAAUAUUUAAGCACUCAUGGCAUCAUGCAUCAAACAAGUUGUGUUGGCACACCUCAACCAAAUGGUGUAGCCGAACGCAAAAACCGUGACUUACUUGAAAAAACAAGAGCACUAAUGCUACAAAUGAAUAUACCAAAGAAAUUUUGGUCCCAAGGGGUUAUGGCAUUUGCUUAUAUCAUCAAUAGAUUACCCAGUCGAGUCUUGGAUUUCAAGUCUCCCCUAGAGGUCAUGAAAGGAAGUAAAAUUGAUCUCUUACACCUUCGAGUUUUUGGCUGCAUCUGUUUUGUGCAUAUUCAAUCUCAUCACCGAGAUAAAUUGGAUCCUAGAGUUGUUAAAUAUAAUUUUCUUGGUUAUUCAUCUACACAAAAGGGAUAUAAGUGUUAUAAUCCUCAACUAAGAAGAUUGAUUGUGUCCAAAGAUGUUCGAUUCCAUGAAACUAAUCCUUUUUUCAGCAAGUCACAUGAAAUCACAAGUCAAGCGGAUGACAUCUUGGAUAUGUUCUCACUACCAAGAAUCGAACUUGAGGCUCCUCAACAACAAGAUCCCAGUCAUGUCAACAUUGAUGCAUAUCUCAAUGAAAGUAGCAAUGAAGGGUCUCACUCUAAUGGUACACGGCAUGAAGAUGGUGAUAAUUAAGAUGACCCUCACAAUACGGUCCAAAAUGUGAACGAGUGUGAGACAACUCUUCCUGCUCCUCGACGCAAUCCAAUGCGUGUUAGGAAAACUCCCACAAGACUUCAAGACUUUGUCAUCUACAAACCCACACAUCCCAUCUCCCAAUAUGUGUCGUACAAGAGAGUGACACCAGCCCAUGCUGCAUUCCUAAACACCAUAUCAAGUUACAAGGAGCCUCAUAUUUUCCAUGAGGCCAACAACCAAGAGGUUUGGAAGGAAGCAAUGCAAGAAGAACUUAAAGCUCUAGAUCAACACAACACCUGGAGUAUCACCAAACUUCCCAUAGGCAAGAAAGUUGUGGGUUGCAAAUGGAUUUAUAAACUCAAAUUCAAGUCAGAUGGAUCAAUUGAAAGACAUAAAGCAAGAUUGGUAGCUCAGGGAUUCACUCAAACAUACGAGGUGGAUUACAAAGAAACGUUUGCACCUGUUGCCAAAAUGAACACCGUGAGAGUGCUAUUGUCCGUGGCAGUAAACAAAGGGUGGUCCAUGUACCAAAUGGAUGUGAAGAAUGCAUUCUUGCACGGAGAUCUCAAAGAAGAGGUCUAUAUGAAAUUGCCACCAGGGCAUCCUCAAAGCAAUGAACCGAAUUUGGUGUGCAAAUUGCACAAAUCCAUUUAUGGCCUGAAACAAUCUCCACGAGCAUUGUAUGCCAAACUAAGCUCAGUUCUCACUAGUGUUGGUUUCAUAAGCAGCAAUGCCGAUUCAUCACUAUUUGUUCGCACAUAAGCUGUGGGCAAAUUGGUUGUGCUGAUCUAUGUUGAUGAUCUGAUAAUUACGGGUGAUAAUGCUGACGAGAUCCUCAACCUCAAACAGUCCCUCAAACAAAGGUUUGCAAUUAAAGACCUUGGGAUAUUGAAGUACUUCCUUGGUAUAGAAGUGGUAACCUCGCACAAGGGGCUGUUUCUUAACCAAAGAAAGUAUGUCUUGGAUUUGCUCAAGGAAGCCAACAUGAGCGAUGCUAAACCGGCCAUUACUCCUCUCGACAGCAAGCAUAAACCUAGCUUGAAGGCCACGCCACUCACGGAUAUCAGCCAUUAUCAGCGAUUGGUGGGUAAGUUAAUCUACCUAACAAUCACUAGACCCGACAUCACAUAUUAUGUAAGUCUUGUGAGCCAAUUCAUGCACUCCCCGACUCUUGAGCAUUUGACCCUUGUUAAAAGGAUCUUACGCUACUUAAAAUGAUCGGUGGGUCGUGGAAUCCUUAUGUAGAAGAAUGACAACACACAAAUCAUGGGAUAUUGUGAUGUUGAUUGGGCGGGGAAUGCCAUCGAUCGCAAGUCCACAACUGGCUACUGUACUUUUGUCGGUGGAAACUUGGUCACAUGGAAAAGUAAAAAGCAAACUGUUAUAGCCAGGUUAAGUGCCGAAGCUGAGUAUCGUGCCAUGGCUUCAACUGCGUGUGAGUUGAUCUGGCUCAAGGGGCUUUUGUGCGAUUUAGGUGUUCCUACAACUCUUCCUAUGUCCUUAUUUUGUGACAAUCAGGCAGCCAUGCGUAUAGCAUCAAACCCAGUGUUUCAUGAGUGGACGAAACACAUUGAAGUUGACUGCCAUUACGUUCGAGAACAGGUGCAGUCGCAGGUGAUUCAGACACACUAUACAAGAAGCUUCGACCAACUGGCCGACAUCUUCACAAAGCCUUUGGCUUCUCAUCAGUUUCAGCGACUUCUGUCCAAGCUUGGAUCCAUAAACCUCCUGGAUCUAGCUUGAGGGGGCGUAUUGGAAGCAAUUUUGUGUCAAUCACAACUUUGUGUCAAUCAACUUUGUGUCAAUCAACCUUGUGUCAACUUUGUGUCAAUCAACUUUGUGUCAACUCCUUAAUUCAAGGAGCUUGUCUUCCCUAAACCAUUUGGUCGGUUGUCUUCCCUAAGCCACCUUUGUGGUGUAAAUCAAGAGGUCAAUCUCCUUAUAUAUUGUUGUACAAUUGUAAUGAUAUUAUGAUGAAAAUACAAAACAUACUUUGAAAAUCAAUAUCACCACAUCUUUUCCCUCACUAAUCUGUUGUUUUUCUGUGAACUCAUUUUCCAAAACUUGCUCCGUUUUCGAAUUUCUUACAAAUAUCAAUGGGAAAUAGUCAAGCAAAACAGCAAGAACGCCGCAAGCAUUACGAAUUUCCGGCCUCUCAUUCUCCAAACACUUCACUUCUGAGCCAUGAUCAUACUCGCUAUUCGAAUAGUAUCCAGGUCAAACUAACUAAUGUGUCUGGAGAUGAAGCUGUGCAGACUGGAACUGCACGAGUGCACAAGGGGGAGAUGAGAAUGGAAGGCAAUGAUGCAUUUUCUGACUACAUUAAUCGCACGAAAUUUAAGAUCAGACCUACGACCUCCAAUGUUGGUCUCGAGAAGGUUGCAUCCAUAGCAAAUGGUGUUUGUGAAACAAAGCAAGAAGAUAAUGAAUAUGAAAUGUUUACGGAUUUUGUCAAUCGCUCUAAGUUUAAGAUUAGAAAGACAUCCAGCAUCGGGAGCAGAAACAACAUCUCCUUUAAGAAGUAGGAGACCCAAAUUCUGCAACCACAUGAGUGGUGGUGAUUGCCGGCAUGUUCAUGGAUUAUGUUCUCCCUCUUUAAUUCUUUCUCAUAUUUACGUCCUGGAUACACAGGUUAUAUGAUGUUGUUGAUAAUAUAACGUGUAUGUAUUUCUCAGUCAAUAAUAUUAAAUCAUUCUUCUUUCAUGUGUUUCUAGAGCCCAUUAUAAAUAUGCUAUUUUCGAGCAAUCUUAGCGAAUGCAGGUAACGAUGAUGUUAGAAUGAAAAAAUAUCCCAUCAGUUUACCCACGUAAUUAGGGAUCUUUAAUACAUACGCCUAUAAAUCAUAGGACAGAGAUGAGGAGAUCCAUCCAUGAGAGGGUGACAAUUGUUCUCUGAGAUGAUAGUCUGUAGGUUCCAUCUUAGGAGAAAUUUUUAGUUGUGAUGGGAAUACAGAUGGUACAUCACGUGUUUUUAUGUAAGCGGUGAAAGUUUUUAAUUUUUAAGUUAUUAACAUUUUAACACACAUAUCCCACCAUUUAUAUAAAGACACAUGGUGUACCACCUCAUGUGACGGUCAUACUGAAAAAUCCCUUCCAUCUUAAGACUGCUACUGUAAAAUUUCCUUAGUAAUGACACGAUGAUUGGCAUACGGUUACUAAGAAAACAUCUUUCUAGAAAGAAAAUCUUCUCUGUAGAAUAAAGUUAAAAUGUCUUUUUCCCUUUCACAAUUUUCCAUGCGUUCUAGAUCACAGAAUUUACUCAUUUAGUAGAUAUUGUUUGUUGAGAACAGCGAAUUUAAUGGACAUGCUAUUAUUAGUAGCUUGGCACAUUGUUUUCCAGUUGAUGCGUUCAGGAGAAACCGUUACAGUUUUAGCAUGAAGCAUUCUAGCAUGGAAGAAAAGGAACAAAAAAAUGCAUCUGGAAAAUCACAUUAAGAUAUGUUUUAUGUUGAAAUACGAUGUCGAGUAUUUGCAAGGUUAUGUUAAAAUAUGAAUUUUAUCAUAUAUUGAGUCUAAAAAGGGUGACUUAAGCCAACAAGGCUCACAUGACAUAAUGAGUGGGGAAGGUACAAAGGAAAAGGCAAGAUGAGAAGAUAGCUAGCAUUCCUCGUAAUGUAUUGAAUGAAUUUUAAAAAGUUUAGUGAUGCAAAAAUACCACAAAAACUAUAAAAUAAGUUAGUUUUCCUAAUAUUUUUUUUUUGUUGAAAUUUUCCUAAAUUACAAUAAUGCAUAUAUGCAGAACUUUGCUAAACUGAUUAGAAGGACUCGCUGAUUUUGAUAAAAAUGUAAGGGCAACUUACACUUUACAACCUCAGGUUUAGGGUCUAUAACUGUAUACAACAUCUUCAAAACGCAUUCAAUGCCAUACAUCAACUACAAUUUUAUUUCAAUAUAAUACCUCCAUUAGAUUUUCAUCCAAUCCUCCAUUAAAAGCUAACGUGGCAGCAUGAUGUCUACUGUCAUGUCAACUUUUAAUGGAGGAUUGGAUGGAAAACCUAAUGGAUGUAUUAUAUUGAAAUAAAACAGUACAUGAUGUGUGAGAGUGAAAUAUUUUAAAGAUGUUGUAUAAGGUUGCAAUAGACCCCAAACCUGAAAAGAUAGAGUGUAAUUUAGCCAACAUGUAAUAAACCAUGCUAUUAAUAAAAUAACCCAUAAGUAUUUUUUUAUUAAAUUCAAAUUGGAAAAAAAGAAAAAUCCAAUAAAAUAAAAUAAUAGCAGGGAUCAUAUAACAUAGCCAUAGGACUUCCGUCAUCUUGAACAUCACCACAAUUUUCUUUGUGUGAUUUAGCAGAUGAAUACAUUGAAUCGUUUGGUUGUUUCCCACCAGAAAUCCAUCCUGCUUGUUUAAGAUUUUGAACUAUUAAACAAUGGAUUAUUAAUAUCCAAGGUCGCCAAUUUGGAAGAGCGAGGGUUUCUCCAUGUGCCAAAGUUUCAUUUUUCAACUACCAUCCAAGAUUCUCUAUCUUUCCUGCAUCAACUUUUCAUUGCUUUUGGAAAUUAAUUAAUUAAUUAAGCUUUGAUAUAAUUUUAAUAAAUAGCUGGCCAAGAUAUUAAUUACAUAAUCCUUUUCAAUUGCUACUUUGCUAGUGGCUUAGUGCUGUAUUAAUUAGUUGUGUUUAAAGCAGGAUUUAAUUUCAAAACCUUAGAAAAUUGGAGCCGAAAUAACGUGGGAAUAUUUUCGAAACAUCACAUUCUUUAGAAAAAAAUAUUGAGAAAGUUCUUCCUUCAUUAGGAAUCUAAGCCAAACUUCUCCCUUCAAUUCUGCAGAAAAAUCAAUUACUUUCCACACAAGGAACUUUCUCCUUAAACUUUCAUUCAUGCAGACUAUAAAUAUCGACCUCUCUAGCUUUCAAUUACAACUUAACCUUGGAAAUUGUCUUUAGUCACCACAUCUUUUCCCGCACUAAUCGGUUAUUUCUCUGUAGUUCCGUCACUCAUAUUUCCAAAACUUGCUCAGUUUUUCGAAUUUCUUACAUAUAUCAAUGGGAAAUAGUCAAGCAAAACAGCAAGCACGCCGCAAGCAAUUCGAAUUUCCCGCCUCUACUGCUCCAAACACUUCACUUCCGAGCCAUGAUCAUACUCGCUAUUCGAAUAAUAUCCAGGUCAAACUAACCGAUGUGUCUGGAGCUGAAGCUGCGCAGACUAGAACGGCACAAGUGCACGAGGUAGAGAUGAGAAUGGAAGACAAUGAUGCAUUUUCUGACUACAUUAACCGCACAAAAUAUAAGAUCAGAGCUACGACCUCCAAUGCUGGUCUCGAGAAGGUUGCAUCCAUAGCAGAUGGUGUUUAUGAAACAAAGCAAGACGAUAAUGGAUAUGAAAUGUUUACGGAUUUUGUCAAUCGCUCUAAGUUUAAGAUUAGAAAGACAUCCAGCAUCGGAAGCAGAAACAACAUCUCCUUUAAGAAAUAGGAGACUCAAAUUCUACAACCACAUGUGUGUGGUGGUGAUUGCAAUCAUGUUCAUGGAUUGUGUUCUCCCUCUUUAAUUCUUUCUCAUAUUUACCUCCCGGAAUAAACAAGUUAUGUGAUGUUGUUGAAUUGUCAUGUACGUAUUUCUCAGUCAAUAAUAUUAAAUCAUUCUUUUUUCAUAUGUUUCUAAAGCUCAUGUGCUAUUAUAAAUCUACUAUUUUCUAGCAAUCUUAGUGAAUGCAGGUAACGGUGAGUUAGAAUGUAAAAAGAUCUCAUCAGUUUACCCACUUAAUUAGGGAACUUUAAUAUGCAUAUAAAUCAUAUGAUUCAGGAAAAUGCGACUGCAUUUCUUCACUGAAGUGGAGAGAUACUUCUUAAUAGUGAUUUAUAUGCAUUGCAGCAAGCUUCAGACAGGUAAUUUUUCGCCAAGUCCUUGACAAUUGGCAUCUGUUUCUUUACCUCUUCGAAAGGCUAUAAUUUAAAAGGCGAGACUCCUUUGCAUGGCUAGCUAAGCAAAGAUAGAUGUUUGGAAAGAGCUCAACCAUGAAGUGCUUCUGCAUGUUGGUAUUCAAAGAUUACUAACUCAAUACCAAAAAUAUGUGGGUAAUAAGUUUUUCUAACUUUAUCACACAUUUCACUAUCACUCUCAAUACAAUUGGACAAGGAAAUAAAGAAGUAAAUGAAGAAGCAAGCUUUUGUGUUGGACAAACUGCACGGAAAACAAGCAAAACAUUUUGAUAUAUUUAAUAAGAGUUUACAAACUCAAUUGCUUACAAGCUGAAAUGGAAAUGGGAUUCUGAUGUAAUGUCCUAAAGCCUUACAAGAGGCUUAGUUAUACAUGCAAAAAGUGAUGAACCACUCAAGUGCUUUUAAUAAACAAAUACAACAUGUUAGCUUUCCUAAAAGCAGUUCAGCUAUCACAUGGUAGCACACUGCUGUCUUGUAAUCACCUUUCGACUGACAGAUAGAGGGAGCAAUGAUGUUUGUAGUUGUAGGUGAACAACCUGAAAAAACAACAUACUAGCUAAAAACUGUUCCACCACUUUCUGAAAAGUGUUUCAACAAUUUCUAAAAAGUAUUACACCAAUUUCGGAAAAGUGUUCCACCAAUUUCGGCCACUGUAUUUGAUUUGAACUUCCAACACUGCAUCUCUAUUUUUGUACGCGCUAAUUGGGGACCGAGAUAAUAUAAAACAAAUCCAACCUAAGCUACAUAUGUAGGGUUGACUCCAUUCAGGCAAUAAAACAUCUAAAUAAUAUUCUGGUUUGUACGCGCUUGCUGGAUCCUACUUUUAUGAAGAGUUUCUGGCUAAGAAGCUGGGAAUAUGAUUCCCAUACACCACUUCAAUUGAAGAAAUCGCUCCUUUACGAGUAAUUUUUUACUAUUCAGCCAAAGUGGUUUUCCCUUCAUUUCUGUAUAUAUUUUUCAGUUUUCGAGCAAGGAUCGCAAGAACAUGCUCUCGAGAUUUCUCAUUACUUCAUCUCCUAAACUUAGCAUACAAGCUUGCUCAAUUUAAUUUCUAACAUACAAAAACAAAAAAACAAAAACUCAAAGUAAUGACGUGAAAAAGAAAGAACUAGUCUGUUUAUUCCCUUCGGGAUCUUCAAUAUGCGUAGAAAUCAUGUGAUGCGGGAAAAUGUAACUGAAGUUAAAGACUUCCGAAAAGUGGUCAUGACUUUUAUUAACUUCAAAAAGGAAGGAAUCAGAUGAUAAGUUUUGGAUAAAAGGAAAGACUUGAUUAUGAUUGCAAAAACCAACCCAGUGUAAUAAAAGCUACAGCUUGGUGCAACAUAUAUACAUUUCCUCCAAUACCAUCCUCAGGAAAAUGUACUGUAACUGGGCUAGUGUUUAAACAAAUUCAUCUUUGAACUACGUAUGCAUCUCCAUUUUUGUGCACGCUUAUUGAACGAAAGAACAUAAAAUAAAUCCAGCUAAGCUACAGAUUUUGCCGGAUUCCAUUCAGAUGAUAAAACAUCUAAAUAUUCUAGCUUGUUUACAAAUAAUGCCUACAGAAUUUGGAAACCAGUAGUAAUAGGGUGCCCUUCCACUUAAAGAAAUUAGGGGUAAAACAAGUGGGAAUACGAUCCCAUAUAUCACUAAUUCAUUUAAAAAAAUAAAAUAGAUCUCCUUGAUGAAGAAUUUUUUAAUAUUUUAGACAAAGUUUCCCCUUCAUUAUUUCUGCAUAUAUUUUUAGUUUUCGAGCAAGGAUCGCAACAAUAUGUUCCCAAGAUACCUAACUUCUCCACCCAUCUUACAAAUAAGCUCAAGGUCUCUCAUCUUUCCAUUAAAGCCAGCGAAAAAUACUUCUCCUGCCAUUCUUCAUUAAGCUAUCAAAUUAUUUCGUCUCCUAAAAACCAAAUGGGCAAGAGUCAGCAUAGCUCAAACUCCAAGUGUUUGUGCAAGCACAUCUUCAGUUCUCCCUGCCCCAUUUGCAAAUUAGCAGCAGCACCAAUUCAUGCUUCAAAGCUGGAGAAAAACGUGAAUAAAGCAAAUAUGACUCCACCAACGAAGGUUCUUGCUGAGCUCAGUCAUGCCAAGGCUAGUUCAAAAGUUAAGAAGCAAAAGUCCAAACUAGUGCCACAAAUUACGAAAGCAAGUAGGACAAUAAGUCUGGGUUACAAUGAUGCAUUUUCUGACUACAUUAAUCGUGCAAGACUUAGGAUCCAAGCUAUGUCCAACGUUGGAAUGGAGAAGAUUGCGUCCAGAUCAAGAGAUGAUGGAUAUGAUACAAAGAAAGAAGACGAUUCAAAAGAUGCAUUUUCCAAUUAUAUAAAUCGUACGAAGAUGAGGAUCAGAAAGACAUAAAGCAUUGGAAGUAGAAAGAUCUUCUCCUUCAAACGAGAGUAAUUAAGGAGAGUGCAAUUAAACAAGGGAGAUUUAACGUUUGUAUAAAAUAAUGAUAGUGGCUAUGCUUAAAGUCUUGAUGUGAAAAACUUAGUAAGGGCUGUGUGUGAUUGUAGUGAUUAUCUUCCUAGUUUGUUUUUAUGCUUAAUUACUGUAUCAUUUACUUGUAAUUUCUGUGCUCCUCCAAAUAAUAUGGUGGUUCCUUCUGUUUGUUAUUCAAGAUUUCACUUUAUGGGCUGUACGAUUUCCGUCUCGGCACGUUAAAUCUAAAUCUUUAAGUUGAUUUUAUUCAGAACAAAGCUGGUGUCUUCUGUUCAAUAUAAUGCCUAGAGAAUUUGGAACUUGUAAUUGGCUGCGCUUGCUGGAUUCCACUUCAUUAAUUAGGGGUAAAGAAAUCUGGGAAUAUGAUCCCACACAUCACUUCAUUUGAAGAAAUCAUGAAGUACUCCUUUGAGAGGAAUUUGACUAUUUCAGCCAAAGUUUUCCCAUCCAUUUCUGCAUAUAUCUUUAGUCUUCGAGCAAGGAUCACAAGGGCUUAUAUACAUAUGCAUGCUCUGGACAUUUCUCAUUACUUCAUCUUCUAAACUUACGACAAGCUUGUUCAUUUCAAUUUCUUGAAAAACAAUGGCAAAGAGUCAGCAUAGCUCAAAAUCCAAGUGUUUCUGCAUGAAAAUCUUCAGUUCUCCUUGCCCAAUUUGUAAAAUGGCAGCAAUGGCUCAUGUUUCAGCCGCACAGGAGGAAAGCAAGACCAAGGAAAAGAUGCCUCCGCCAACAAAGGUUCUUGUUGAGCUGAGUCACACCAGUGCUAGUUCAGAAGUUGAGAAGAAAAAUCCAAAAGUAGAGGCACAACUUACAAAAGAAAAUGGGACAGAAAAUAUGGGUGACAAUGAUGCAUUUUCCGACUACAUUAGUCGCACAAAAAUUAAGAUCAGAGCUGUAUCCAAUGUUGGUAUGGAAAAUAUUGCCUCUGGAUCAACAGAUGAUGGAUAUGAUACAAAGAAUGAAGACAACGUGAAAGAUACGUUUUCAGAUUAUAUAAAUCGCGCGAAGAUGAGGAUCAGAAAGACAUCAAGUAUUGGAAGCAGAAAGGUUAUCUCCUUCAAACAAGAAUAAUUGGUAGAGUGAAAAUAUACAAGGGUGCUUUACAGUUUGCUUAGAGGAUCUCGAUCUCCAAUGACAGUUUCCAUAUUUAUGUCUAUGAUUCUGCUUAAACUCUUGAUUAAUAAGGGAUGUGUUGGUGAUUCCAGUGAUUAUCUUCCUAGUUUGUUCGAAUACUUUACCUGUAUCAUUGCUUGCAAUUUCAGUUUCUGUUCUAAAUACUAUGGUUCCUAGUUUGUUUGAAUGCUUAAGCUGUAUCAUCGUUGGUAGUUUCGGUUCUUCCUAAAAGAAAUUAUUGUCAUUUAAAAUGUAGGUAUUCGAGAUUUCACCUUACCGUUAUAGUUUUCAGCCACAGUUGUUAAUUCAAGAUCUUUGUUAGUCGGCAAUUUGGUAUUAGAUAGAAAAUUGAAUUUAUUGAAAUAGCUGUGAUUUUCAGAAUUACAUGAUCGAGAAUGAAGAACUUGUACGUAAAACAUGAAUAAAAGAUCGUACCAAGUGCACAAGGCUCCCGCUUUACGCAGGGUUUGGGAGAGGUGAAUGUCGGCUAGCCUUACCCCCAUUUAUGGAGAGGCUGCUCCCAAGUCUCGAAUCCGAGACCUACCGCUCAUGGGCGAAGGCACUUGACAAUCAUGUUCUACAACCAAGUGUUACAUUCACAAGCUGGUUUGGUAGCGUCGAAGCUGCUCAAGCAGAUUGCAAACGCAAACAGUAUAGCGGGUAGCGACAAUCCAAGGUGAAGACAUCUUUUCCAAUCUUUCCAAACUGUAGGAUUACCCUCUCUUGCUAUUCAGCCGAAACAUUGCGGGACCGAUCAACAGUUAACACAAGCUGGAAAUUUUUAACAGAAGCCACUGUAACACGCCCUCUAAAGUUAAGGCACCAGCAUUGUAGCUGCUCAUGCCACCUAGGAGACUUAUUUUUCAGCACCAUUGGUUCUGCACCCGGGAAGCAUCACCAAAGGAAGCAUCUUGACUUCAAGGAAGAAAGUGAAUUCUUCUUGACUUUAGGAUAGUUUAAGAUUCUCCCAGAAUAAUUUUCCACCCAAAGUAAAUCAUUAUUUCGAACUUUCAACUUAUUUAUAAUUAGUGGAAUCAUUACAUUUUUGAGCUUCGACUAUAAGACAGAGGCUCAGGGAAAAGCGGUAGAGAAAAAACCUAAGAAGACUUGGAACUAAUGGAAGACAUAUUGCGCAAAACCAAGCGCAUUGACAUUCUAGGAUUCAUACAGUCGACCUCACUUAGUAGGAUUAGGCUUGGUUGUUGUUGUUCGGUAAGCAUCACAUAAUUAGCAGAUUCGUACGUAUCAACAUGUUGUGUAAAACUGUUGGAAAGCAUCUAAAAUCUCAUCACGUCUAAUGUGCUUGCUAGAUUCUGUAUUUGUGGAGAUAAGGACGCAUUGUGUGUGGGAAUAUGAUCCCAAACAUCAUAUCACUCAGAAAAAUAUGAAAAGUCUACUUUAUGAAGAACCUUAGCCCAAUAUGUUUCUCCCAGCUGGUUUCUUUCACACACCGCCAACAAAACCGUGUCCCUGCCUUCCAUACUCCAAAUCCUUCACCAUCAACCCAAGUUCAGAAAGCUAAGAAAGAUAAUGAUGAUCAAAAACCCAUGUCAGAGCUCAGAAAUCAGAACUGGAUACCAAUGAUAUAUUUUCUGAAUACAUUCAUCUCGCAAAGAUGAAGAUCAAAAGUAGUAGGAAUGUUCGCGGUGGGAAUAGGAGUGCCUCUAAGUUCUAACUCCAAAUUAGAUGAUGUACAUGUUGAAAAGAAUGAGGAUCAUACCAGGGACAUAUUGAGUACAUUAAACGUGUCAAGACUAAUUAAGAUCAGAAAGACGACGAGUAGUAUUGGAAGCAGCAGAAAGAGAAUUUCAAAGGAGGGCACACACGAGAAAUUGGAUAGCCUUGAAUUUGGGUAGAAAAGGCCGGUUGACAAAUCCUGGUAUUAAAUGUUGGUACUCCCUGAAUAAUUUGAUGUGAAGUCCAAGUUGAGAAUAAACUUCUUGUUGCUGUGAAAUAGUUUCUUUCGCUCAGUUGUAUUUUUAUAUACUAUAGUUUGUGCCGGAGGCUUGCUUGAUCAAAUUUUCUCUGAACCUUACCUGUUUUUGGUUUAAUGGAUAUGUUUUGUUGUGUACUUCGCUGCUCAGUUACGUCAUAAUUAGUUUGAUAGAAUUUGUUAACAACAACCAAACCUUAUCCCACUAAGUGGAGUUGGUUGUAUGAAUCCUAGAACGUUACUGUUUGAAUUUAGCAAUCAAAUCAUAGAGAAGCUGGUAAGCUAGCCAAGCGAGGAUUUUCGAAAUGAAUGGUCACAGAACCUCAUGAGCGUUUUUUGAUGUACCUGUUGAUCUGUUGGGACUUUAUGAACUGAGGAGCGCCUGGUGUUUGUCCUACUUGUAAAGCCCCAUAUUUGCAAUUGCCCAUUUAGCUUCUGUUGUGCUAGGAUAAUACCAAACCAAUUGGAACCAACUCAAGCUAACCCACAUGAAAUAUAUCAAAUGAAAUGCAAGAACAAAAUAUUAAAGACACCAAGAUUUUAACGAGGUUCCUCAACAAUCAGUUUAACUGGAGUACGUCCUCGGAGCAGUAAGAGCUCACCCAAUAAUUUACCAUCAACCAAAUGGGAAUUUACAAAGUGUUGGCAAGCUAACAACCCAAAGGCCCAAUACACCCAAUAACUCUCACACACCAAAGAAACCAAUAGAGAGAAAUAUAAUGAAUAAUUUCCUCUCUAUACAAAGUUCAAAGCUAUUACAACAACAACUACCUUGGUGGAUGAUUACUAACCAAAGAGAUGAGCUCUCUUUCAAUGAGAGAUGAGGCAGUCUUCUUCGUUCUGCUGCUCUGCUGCUCUCUCAAAGAUGGGUUGCUAAAACAAAUGGUGUUCUCUUCCUUCUCUCACAUUCGGCUGCACACCUUCAUCCAUCCAAAAGCACCCAAAAACAAAACCAAUAAUAAGGCUACUUGCUAGCCUUUACCUUUUUUUCUACAAACAUCAUCAUGACCCUUUUUAUCUUUUCAACAAACAUAAUGAUAUUUUCUACCUCCUUUUGUUUAUUUUAUUUAGCCGAAAGUUGUUUUGUCAUUUGGCCAUUAUCCAACAGCUUCCUUACUUAUCCCUUCCACUUUUUGCCUGUGGCUCUUCCUCAUGUUGCCUACUUCCUCCUGGACAAAAGCCAUGGAGGCAUCCUUUCAGUCUGCAGAUAACGAUCCUCAUAUUCAAUUAUCUCAUCCGCCAACUUGUCCACAUUUCACUGAAGCAGCGGAUUUGGUUCUCAUGGAAGCAAUAGUUGCACUUCAGUAUCAGCAAACAACUUCUUCUCCUCUUUGGGUUUAAACACAUAAGGCACGUAAUAAUCAAGUCUCCUUAGGAUAUUGUCUUCGUCCGCCUUCUCCAUUCGUUCCAUCAAAGCAGCCCUAUCAGUGCAGCCCAGGACAAAUAUUGAACGUGAUCAGGAACGCCAUCAAUGAGAUUAUAUGGAAUCCAGUUCAUACUCAUCUGCUCCAGUGGGAUGGUUCAUUCUGUAGUAGCCCGAAUAGGGCAAAGCAGAUUUCUUGGGACGGUGGGAUAGGUGAUACAACAGCCACCAAAGCAGGUGGAAACGAAAAAUCAGAUGUCGAUGCAGGAUCCAGUUGUACAAACAGAUCAAGUUUAUUAAACAAAGCUUUUGGUCGACGUUCCAAUAUGAACCAAUAAUCUAUCCAUAUAGUGCACAACCACAAGUCAGAUAAUGACCAGUAUCUUAUGAAGCUCUCAAUUGGAAAUCUGCUGUUCGAUGUUUAUGGCAUUACUGACACCAGUAGUGAUCUCUUGUGGACACAAUGUGAACCAUGUGAUACAUGGCUACUAUAAGCAGAUUAAUCCGAAGUUCAAACCGAAAAAGUCCUCAACAUACAAACCUCGUGAAGUACGAGAGUGCCAUACAAAUAGCACAGGCAGAUGUUCACCUCAACACUCUUGCAGUUACAGUUAUGCGUUUGGAGGCGGUUCGAUGUCCCAGGGGGUAUUAGCGAAAAAGGCAAUUACCAUAAAUGUGAAACCCGUCCCAAAGUUUGUAUAUUGUCAUUUUUACGGAAUUAUGAAAUGACAUUUUUGCCUCUUACCCCCUUACCCUAUCCGAAUUCCCCUUCUAUUUUUAGAUUUUUUAGUCAUUAUUUUAUAACUCUUCCCCUUUCUCUCUCUCUCUCCUUGCCAUAUGGCACCACCUCAUCCCUUUUCUCUCCUUCUCUCUUCUUUCCCCUAAUCUCUCUCUCAACUCACUCACACUCUCUCUCUCAUCAAACUCUUUCUCCUUCUCCCCGAUCUAGACACACACCUUCACACCCUAAAAAUCGAGAACACCACGACGGCGACAACACCCCCACCAUCACCUCACCUAGUAUUUUCUUUCCCUCCUCAUCUGUGAAGCACAGAGAGCCCAUGAAAACCCUCCGGCGAGCCCCGUGGCUUCCGAGCCAAAAUCCGGCCAACUCCGGCCACUACUUAGGAAACCAAAGGUACCAUUCUAACUUACACUCUUUUAUCUUCAUUUUGGUAGGUAGUUUGUAGGUUAUGGUGGAGAAACGAGGUCGAUUGGAGCUUGGGAAGCUCCGACUUCCUCCUUCGUGAAUCCAGCCUGAGAACCGGGUCGUUUCGACCCAAACCCGAAAACCCAAUUAUUACUGACCCAAAUCUUUGGGCCAAACUUUUAACCCAAACCCCAUUUUAACAUAGGCUUUAGGCCGUCCAACUCGGGCCUUAGGCCCAUUAAACCCAAGCCUAAUCCUCUUUCGAAGCCCAACCCAAAACCCAAGUGACCCCAGGCCAUUGGGCAGUGCAAGCUUGGGCCUUCAGCCCAAGGACAAGCCUAGAAACCUUUUAGGCCCAAGCCCAAACCCGAUCCAACCCAGAACCCAGGCCGUGCGUGGGCCUGCAUAUGGGUGUGAGUGAGGUCGUGCUCGUGCUGGAUGAAGUGUUCUAAAUGAAGAGUUCUAUAUGCCUUCGGGCAAUACUGAUACCACUUUUUAGCACACUGUAUACGAUAUAUGUUUUACGAAGGUUUUAUGGCAUGCUAGGGUUUUUGGAAAACCUAUUACAUAUUAUACUAUUGAGUUUUCAUAAAACUUUGGGGGUUAGUACGUUGAUGAUAACUAUUUAGUAUUAUAUAUAUAUAUAUAUAUCAACUUGGUCCACUCACGUUUGUUUUGCACCCCCUCAUGACAUAGGAACGAGGCAUACGAUCUGAUCUACGAGGCAUUCCCCUAUCAGUGAUAUCUCGUCAUCCUUUCUGCUUGACAUCAUUGUAAUAACACCUUCUGUUUGUAUUUUGAAUUAGAUGUAUGCUCUGAACAUGUCAUGCAUUACCACUAUCACUAUCAUUGUUGGCAGUUGAAUAUUAUUUUAUAAGGUUUAUGUUGGAAUAUUACAUUGUGUAGUUCGUGCGAAAUUUACAUGCAUGUUUCACAUGUUCUCAGCAUAUGCAUUCAUUAAAUGACUUGCGUUACCCUCGGGUGUCCUCGGCCAGUACGUGGCCAUCCCGAUAUCCCCUGGACAUUGGGAUCGGGGCGUGUCAAUAAACCUACCUCAAUCUUGGGAAAGAUAGUGAAGUAAUUGGGACGGUGUGGUUACAACGCCUUUGAAGAUGACAAGACUCCAUAUUUUGAAGAAUGGGAGGAUUGGUAGGAAGCUACCGAUUCUUACCCAGUACUCUCGGGAAAAUACUGCCGACUUUAAAUUGAGAGAAUCAGUAGUUUCAUACCGAUCCUCCCAUUCUUCCUUCCAUAACGCUAAAUUUGGUGACGGUGUGGUUUCGACGCCUUUGGUUACCAAAGAAGACAAGACUCCAUAUUUUGUAAGCCCACAGGGGAUUAGUGUGCCUUUUAGUUCUUCAGGCAAUGUUUCAAAAGGCAACAUGUUCAUGGACACUGGCACGCCUCCAACCCUAAUUCGCAAGAUUUUUAUGAUUGUUUGGUGGCGGAAGUAAGAGGAGUCAGAUUCCGAUGACCCCAAUUGGAAUUGAUCCAUGUUUGGGAACUCAGCUUUGCUCCAAGGGCAAGAAUAAUCUGAAAGGGCCAAUACUGAUUGUGCACUUUUGAGGGUGCUGAUGUGAAGUUUAACACCAAUACAAGCAUCCAUUCCACCAAAAGAUUAUGUGAUUCGUGUAGGAAGCACUUUAAGUGUUUUGUCAGGGUUCACUUACAUUUUUAUUAAAAAUAGAUUUAAAAAACAUUUUCAUUAAAAGCACUUUCAACCAUUUUAAAAUUUCUUUCGAAAUGAGCCGAGAUUUUUUACUUUGCAAUGCAAAGUGUCCCUUGGGAUCAUGGUAUUAAUGGAAACUUUGCUCAGUCCAAUUUCUUGAUUGUUUAUGACCUAGAGAAAAAUGGUGGCAUUUUUUAAGCCAACUGACUUCCUUAAGAUUAACAUAGAAGUUACAUUACAUAACAAUAAAGGUUCUUUGGACCAUGAUUGUUAUCAGUCUUGUAUUUCACGUUUUGUUUAGUUUUCUUAAAUUUUUAAGUUGGGCGUAGUCAAGGAGAAAUUCUUGGAUUUGGUCCCUUGUGCCACGUCAGUGGUCCAUCCCUUCUCAAAAAAGAGGGAAAUCCUCGUAUUUGGUAACACCCAACCCUACACAUUUCACCCACCUCUUCAAGUCUACCGCCCUAUACAGGCAUCUGCACACAAGAAUCUCUCGUACUAAUACGAGCCCUGCAAAAGAGAACUGGGAUACGAGCCAACAUGUGCUAACAGGCCCUACAAAUUUAGGACUGCACCAAGGCUUGUUGCUCCCUUUUGGCACGGCAAAAUCUCAAAGUGUAUAACCAGUGAUACAAACACCAUGAUAUCACCGUCAACGUUGAAAAUUAUUGGUGUUAAUAACAUUCAUAUUAUGACAGGAUAUCCAUAUAACUUCCACGAAAUACACUAUAUAAUUACCGAACUAACUAACAAAAACUACAUAAAUAAUCACAAAGCAAGAAUUCCUUUGCACAAACGAGGGACGUACUCAGAUUGUAUAGCAGCAGCAACUAAUCUCCAAGCAGUGACACAAUCUAGAUGGGGGCCGCACAAGUCGUCCUAAAGUGGCCGGUUUGAUUGCACCGACUACAAUGCACCACUCGCUUCACACGGCCACGGUCUUCUGCUCGGACACGCUUCUUUCUCGGCCGUCCUGGUGGGCGGAGGGACUUAGGUGGAUUGAUUAGAACAUCAACAAUCAUGCUCCCAUUUGGAUCUCCCUCGGAUAACUCCUUCCAGAGGGACUUGUCUGGAAUAGGAUGUAUUGUUUGUGAGUAUGUCUUCCGAUAGGUGGUGACUGUGAAGCAGCUCUCUGUAAAUCGGUUGACUUGCUGCCUGCACGAUUUAAGUGCUGCAACGGCAUGUGCACAUGGCAAACCAUAAAGCUGCCAGGCCCGACAAAGGCAGCAACGGUUUCGAAUGUCCACUAUGUUCGUCCCUUCAUGGGAUAUAACUUCAAAUUCAGCCUCAUUAGCACGAAGGACCUGAUAAGUGCGUGCACGCUCUUCAGCGUCCAAAACACGUCUCUCUGCACUGGGCACAAGAAUCGAUGUCCACUGCAUACUGAUCUCUCGACGCUCAUUGAACCAAGUCAUCAGCUGCCUUCUGACGUAUUCCAUCAUCUGAAUGAUUGGAAGCCCCGACGCCUCCAAUAUCCAAGCAUUUAGAGAUUCAACUACGUUAGCUGUCAAAUGCCCAAAUCUUGUUCCCUCAAAAUAAGCAGUAGCCCACAAGCGAGGUGGAAUUCGCCGAAUCCAAUAUGCAGCAUCUUGUGAUAUCUCUUCAAUCUCCAAAAUUUUUGCUUCAAAUUCUAUAACAGUGAGAACUUGAGCAGCCUCCCAUAAAAGAUUAACAAGCAUUGUAUUGUUAAACUCUUUGCGGAAGCUAUCACUCAAGUGACGCAUGCAAAAUCCAUGAAAAGCAGUGGGAAAGUUUGCUUCAACUCCAUCUACAAUGCCCUUCUGCCUGUCUGACAAAAUUGUAAGCCUAGGCAUAUUUUCUGUAUUAAUCUCAAGCAGAUUAUGAAGUUCAGAAAGAAACCACAUCCAGUUAUCAUCAUUCUCCUCAUCAACAACCCCAAAUGCCAGAGGAAAGAGAGCACCAUCACCAUCAAAACCGGUCGCAAGAAGCAAAGUUCCCAGAUACUUACUUUUCAAAUAUGUCCUAUCAAGUCCAAGGAGGGGCCGACAAGCAUUCAGGAAACCAUAAAUUGAUGCCUGAUAUGAUAUGAAGAGGCGUUGGAAGCUGUUAUCAUCCACGCAUGCAUAGACGGAUGCAAUACUCCCUGGGUUUGUCCGUUUAAGCUGUUCACAAUAUUGUGGAAGCAAGCGAUACCCUUCUUCAAAGGAACCACGCAUUGCAGCCAUGAUACGCUCCUUGCCUCGCCAAGCUUGCUUGUAUGAUAAGGUGAUACCAUGAACUCGGUGAAUCUCCUCCAGUAUCUCCUUUGGCUUGUAAUUAGGGUUCUCUCUAAGCCGUUGCUCCACAGAAUUUGCAACCCAUUGAACUGAGGCUUGCUGAUGGCCAAGAUGAGAAAUUCCUCCACAUGUAUGAUUAUCAAUGAUGGUCCUGAUUGUGAAAGUUGGAACUCCAGGAAGCUUUGCAGCAUGAAUACGCCAUGGGCAUCCCUCAGUGGCACAUUUGGCAGUGAAGCGAGUCUUGUCAGAUUUAAUAGUCUGCAUUUCAAAGUGUAAAGCAAUAGCAGUAUCCCUUAGUGCCCUCCGGCAGCUCUUGACAUCAGGGAACUCUUGCCCCACUGACAAUUCAUAAUUGGGAUUUACAUGCGCCAUACGGGCCUGAAUCACAGGACUGGGGCUGAGUGCAAAAUCAGAUUCCUGGAUACUCAAACCAUGGGCAGAUUCUAUCCCCAUUUCAUUAUUUUGAACCAUAGACAGUUCCAUAUUUUCAUCAAGUUCUUGGCCCUCUGAGACGGCCAGUUCAUUGUUCUCUAAGACCAUAUUAUGGUUCUGAGUAGGAAGAGCCAUUUCAUGGUCAUCAUGAUUAGGUUUCUGAUCCACACCUAACUCGUUAUCAUGCCCAUAGCUGUGACCAUCAUCCCCUUCUUGGUCAUGGCUCUGUCCUAAACCCAAUUCAUGAUCAGCGUGCCCUAAACCCACGUCAUGGUCAUGGGCCUGUCCCAAACCCAAAUGAUGCUCACUAGACUGUCCCAAUUGAAAAUCAUGAUUUUGCCCAAGUCCUAUGUUAUGAUUGUGGCCCAGUACUUGCUGAUUCUGCCCAAGCGCUAAAUUGUGACUUUGCCCAAGCAUCAAAUCGUGGUUAGCCAUCAAAGAAGUCAAACCCGCUGUAUUAGGUAUAACAAAGACAGCAAUAGCUCCACAGUCCCCCAAAGAAACAACCAAUUUAUAGUUGGAAGCACUGCCUUUCAAACUGUACUAAAGCAUGUCUACAAAUCAAUAUAACUACGGUCAGUAAAGAUUCACAUGCCUCUAUCACAUCAAGCAUCAACUCUGAAUCUGCACACAUCUCCAUACACAAGAAAAUAAUACAAUAAAUAUGGAAAAUAUGAAAAACACACUUAGCAAGACAAACAGUCAGCAAUUUCAACACAUUCUUUCACUUCUCAAAUCUGCAUGCCUCCAAAGCAAGUAACAGCUACAAACAAAUGCCUAAACCGUGAUCAGAAGCAAUGCAAUUGAAAAGACAAAGAAAGUAGAAGAAAUUUAUACGUUGGUGCACCAAUUUGUCAUAAUAAUACCAUAAAAUAUAUAUACACACAACCCAAGCCAGAUUCAUGAACACAACAUACCAGACUGAACAACCCACCUUUCAGAUGCUUAUACCAAAUUUACAUCAAACCAAAAAUUGCCACGACAUUUUACCCCGACACAUUUAAAACAUACAACCGUGGCUAUUGGAGAUCUAAACCAGUCAGACAAACCAAGUAUCUCCUCUGCUUCUGCUGAGAACAGUAUAAAAACAAAUGAAAUCGAAAAGUCUAACUAAGCCUUUCACAUUCUAGAUCUCUUACAGCACAAGCGUCACUCGGGUAUCUCACCUAUGCCCUGGACAUUAUAUAAACCAAGCUUGCAUUCUUCAAACCGAAACAUAAAUAAUCAAAAAAUCUAUAAUUGAACUCCCCUCCCCCUUGCUUUGAAACAUUUUCCCAGCCACAGAGUCAACAUAUUUAUCUCAUUCACAAAUCACAGAACAGUAACUCUUACUUCAUACAAGAACAGUAACCACAGAAUCAACAUAUUUAUCUCAUUCACAAAUCAUCAUGGACAGUGAGGCCAAAGCAAUAAUCUUUCAACCAGACCAAUCGUUAAUCCCAAAUUAACAGCAAAACAAGCUAAUUUAACACAAAAUAACACUACCAUUAAAAUGCCACUCAAGAAAUAAACGAUCAUAUUCAUUAAACUUUCAAAUAUUAAUCAACUUUCGAAAAAUUGAAAUAAACUCCAAACAACACAGACCCAUCAAAGAAAACCCACAAAAUAAAAGCUCUCAACAGUGUAAAUCAAGCAAAAAGGUACCUGAAAUUAUCCAAACCCUAGCUCCAGCCAAUUAAAUUCACAAGCUCAUCUUCAAAAUCGAUCAAAUCGAUCAAAUCAACAAAAAGACGAACUGGGUUUUACUCAAAACACCAAGAAUCGAAAUCCCGAAGCUGCAGAAGGCGGAUCGAGCUCGAAAGUCGAGGUCUUGGAAUUGCAGGAAGAAGAGAAACAGAGGUUGCAGAAGAAAAAAGGGGCAAAAAACAACGACAAUUUGAAAAGACGGAGUGGAAGGAAAUUGGCGGGUAAAUUGUGGAGAAAAUCGUGAAGGGCAAGAAGGAGAGGAAGAGAGAUUGGGAAUUACAGGGGCAGAAGAGGCAGUGUAUGUUUAGGGUUGAGAAGGGAAAUACAGGUAUGAGGGCUUUGAGAAAAAAAGGGGGUAUUUAGGUCAAAGAAAUUGGGAAUGGUUUUUUCGAAUUCCUGUUUUGCCCUACUUGGUUUAGAUUGGCUUUGCCUUACCCGGAAUGGCAAAAGGAACACACAAAAGAAAAAUAAAGAGCUCGUCUGAAUGUAAUUUGAAAAUGAUUGAAAGUGUUUUUAGAAAAAAUCUUUUUAGGUUUUAAAGGCAUUUAAAGUGCUUUCUACAAAAAGCAUCAGUUAUGUGAUUCCUUCAGAAAGCACUUUAAGUGCUUUUUUAGGUUUACUUGCAUUUUUACUAAGGAUUUGUUCUAAAAACAUUUUCACUAAAAGAGUUUUCAAUCAUUUUGAAAGUAUAUCCAAAUGAGCUCUUUGUAAUUGUGGCCUAAUGGAUGGACUCAUGAUACAAAUUUGCAGUAAGAACACGUACUCAAUAUAAACACCUAAAUACGUCGUUGAUAUGAUCUAUCGAAUCACAUGUAUGGCCUGAUAAUUUGUGCAUGUGUCGCACCAUUCACUACUGGUAUUCCUCUUUACUUGUAAGUAAGAGGUUUUAUAUUCGAAUCUUGUGGAUGUCGAAUUCGGUACCAAAUUAGGUUGCAUGUUGUGUGGCUUAGCCGACUACCCCUCCCCUUAGUGUAAAAUAUAACUUUUUUCAGGCGGUGAAAUAAAUCGGCACACUCAUUUUUACCUUUCAGACACUUUUUUAGUUUUGACCGUCGAGUCGAAUAAACUAACCAUGAUCAAAAGAUAGAAAUUGAUAAAUAAAAAAAAUAUGUAGCAGAUAAAAAUAAGUAUGUGAAUAGCACUACUCUUUUUUUCCGUCUCAAAUCAAAUUGGUCUUUAAACUUCUUAAAAAAUUGGAGCAUUGAUCUUUGUAUUUUGAUAAGUUCGAAGAAUAUAAAUGUCAAAUGGUUUGUAAUAAUGUCAUUGUAGGCGAGAAUACAUCACUAGAAACAUGAGUAUUUUUCCAAGAUGCAGCUUCUCUCUUAAUCUUAUUUACGUUUGUAAUGAUUAUGUAGGGCAUUUCUAAUCCUUCCUAUGGUUUUGGGAUGCAUUCCGAUAUCACCUUUUCUGCGUACAAUAGUUUCACUAUAAUUUGGCAUUUUCAUUUGCACGCUAAAUCCUCCCUUGAAACCAUUUGAAUUUGCAUUUUGUACGUUUUAAACAAACAUUUAUAAAUGAACCCUGAAAUUGUUUUGGAUUAUAAAAGUGUUUUCUCGAGAAAUUUUAGAUAUUUAUUAAAAUUUUCAACAUGUUUCUUAUAGCUAAACAGUUUGUGAACAAAAUGUUUCUUUAAAGAACAAUUCCCAACAAGUAUUAACAAAACUAUUUCGUACCAAAAAAAUAACACUCAAAUUCUUCCUUCAAAAUCCCUUAAAAGCUAAAACAUAAAAGAGAAAAUUGUAAUAGUUAUCCAUCAACUUUAACCCAAUUAGAGUAAUAGUCCCUCAUCUAUGAUCAUUUUCGUCGACUCCAUCAGGACUUUUGUAAAAAAAUGAGUCAUGUUUGAAAAAUCAUUUAUGCAACUGUUGACCCUAAAAACUACCAAACCUACGUGGUGCGCAGGCCGAGUAAUUAGUAAGUUAACUACGUCAUUCGAUUGUAUGCGGGGCGUGCCAACUCGUCAGCCGAGCUCGGCCGAGGAGUAAAAUUUGUUAAUGUUGCGUUGGGUGCGCUGCUGACUUCUUGAUCUUGCGAUUGUGGCCAAGGAAGGAACAUGUCUUGGCCUUCGGGUUCUAGAGCCUGAAGACAAGGCUGCUAACUUAGCGAAGUUCAAUAUCAAAUUCAGCUUUCAAUGUGCCGAAUGUAGUAACUCGUAACACCUCACUUCGCCGAGAAUGCUGAUGAGAUGACCUCAACCAAUAAAGAUUCAGAAAUCUUUCUCGAUCGAGACUUGGAUAGGUAAUCAACCGUCCUCGCCGCAGUGCUGUUGAUGCUAACGGAAGAUGCUGCGAGAUCGGCUGAUUCUACGGUGACAGAGCUAUCUAUGCCGACUUAAGAUAUCACCGGUUGCUUUCACAGUGCUGUUGAUGCCAACGGAAGAUGUGUCAGCGAAAAGAGAAAAUAAAAAUCUCAGUUGUUGAGAGAGUUUGCGCAUGGCAGUUGUGUGUUGAAUUGGAGAUCCUUAAACGUUGUCUGCGACUUUGUAUUUAUAAGUAUCAUCCUCAUCCUGACAGCUCGCGUUGUAAAGCUGCCGCCAACAUCAAAGUCCUCCUUCAUAACAAUCUCAUGCAAAAUAAAAAGAUUGUUAUCACUUACCAACACGAAACCAUCUUGUGCUAAUUAAUAGCAUAUUAGCAUAUACCAAUUAGUGCUAAUAAGCAUCUUGACUUGAAAUAAUGAUAUGCAUGCAUGGCUCCACCAAAUCCAAUCACACGUGGCUAUCCAUCUCCAAUUUAACAUCUUCAUCUUCAUGCAAGCAUAAUUCGUCGGGCGCCGUCCAAAAGCAUAUACCAUUUAGAAUCCUUCACGCAUUCUGGCGUGGAUCAGACCCAACUGCAUGCAAUUACCCAACCUGAUUAAAAAUCCCCACCAUUAUCUCAAUAUUUUACGCAAGUAAAUCCUGAUCCAAACGUUUAAUGGCCUCCACGUGCUGGAACCGUGCAAUCACACAAAAAAUAUUCAACUUGAUCACAUCUCCCAUUUAUCCAUGUCGCCUUAUCCUUGGAUUUCGAUAAGUAUCACUUUUCCGUGUUGAUCAGGAUGCGAACCAAAUGUACAGUCCUUGUACAAUGCAACUUCUUUUAUUUAUUUGACUCUUCGAGCUGCAACUAUAAGAUAAUUACCAAUUUAAUAUAUUCCUAACAUAAUGGUAAUAUCAAAUAUGGCCUCUUUGAUCGAAUGACUCAAAGUAUACAGGCCGAGUUCGUGCAAAAUUACAGCCUCUUAAUAUUCAGAAUCAUCCGACCAUAUAGAAUUCUGCUCAUUCAACGGUCUCUAUCACUCGGACCAAUGGUGUAAAUUUGGGUCCAAACAACAACUAGGUUAAAGUUGAGGGACUAUUGUUCCAAUUGGGUUAAGGUUAAGAGACAAUUUCUCUCAUUAGGUUAAAGUUGAUGGAUCAUUUAUACAAUUUUUUCAUUUAAUUUUCAAUAUUUGUCUCUUGAUUCAGCCUCACGUGAGUGGCUCGUAACUCAUUGUGACAGAAGUUUUAACGGAGCUGACAAAAAAGACCAUAGCUGCACGUUUCAAGGAGUUAAAUGACCAAUGAUCAUAAAUUUAAGUUUAGGGAUCAUACCUACCCAUCAAGUGACAGUACGGUACGGGCCCGCUCCUGGCUCUGAUACUACACGCCCCCUCAAAUGGGACCUAAUUAAUGGGUCACACGUGGGAGAUCCACACAUCGAUAACCACUUGGAGCCAAUGAAACUCACCCUAUACGCGGGACCAAGGAACCCACCAUCAUCGCGCAAGGCUAAGGGGACCCAACCAUCAAGUGGCAGUACGGUACGAGCAUGCUCCUCACCAUUAUCGCGCGGGGCUAAGGGGACCCACUUGUCACAUCCCGGUUCGGGACGGAUCACUUCUCAGGCCCACUCCACCACCGUAGCACGAUAUUGUCCGUUUUGGGUCCCCACCACGCCUCACGGUUUUGUUUCUGGGAACUCACACGAGAACUUCCCAAUGGAUCACCCAUCCUGAGAGUGCUCUCGCGCGCUACUUGCUUAACUUCGGAGUUCCUACGAAACCCGAAGCCAAUGAGCUCCCAAAAAGCAUCGUGCUAGGUAGGGAUGAGAAUAUACAUUUAAGGAUCACUCCCCCUGAACGAUGUGGAAUGUUACAAUCCAUCCCCCUUAAGGGCCCGAUGUUCUCGUCGGCACACCACGGCCAGAGUUAGGCUCUGAUACCAUUUGUCACAUCCUGGCCCGGGACGAAUCACUUCCCGGGCCCGCUCCACCACCGUAGCACGAUAUUGUCCCCUUUAGGCCCCGACCACGCCCUCACGGUUUUGAUUCUGGGAACUCACGAGCAACUUCCCAAUGGGUCACUUAUCCUGGGAGUGCUCUGGCCUCCUUCCUGCUUAACUUCGGAGUUCCUACAGAACCCGAAACCAGUGAACUCCCAAAAGGCCUCGUGCUAGGUAGGGAUGAGAAUAUACAUUUAAGGAUCACUCCCCUGGGCGAUGUGGGAUGUUACACCUACCCAUCAAGUGGUAGUAUGGUACAGGCCCGCUCAUGGCUCUGAUACCAUGUAGAAUUAUCAGAGAGACGGAUCAUAUAGCUCACUUCCAAUAAUACCGAUAUUGUCUCCAACUUGGUAAUUACUAAGUGCACAAUCCGUCAGGUGUGAGGUUUUAUCACAAAAAACUUCCGUAUUAAUUGGAGUGGAAUUAGGUUAUUUAAACUCUUCUUUUGUCAUUGAUAAGGUGGAUGGAACAUUUCAACAGUACAAAGUUUCAAUCCGUGGCCUCAAUUCUUGCUACAAUUCUGGUUUUCCAAUUUACUGAUUUUAUCCCCUCCAAUUUUUCUCUGACAAUGCUACUCUUAUUACAUUUUUUAUACAACAUAUGUUGAUGGAUCCAUCUCUAUUUAAAAACUGAUACAAAUAUAAUUAAAAAAAAAAAGAACUUUAAUGUAAUAAGAGUAGCGUUGCUCAUCUUCUCUAAUCCACGUUUUCUUCUCUUUUAAGAAAUUUUUUUUUUCCUGGGAAUCUUUGCUGUUCGUAUUUUUUUUUGGUGGGAAAAUCCUCGCUGUUGAUCCAACAGCCCAUCCAAUCUUUUUUUUUCUUUUUAUAGUGGGCACUUUCGGUACCGUGUCGUUUUCUGCUUUAUGUGCAGCCGACUUUUUGGCGUCUGUCAGCCGACUUUUGAAUUCUAACAAUGUGGGACGGCAACGUGCGUCGUAUGUUGUUGUAAAGCUUCAAUCUUUCGGUUGGCCUUUCGUUGCUGUCUGUCUCUCGGAAACUCUCUCACGAAACCCAUUUACUCGUUUGUUGGUUUUGUUUUUGUCAUUAGUUCUGAAAAAUUCACUCAUUCCACUUCUUUCUUUGGUUCCACCACAUGAACAGGUCAGUUUCUAAUUUCGUAGUUAUCUGAUCCCAUUUGCUACAUUGAUAUGUUGUCGUUAUUUGAUCCUCAUGUCGUAAAUAUUUAAUCUUUAUAUUAUUUGAUUUUGAUCAGACUAAUUGCGAUUUGAUUUCUGAUCAUUUUAGUCAACUUUUCGAAUUGUAAAUGAUAUGAUCUGAAAUUUUUGUUGCUGAUUGAAUUGGGUUUCGGUUAAAUAAUCUUGUUUCUGUUGUGUAAAGUCAAGUCUGCUUAAUUAGAUUGAAUCAGGCCAUUAAACCUUCUGAUGGGGUAUUGGUGUUUCAAGUGUUGAAAUUUAAUUUCUAAAUUUUUUUGUUUUUUUGUUUUAUUUCUUAGAAUCUUUGCUUUUGGUAAAAUUGUAUCUGCAAUUUUGGAUAUUGGUUGUUUCAGAUUUUUUUGUUUGAUCUUCUGGGAUUAAUUGGUUACUGUCUGUUGAUAUGAAUUUGUGCUUUUUAAGGCGUUGACCCUCAAAAGUUUCUGGUUUUGAUGGAAAUUUAAGCUUUGGAUUAUGUGGGGUUUGAUCCUGUUAAGAAAUAAGAUUUGGGGUCAUUAGCAUUGGUUUAAUCUGCAUUUGAUCGAUUCUUUCGCUGUCUGGUUUUCGAUGAGAAAGGGGGUUUUCUGUGAGAAAUGAGGUUGUGUUUCAUAGAGGAAUGUUUUGUCUAUGCAUGUCACUUACUUGCCUUUUCUGUUUUCGGGUUAAGAUGUUUCCUUUUCAGAACUAUUUUCGAUCAAUGUAAAUUUAGGGAUCAUUUUGUUAUGUUUAGAUUGUUCUGUGGUGCUCUCUCAGCUAACGGAAGUUGUAAUGCAGGCCUAGAUUCCGGUGUUAAGUUAGCUGUUUCGUUGAUUGUUCUGAAUCUCCCUUAUCUUCCUUGUCUGCUGCGAGAAACGUUACUGAAUUUCACCUUGGAUUACUGAUUCACAUUUGAAGGACUGGAGUGUUUCCUCUUCGAGCACAUGGCUGCCUCGGGGACUUCAUCUGCAUUGUCGCGGAAAGCCCCCCAGGAUUGGUCUAAAGCUUUGGUAUACGCUUUUUUUGAAUGGCUGCUAAUUUUUGUGCUGUUUGUUGACGCCAUAUUCUCAUACAUAAUUACGAAGUUUGCUUAUUACUGUGGAUUGCGAGCGCCUUGCCUGCUGUGUUCAAGAAUUGAUCAUGUUUUGGGCAAGGAAAAACGUGGUUAUUAUUGGGACCUGUUCUGCGGCAAUCAUAAGUCAGAGAUUUCUUCGUUAGUUCUUUGCCGCGCUCACAAUAAGCUUGUAGAUGUUCAUGGAAUGUGUGAGAGUUGCCUCUUCUCAUUUGCAACAAUUAAUAGAUCCAAUGCUGAGACAUACAGAUUACUGGUGGGUAAGUUGGGGGAUGAUCCUAAAUUUGAUUUCGAUCAGGAUCCAUUACUUGGGGGUCAUAAUCCUUGCUCUUCGAGCAGAACAUUUUGUUCUUGUUGCAAUCAGCCGUGGAUUUCUCAGGGGGAUUCUCAAAAGUUGAUUCAGAAAAAGAUUUUAGAAUCUGAGGCUGAACUUGAUGUGCCCGCCUCUCAUGUUAUUGAACGUAAUCAUAAAGAACUGAGGAAACAAGAUGAACCAUCUAUGUCAGUGAGAACCACUCAUAUUCGAGACAGCGGGCUACACCCUUUAUCUCAUGUUGGAUAUACCGAGCUCAAGGUUAAUUCUGAUACUGAAUCGGAAGUUCAUUAUUCUGACGAUGAUGAUGAUGGGAGUGCUUUGAUUCAUGAAAGCCACGAUCGCAAGAAAGAUUUAUCUGCUCAAUAUGUUGAGCCUCGCGUUAUUACUCCAGCUCCGAGAGAUCCAACAUCUGUUCCUGAGCCUCCAGUUUUGGUGUCAGAGGUACAAGUUGAUCUUAUGUCCCACGGUAGUACAUCUGUGGCAUCUACUGUAGCUAUUUCCCAUGGACUGGAGGAACUUAACUGGCAACAAGUUGAGAGCAAGGCUGAUGGCCCUGCGUCAACUGGACCCGUUGUUGACAAUCCACCUCCAUCAUCAAGUGCAAUAAAACCCCCAAUUGAAGUAUCAAAACAAAGAAGUGAGUUUGAACUUUUUUCAAUUUCCUAUUGUCUUGAUUUCACUAAUUUUAUCCUCUCUGAAUUCAACAUAUUAUUGCUUCUUGUAUGACAUGCUUCUGCAUUAAGCUCCCAUUGUUUACUGCAGUAAAUUAACUUCACAAUCAUCAUUCUUGUCUGUGGUGGUUUCUCUCAGUUGACGUUACUGGAACUUGUGAAAUUGAUCAAACAUCUGUGGUGGAAUCUGGGGAAUUGUACAAGGGAGAAGUCGGGCCACUUACAACAUCUGAAACAGGUGUGGAAACAAACCCCGUUUCAAGCAAUGCUGAUGAGCAAGUAACCAAUGUUCUAGAUCUUGGUGAUGCUUAUAAGCUUGUUGUUGUUAGUAAAGGAAAGCAUUUGUCUGGUGGGGUUGCAGAAAAAUGGAUUGGGAAGGACUCUUCAAAAGUUAGUGAAGAUUUGAAGGUCUUGCUGUCACAAUUAUCUGCUAAUCGAGGGCUUGAGCAAUCAACAAGCACAAUGAGUCCGAGAUUGUCUGCAAAUAGUGGAAGAGUAAUGAGUCCGAGAUUGUCUGCAAAUAGUGGUGAUUUGAAAGCUUCCGAUAUUUCCAAUUCUUUUGGAAUGCAGAUACUUAACAAGAGGAUCUCACUUGAAAGAAAUGAGUCUGGGCUGUCUCUGGACGGGAGCAUUGUCAGUGAAAUUGAGGGUGAGAGUAUGUUUGAUCGAUUAAAGCGGCAGGUUGAGCAUGAUAAGAAAAUUAUGAGCGCUUUGUAUAAGGAGUUGGAGGAAGAAAGAAAUGCUUCUGCAAUUGCUUCAGAUCAAGCAAUGGCCAUGAUUACGAGAUUGCAAGAGGAGAAAGCAGCGCUCCAUAUGGAAGCACUCCAGCAGCUAAGAAUGAUAGAAGAGCAAGCCGAGUAUGAUAACGAAGCGCUGCAAAAGACAGAAGACCUUCUUGUCGAGAAAGAGAAGGAGAUACAAGAUCUAGAAGAGGAGCUGGAAUUGUAUAGGAAUAAGUAUCCCAAUGAAUCGAUGCUCGCUAAUAUAGCAGAGACAACUGGUGAUAUCCAGGCAAGGGAUAUUGGGAUUGAUCAUUCCGAAUCAAGCAACAUGGAACACAGUUCAAGUGUACAUAAACACGUGGAUAAUGGAAAGCCUCGUACACACAGCAAAGUUGAAGGAGCCGCGACUACUUUUGGUGAUGAGGACGGUGGUAGUGUAAAAACUUCACUUUUGGAUUUCGAAGAUGAGAAGAAACAAAUCUUACAAUAUCUAGAGAUUUUAGAGAAGUCACUUUCUUUGUUCUCUACCAAUGGGAUAAACUCGGAUUCGUCCAAAGGUGAUUGUUCUGAAAAUGGAGGCUCCCAAGAAGCUGUUGCAAAACGAGAGAAUGACCUGCCAGUGCAACAUGAAGUGUCUGUAUCAUCGUCGGGACAUACUGAUUCACUUGAAAACCCUCUGUCAAACGGCAAGGGACAGUGUGAAAUUCAUAGCAGCGAGCCAAACUCUGCAGAUCUCUGUCAAGUGAUAGAUUUAGCUUCUCUCCGGGUCCUGAGUUCCAAUGUGCUUAAGAGGUUGAAGACACUCGAGGCAGACCGAGAGUUUCUUGAACACACGAUUAAGUCGCUUAGAUACGGUGAGGAGGGACUGACGUUCAUUCAAGAUAUAGCUUCUUACCUGGGGGAAUUACGAAAAAUCGGGAUAAGAAGUGAUCAAACAUCAGCUUGAGUCUGCAACGCCAUAACAAAAGGUGAUUUCCUUAUUCAAACAUCAUAGUGCUCGUUUAGUGCUUUUAAAAUGAUUGAAAGCGCUUUUAAAGAAUAUGUUUUUGGGUUCCAAAAACACUUGAAGGAAGUACUUCGAGUGCCUUUUCAGGAUUCACCUGCAUUUUUACGGAUUGGUUUCAAAAACAUUUUCAUCAAAAACGCUUUUAGCUAUUUUAAAAGCACGUCCUAGUCUUGCCAGCGUAUCUUAUAUCUCUUCCGAGUACAUAGCUAGGUCUGUCAACAGCUGUUUCGUUUCAAUUUACAGACUCACGAGAAACAUAAUGCAUGGAUAACACAAGUAUUGCAGUUAUGUUCGUGUCGAAUAAAUUUAGAAAGUUUUUCCCUUUUCCCUAAUAUGUACAUUGUUCUAUGUCAGGUGGCGAGUAGUAGUUUUCACUCUUCUCUGUUUUGUCUAGUCUUUGGAGUGAAUAAAUCAAAGAACAAUCGAGGGACAAAAGAAACGGGAGGAGCACAAAUUGAGAAAACGGGAGUUUGAAAAUCACUACCCUCGAAGAUUUGGCGUAGCAGGUGUACAGUAAUAUAGCUUUUUUUUCCCUCCACAGUCGACAAAAAGAAUAUGAUAGGAGUUGAGUCCCUCCCUUAUACUAUACAGUUGGUCGUUUUUCUCCCUUCCACCACCUUUUGUGGAUAGAUUUUUCUGUGUGCCGGAAAUAAUUUGGUGCACCAAGUAUACUAAUACAAUUAGUUGGAAAUUUAAAAAAAAUAUAUAUAUAUUUUUUCACACUUGGUUUACUAGACAUGUUCCCCGGCACACUAAAACAUUUCUCAUGUUUUGGGUCUGACAUAUUUCACAUUUUACCUUGGAAAUAUGUAGAUUUGGUGAGCUUUUCAUUUUAAAUUUUAUUAUUUUUACUAAUUAGAGUUUGAGCGGGUUUGUUUUAUUUUUCUUUGUUUUGUUUUUUGGUUUUUAAUUUUUUUCACCUUUUUUUUUGGUUUUAUAUGGAGUGGAUGAGUGAUUUAAAUGUAAAACGGGUGAUUCUAGUGUGUAAAACUGUGAAGUAUCAAUAAAAAGAUUGAUGUCAUUUCGUUUUGUGCAAUUUCAUAGUUUAUUUUUUUUCAUAUUCAUCUUCAUCUUCAUAUAGAGAGCGGGGCGAGUCUUGAUGCAAUAGUAAAGUUACUCUUUUGUGACCAAAAGUUUAUGGUUCAAGCCUUGAAAAUAGUCUCUUUGUACAACAAGAGUAAAAGUGUGUAUAAUAGAUGUUCAUCCUGCGACUCUCGCAAAGUUAGGAGCCUUGUUGGCUUCAGGUCACACUUUUAUUCAUCUUCAUAUAAAAUUUUCAUUUCUAGUCUAUUCGGAGUCAAUAGAAGUCAACCUAAAUUGACAAAAUUCACAUCGAGAAUCAAUUAAAUUCUUUUUUUUUUUUUAAUAAACACUAAAAGGGUGAGGAAUUAAAUUCUUUGAAUAUGGAUAAUGCUUGGCUGUAUUAGAAAACGGGACUUUGUAUGUAUAGGCCCUUCAGCUUUUAAAAUAUAUAAACAACUACGUCAUAUAAUUUAUAAAAUAUAAUUUAAAUCAACAAUCUCCUAUCAUUAUUCUUUCGGUCAUUUGAUUUACAAAAUAUAAUUUUAAAUUGAUUGUUACAUUAUCUUUCGAGUAAAAGUCAUAAAGCUCGUUUAUUAAUCCGUAAUCAGAUUGAGGGGAAUUGAAUUGAAAAGAAAUUGAAUUGAAGAAGAAUUGGAAAUAAGUAGAAUCAGAAUCAGAUUUCUAUUGAAAUUGUUUACUUAAAUUGUCUAAAAUCGAAAUCGAAAUAAAAAUGACAUUGAUGUAUUAAAAUCGUUUACUAAUUUACAUGAAUCGAAAUUGUUAAAAUCGUCUACUAUCCCAUCUCUAUCUUUCCCAUAUUUUCAUUUUCUAUCGUGACCCAAUCCAUCUUCCCCACCCUUUAACCCAUCACCGCCGCCGCCUUUCCUGUAACCACCAGCCACCUCCCAUGUCACAACCAGCCGGCUCCCCUUGAUUUUGGUCGUCGCCAACCGACGUAAGAUCAAAACUGAAAUCCAAAAUCUCCUAUCUUCUUCCCUUUUGAUUUUGGUCAUGAAAUCUGUAUAAUCUUUCUUUGACAGGGACAAGUAGAGAUAGAGGUAGAAGGAGAGAAGGGUAGUUUACUCCCUCUAAAAUGCUUCAGCAGAGCUCUAGCUGCUGUGACUCCCUCUUCGCGUCGCCGGAUUUCGAGUUCAGGCCGUGUUUGGCCUCGCCGAAAACCAAAACCGCAUUCUCCUGCUCCAUGGAAAAGCACAAGCUGCUUCUCACUUCUGCUUCUUCUUCUCUCUCGCUCAAGCAGCAGUUCCAAACGAAGCGCAAUCCAGUCCUCGCCUGCCGAGCGUCACGUGACCCUCAACUGACUUCUGGGUAAAUGGUCGUUUCCCGGAAUUCGUUUCAAGUUAUGUAAAGCAACGAUUUUUAAGUAAAGUGGAAGAGAGUUCGAAUAUAUGUGUAGAAUUUGCAUAUUUGUUGUGCAGGAGAGAUGAUGCAGCCGUUCAUGGAGUUGCUGAUGUGAUUGUUGGUGUUCUUGGAGGAGGCCAACUGGGUCGGAUGCUCUGCCAAGCAGCUUCGCAAAUGGCGAUUAAAGUGAUGGUACUGGACCCACAAGAGAACUGCCCAGCUAGUGAGAUUGCCCAUCAUCAUAUGGUUGGAAGCUUCGAUGAUAGCGCAACGGUCCAGGAAUUCGCGAAGAGGUGAAGAUUUUAUGUUCUUGUAAUCCAAUUUUAUGUUUUGCUGUUUUGUGUAGUUGGAAAUAUUAUGUAUGGAGGGUAAUCGUAAUAGUGGUAGUUAGGUGUGGAGUGCUGACUGUGGAAAUUGAGCAUGUGGAUGUGGAGACUUUGGAGAAGCUUGAGCAGCAAGGAGUGGAUUGCCAACCCAAAGCCUCUACGAUCAGAAUAAUUCAGGUUUGUGUAUUCCUUUCGAGAUUGCUUUUUAUUUUUUAUUACCCCGUCAAUGCAUGUGAAAGUUAGUAUGUUACAAACAUUCAUCCAUUUGGACAGAUUGUUUUAUGUAUUUCAUUCGUCCCAAGGAACAUUCACAUUUUAGGCAUAAAAUUUUACCCUUGUAUUGAUGUGUUGCGACAUUCCAUGUAUCACUGCAUUGUUCUUUUGUAGUGUGUUAAGCAUUGGCUCGUGUUUUGAAUGUAACAGGAUAAGUAUCUCCAAAAGGUUCAUUUUUCAAAGCAUGAUAUUCCCCUUCCUGAAUUCAUGCAGGUUUGUUACUCAUUUCUCCAUCUGAUUGAAGUAUUAGCAUAAGUGAUAUUUGUAAAUUUGCUUUCUAUUAGAGAGCGCAAGAUUAUAUAUUAUUUACUGUAAAAUGUGGCUAAGGCAGAUAGAUGAUCUUGAAGGUGCCAAGAGAGCAGGGGACCUCUUUGGCUAUCCUCUUAUGAUAAAAAGUAAAAGGUUAGCUUACGAUGGACGUGGAAAUGCUGUUGCUAAGAGUGAGGAUGAGCUUUCAUCUGCUGUGACUGGUAAUAUGUUCAUCAAAACGGAUUGUGAUUGAUGUUGAUUCAACUAGUAAAGGCUAUGCGGUUUUUAUAGUUCGAAAUUUGUUGCAGCUCUUGGAGGGUUUGAUCGUGGUUUGUAUGUUGAGAAAUGGGCCCCAUUUGUAAAGGUUGGUCUCUAGAUGUUACUAAUGAGCAUUGUUUGAUGAUUUACAUUACCACAUAUUAAUCCCCAACAAAACACAAAUGAUUCUGAGUGAGUUCAUAAGAAAGAAACUUCCCUUACAUUUUUGGCAAUGUAACUGUAGGAGCUGGCUGUUAUUGUCGCAAGAGGAAGAGACAAUUCUAUCGCGUGCUACCCUGUUGUUGAAACAAUACACAAGUAAGCUGCAGAUUGAGUUUUGAAUUGUCUGUCACCAGCCAAUCUUUGAUCUUAAUUUGCUCAUAUCUGUUUAUUUAGGCGAUAAUAUCCACAUAAAGCCAGAUGAGUUCAUGCAUGUUUGGGGAUCAUUUCUGCAGGGAAAACAUUUGUCACAUUGUAAAGGCACCUGCUAACAUGUCAUGGAAGAUCAGAAAGCUGGCCACUGAUAUUGCAACCAGAGCUGUUCGUUCAUUAGAAGGUGCUGGUGUCUUUGCAGUUGAGUUGUUCUUAACAAAGGAUGAUCAGGUAACAAUUCUACCUCUUUUAACAACUUUUUGUUAUGGUUAUUUAUUCGUGAUCAAUUGGUUGACGUAUUUUAGUUCUCUUUUAAAAGUCUGCUGCAUUUAACUAAGUUAAGAAUGUACUUACUUCUUGUCAGAUUUUGCUAAAUGAAGUAGCUCCUAGACCUCACAAUAGUGGUCAUCACACAAUAGAGUCUUGCUACACUUCACAGUAUGAACAGCAUUUGAGGGCUGUUGUUGGUCUUCCACUUGGUGAUCCAUCGAUGAAAACUCCAGCUGCGAUUAUGUACAAUUUACUUGGUGAAGAUGAGGUCAGAUUCAAUUCAUUACUGUGGUGAUCACCAUCUGUCAGCAUUUAUCUUCUGAUUUUAGUUCUAAAAAAAGUAUAGUUUUCACUAUGCUCGUGGAAGAUAAAUCACUUAAUCAAAUGCUCGUGGCUGUCAUGCCUCCUUUAUGUUUUCAGGGGGAAUCUGGUUUCCUUCUAGCUCAGCAGCUGAUUGGAAGGGCAUUGCGUAUUCCAGGGGCCACUGUUCAUUGGUAUGAUAAGCCAGGUUAGAUUCUGCUUAUGUUCAUAUUACAACGUCUUGCUUAUUUCUGAGUCAUACUCAUACUCAAGAAUCACCUAUUUUUAUGAUAUGGCAGAAAUGCGGAAGCAGCGGAAGAUGGGUCAUAUCACCAUUGUUGGACCUUCCCUGGGCAAUGUAGAAAAGCUUCUAGAGUCGAUGCUAAAUGAAGAAAGAUUCGAUUGUCAGUCUGCAGGUAGUUGUAGUAGGGUGGUUUCACAUGAUUAUUCUGAGGUUGCAGGUCCUAUGUCGUUAUAUGGUUAUACGUAUUAACCUUAGCUGGCUUCAUUAUUACAUGUACUAGUAAAUUUCAUAAAUUACUAAUCAUUGUUGUGGAAAAUUUACUGUAAAAUUGGAAGAGUGCAAGGGGAAUGAAAAUGGUUGAAUUUUGUUAAUAAGUCUGGGGAAAGAAAGGCAAGUCAACCAUGCUAUCAACAAUAUUAACCUUUUAUAUCUUGUGGUGAUUCCCUUCCUUUCCUUGUGCCUGUAGCUGCACCCCUUCAUAAACCAAACUGCAUAGGAUCCAUUUUCAUUUCAUUGUACUUUAAUGGUCUUAGCAAUUUUUUAAUCAGAAUAAACUUUUUUUAUCUUCAAAUCACCUUCAUUUUGCUUUUUAACAAAUGCAGUCACACCGCGUGUUGGUAUCGUAAUGGGCUCUGAUUCAGAUCUUCCUAUUAUGAAAGAUGCUGCAAAGAUUUUGAAUAUGUUUGGAGUACCUAAUGAGGUUUGCUUUUCACAUGUUACUGUUCACUGUCAAUUGAUCACCCGUUAGUUGUGAGCUAUGCCUUUUAUUACUAUAUGAUGUUAAUGUGAUAUAAUUUCCAGGUGAGAAUAGUUUCAGCACAUCGAACUCCUGAAUUGAUGUAUUCUUAUGCCUUGUCUGCUCGGGAGAGAGGCAUUCAGGUCAUCAUUGCUGGUGCUGGUGGGGCAGCUCACUUGCCAGGCGAGUCAUAUAAACUAUGCUUCAAACAAAUUCGUCUGGUGCAGUAUACAUUAUAUGGGGUUAACUGAACUGCCGCUUGAGUUUUGCAGGCAUGGUAGCUGCCCUCACUCCUUUGCCCGUUAUUGGUGUCCCUGUGCGCGCUUCUACAUUGGAUGGAAUCGAUUCUCUUUUAUCCAUUGUGCAGGUACAUAUUAUUUCAGAUUGUUCUGCUUUUUUCCCUAUAAACUUAUGCUUUGUUCCAUUUUUCUUUUCAUUGCUGCAAUUUUCUAUACUGUUUGACAAGAAUAGUAUGUGGGUUUGGUUCUAUUGUUGGUACUAGUGAGUUUUUAUGACUUGUCAGGAAAGUUAUUUUGUAUCUGUGUACAUUAUGCAGAUGCCGAGAGGGGUCCCAGUUGCAACAGUAGCUGUAAACAAUGCCACCAAUGCUGGUUUGCUGGCAGUUCGGAUAUUGGGUGUUUGUGAUGCUGAUCUAGUAUCAAGGUAGGGUUCUUUCACUUGAUUACGUCUUGGUUUAAAUUUUUUGUAUUCGGUUGCCUGCAUUUUCUAACGAGGUAAUUGAACUCGAGUGCAGAAUGACCCAAUAUCAAGAAGACACACGGGACGAAGUUUUGACAAAGGCAGAGAAACUACAGAGAGAUGGUUGGGAGUCUUAUUUGAAUCCUUGAAGUCGGAGAAACUACAAAUAUCUGUUGAAUUUUUGCAGUUUCACUUUCUCUUGAAGUCGGAGUUUCCUGAAUAUGCUAUUAAACAUAGUAUCUAGUUGAAUUCCAACAAAGAGAUGUGCAAAAGAAUAUCUGACAGCUUAUUUAGUCGCAGAAAAAUGAACAGAAGGAUGUUUUUGAAAAAAUGUGGAAUGAUUUUGCUUACGAACAUCAGUUGACAUUGUUCGGAUUGAGGUCAAAUCGGGAAAGAAGUACGAGGAAAAGACGACUCCGGCAGGGGGCAGAUGAAGCCUUCUAUUUAUGUUUGUAACAGUAUAAGAUUUGUGUAUCUUCUAAUUUUGAUCAGUCUUCAUCUUGUGACGAAAAGGGAUGGUUUUGUAUUUCUUGUAACUUCCAUUUUGAUUUUUGAAGUAGUUUGGGUGCGUUUUCCUUUAAUUUACAUUUGGAAUUUAAAAAAAAAAAAUUGUCUUAUGAACUUAAAAACUUUUUCAAUUUGACAUAUGAAAUAAAAUUUUAAGUGAUUUGUUAUAUUAACUUUUUGAAAUCAUUAAUUUGUUAUCUUAUUUUAAUUCCGUUAAGUUUUCCAUUCAAAAUAGGUCAUGACUUCUGUUUAGUGUUAUUUUGGGUACUUUGGCACCUAUUACUCCGUUAAUAAGUUCAUGAUUAAUUUGUCAUAUCACUCUAAUGAAAGCUUAACUUCGUUAAGUUCUUCCUAGAAACUGUAGAAUUUGAAGGAAAUCAAUUGAAAAUGUUGUUAACUUUAAGCAAUAUUUUCUCAUUACGUAGUACCUUUGAUUUUGGACAUGAUCAAGCAAUGGAUUAAUAUUUUUGAUAGGGUAGCAAUGAGAUUGUCUAUGUUUUUUUUUAUGGACAUGAUUAACCACGUUGAAUUCUCAAAUCUUGCAAUUAGUGAGUCUAAUGUACUUUUUAAGUAGUUUAUCAUAAGUUUUUUAACCGAACAAGACAUGUUUUAACUAACCAAAAUUUAAGAGUUAGUACUAAAAAGAAGCAAAGAACUAGUAAAAAGGAGAUCAAAAAUCCGAAAUGAUCCUGGACAUUGGAAAUUACAGAAAUGUUGAAGAAAGUUGCCAAAUGCCCUCAUCAAUACCUCAAGGUAGUAGAAAUACUACGGGUACUGUGCUCGUCCAUAUGUUUCUGAUCAUGUCAUGUACUUUAUAAAGAAUGCUGUUACACCAGAGAAAUGGUUAUUGAUCCUGUCCGACGUCUGUGGCUUUGUGGGACGCGUCCCAGUGAAUUUGAGGAGGAAGUGAAGGUAAGAGAACAUCCCAUGGUUUUAAUGAACAUAUAUCAUGCCAGGAAAUUUAUCGAAAGGAAGAUACAUAGUGUAGACAUCGAAAUUGUGGUGAAAUAAAUGUUCACCAACGCAUUAAAAUUUUGACGUGUCAAGGCAUACAUGGCAUAUGCCACGUGUCAUACAAAUUGUACACAUGGUGUGUGACUCAACAAAAUAAAAAGAAAUACCCUUGGAGGAUUACACAAGUUUUUCUUCUCAUUUUGGGCAAUGACAAGGCAAGCACAUUUCAAUCCAUUGAAGAUCAAAACAAGGUUUUCUUCUCAUUUUGGGCAAUGACAAAGCAUGCACAUAUCAAGUUUAAAAUGAUAUUAAGUGGAAAAUUAGGCCAUAAAAUUACCACUUCAAGUUUAAAAUUGUAUUAAGUGGGAAAUUAGGCAAUGGUGCUUGGAAAAGAAAAAAAUAUUUUGUGGUGGUGAUUCAUUCUCAAAGCCUAUAAAUAGGCUUCUACAUCAAGGUAUCAUGAACCAAUUCACAAAAAAUACAUUUCUCUACUCCCAAAAUGGAAGAGAAUACUCCCCACACAUCCAAAAUCCUUGAAGCUUUGAAACUCUAAAGCUUUCAAGCAUCCAACCUCCCAAAUUCAAGCAAAUCCCGAAGGAUCAAGAAAGCCCUCUUCGUUCUUCGUCAAAUCCUCCUUCAAGAUCAAGCCCCAACGGCCCUUGAAGAAAUUCCUCCUUCAAGAUCAAGCCCCAACGGCCCUUGAAGAACUUCCACCAAUUCAAGAUCAAGCCUCGACGGCCCUUGAAGAAAGUGUUCAACAAAUCCACACAACUGUUCAUCCUAAGAUCAAGCCCCGACAGCCCUUUUGGAUCAACAACAUCACCAAAUCCACAUAACUGUUCAUCCUAAGAUCAAGCCCCAACGGCCCUUUGGAUCAACAACAUCAACAAAUCCACACAAUUGUUCAUCCUAAGAUCAAGCCCCAACGGCCCUUUGGAUCAACAACAUCACCAAAUCCACAUAACUGUUCAUCCUAAGAUUAAGCCCCAACGGCCCUUUGGAUCAACAACAUCAACAAAUCCACACAACUGUUCAUCCUAAUAUCAAGCUCCAACGGCCCUUUGGAUCAACAACAUCAAUAAAUCCACACAAUUGUUCAUCCCAAGAUCAAGCCCCGACGGCCCUUGGAUCAACAAUCAUCCAUCUUCAAGAUCAAGCCCAAAAGCCCUCGAAGAUCCGUUCAUCAUUAUUCUUCAAGAUCAAGCCCCGACGGCCCUCGAAGAAAGUGUUCUUCAAGCCCCAAAGGCCCUUGAAGAACUUCCACCAAUUCAAGAUCAAGCCCCGACGACCCUUGAAGAAAGCACCAUCGUUCAUCAUCCGUUCAUCCUAAGAUCAAGCCCCAACGGCCUUUUGGAUCAACAAACGUCGACAAAUCCAUACAUCCAACCGUUCUUCAAGAUCAAGCCCAAAAGCCCUUGAAGAUCCGUUCAUCACUGUUCUUCAAGAUCAAGCCCAAAAGCCUUUGAAGAUCCGCUCAUCACCGUUAUUCAAGAUUAAGCCUCAACAGCCCUUGAAGAAACACUCAUCCUCAAGAUCAAGCCCCAACGACUCCUUGAAGAUUCGCUCAAAUCCACCUUCAAAGAUCAAGCCCACGGCCCUUGAAGAAACUUCCAAUAGUUCAUCCAAAAUCAAGCCUCGACGGCCCUUGGAUCAACGAAACAUCCACAAAUCAACACUUUACGGAGAUCGAAUCAGAGGAUCAAAUUUGAGAGAGAUUGUAACCCAAAAUCAUCAAACACAAAUAUUAUUUUGUGCAUGUUGUUCUUGUCUCUUUCCUUUCAUGAAUUUUCCGUGUUCACACAUAGCCCUAUAGAAUUUGUAUGCCUUUAGUAAGUUCAGUGCUUGAGUUAACCCUAUAGAUUUUAUGAAAUACUAGGGUUUGAUUUUGUUGGAGUUUUCUAGUAUAGUUAGAACUUAGAAACUAUUCUGCUUAGUUCUUUUGAUUAGGCACACCAGCCAGUCGUGGUGCGGUCUAUGUUGUCGAGGAAGCACAAUCUGAAAAGCUCAGAUUUCAGACGAGUCGUCUUAAGGCAACGAGCGGUCUCAGUCUGCCUGAACGCGGUUUAACUAACUAAAUUAUUUUUGGAAAGUUACCUGAAUUAAGAUCUAAAUUAGAACAAUUGCAACUCAUAUAGUAGGUUGCAACCUUUGGAAGUGUCUAGAUAGUUUAGAUACUAGAAUUUCAGAAGCAUUCAUUACGUCUGUUGUCUUCGAGAGAAACAUCCAAAUUCUAAGGAUCAAGUGUUAGAACCUUUUAAAGACAGUUGAAUUCUGGUUAGACAUCGUUCAUUGAACCACUACCACACGACUAGGUUCAAAAUUCUGUCCAAGGACAUUGCCAAAAAAACCUUUUAUCUUUUUCAUAACAUUCUGAUACUGGAGCUCAAAUUGAAUGAGAAAGGGUUGCUCCCUGUUUAAGUCAAAUACAAAGGGAGCUAAUAUAUAUAUAAGCUGUUGGUCAGACAGAAAAGCAGCAAAGCUUGGUGCGUGGAUGGAAGUUUUCAUAUGGCAACGACUUUGACUUAUUCUUUUCUUUUGCUUUUAAUUUGCUGAUACAGAGUCUUUACUCAUCGUAUGAACGUCUAUACCUAGUUUGUAUGCAAUUUUAGUGAACUUACACGCCGAAAUUAAACCUACUCAACCCUAAUAUAUAUAUUUAGAACUUUCUACAUGUUUAUAGGGUUUUAAAAUCCGCAUUACAGCAGAAGUACCCUCACUAGUAUUUAACUAAACGUCUAAAACUGUAAAAAUAAAAAUUAAUAUAUGCAUACAUGUCAAGGUGCAAUGAUUCAAAUUUUUAUUCUUUUUCAUCUUUUUGGGAUUGAAAAGUUUUCCAAAAAAAAAAAUCAGUAUUGACUCAUUCUGAACUCUUUUUAUUUUUCAUUUUCCACAGGGCCUCCACCCAAGGCCAAUUCCUGCAUCUCAAUGGAUGCUAGUUUAGAAGGUCAAACAUAUAUGAAGUUGACCCCCAUGCAAAUUGUCCAUCUUAAACUACUUUUAUUCAUAUACUGAAGUAAAAAAUAUGGACCGGUUCAAGAGGGUCCAUGUCCUUGAUUCAGACCCUCUUUAAUUCAAACUUCAAACACCGCGGCUCCAAGUCAAAUUAAUCAGACAAUUACACACACUAAACUCCAAUUAAACCCUAGUUAAUUACUAAUAACUUCACAAUUUUGCAUCUCUAUAUAUACCAAACCCUCCCGCUUGUUUAUAUGUAUACAAAAAUGGCCUACUUUCUUCGGGAAAAGUACCAAAAUGCUGCAUUGGUUUUCACAAUAUUGUUAUGCGUAUCUGGUUUGCAUGAAGUUUUGGCUAUGAGGCCAUUAGAGGGAGAUCACUGGACGGAAAAUGAUUCUCUUCACGUUCAAUCGCUUCGGGGCAAGGCGCCUCCGACCGGGGGCAAUCCAUGCACUCAUAUUCCAGGACGCGGCAGUGGACGGUUCACGUUUGAAAUGGACGUUGCCGGUGGAGGCCAUGCAACGCAAGCGGCUUUCCCAGGCCACGUUAUUAGUUUUGCAGCAGCUACCGCUUCUGUUACGCCGAUGACACUGAAAAGCAAAGACCAAUUUAGUUCUUGAUCAUCAUGGUUUCCCAAGGUAGCUGAAUUCAACUAUAAAUUGAAGAAUAUUGACAUUAUAAUUUGUAAUUGUAAUUAUUUUAUUUUAUUUUUUUGUUAAAUUUGUUUAUUCUUUAUUACCUUUGGGAGCUAGCAACCAUGCUAAAGCUCAAGCAAGAAGCAUGGUUGUUUCUCAACGAUGUUAAGGAAUCUGAUGUUUAACAAUUAACAGCAACAGUGCUGAAUGAAAUUUAAAUUUAUACGAUUCUUUAUUUUAAUUUCUGGACACUUUUUUUAUUAAGUUAUAUGAUGGACUCAGAGAAUGCAAUUUGUCAUGCAUGAACAAUUAUGUAGGUUGUAGGUAUGGUCUCCAAGGUUUUAGUCAUAGGAUGGCAUGGGCCUUAAAUUUUUGUACGUCUUUCCCUGUUUCAUGGGGCUUCUUUUUGCGUAUCAAAAACCCUACAAGCUAGCUUAUCUUCGACAACAUUCCAUUCUCGAGACAUGGUGAAUCUAUUAAUUAAAUAAAUAAAUAACCAAAUUGGACGAUAUUAAAUUAGAGAAUUAUACAAAACAAACCAAAUAUUGGACCAAUUGAGAGAAAAACUUACGAGGUCCUUGAAGAAAGUUGAGGUUCUACCAUAAAACUAAUUAGUAAUAUAGGAAAUAGCCCAACCUACUAAUAAGCUCAUGCAAGGUCUCUUCUCUCAUUAAUGUGAGAUUUAUUCUCAACAGUCUUACCGUCCUGAUUUUGGUGAACUCUUGAAAAAUUGUGUCAGAAUUGUCAACAAGAUGUAUUGUUAUUGCUUCAUUGUCUCCAUAAUCUUCGAUGGUAUCUUUGCUUGGUUUAUUGUUGCUCACAUAAGCAAUCGAGCAAAUCAUUGACAAUGUCGUAGUGACAAUGGUGGAUACUUCUCAAUAGAAAUUUCUGAGCAACAUUGUUUGGACAAGGAAUUUUGGGCUUCUUUUUUCAAUAGAAAUUUCUAACAUCUUUAAUGAUAUAGACAGUUGAGUAGAAUAUCCUCAAAAACAUCAAGAAGUUAUUUCAAAUGAAACUUUCUUGGCUCCUCCCAUAGCCUCUCUAGACCAAAAAAUAAUAGAUAAUCGUAACUUGUCACUAACUGUUCCUCUUCAUUAAAAAAAAAAAUUCACUUAUGUUUCAUUUGGCUGCCCUAAUCUCACUUUUCUCAUAUGUGAUACCAAAUUAAAGUACCUGCAGCCUGCAUGUCAUUAUUCUCAACGACUCAUUGGUGCAGGGAGUAGGAGAUUCCUCAUUGACAAAAAAAGCAUAAAAAGAAUGAAAAAAACUGGCUCUUUUUCAUUAUCUUUUUAUUCGAAGCCAUGAGAAAUGAAAAGCUUUAUUUUGCAGAUGUACAACAAGUCCUCCCCUCUGAAAACAUUUUUUUUAUGUGCAAGAAAAGCGUGUGUUGUACGUGUCCUACCAAAAGCAGAGUGUCAAGCAUAUGGGACAUGUUUCUGCGGCCAGUCACAUGGUUAGUGCAGCACGGGAGGAAAACCAAGUACCUUAAGGGGCCCAUAGGACCUAUUGGUUUAUAAUAAUUUUAGUGUAAACGUCAUAUCGUCAUAAACAACUCUUGUAUUUUUAUGUAGAAUUAUACAUCAUAUUAUGUAUAACACAUGUAGUUAUCUAUUAACAUUAUAAUUUGAUUAUAUGGCGAAAUCAUUUAAGUCUGAUUCAAAAUAUAUCACAUAUGACAUCCAUCUAACUUAUACAUUAUUAUUUACUCAUAUUGUAACACGUUAAAUGAUAACAUCGCGUAACAAAAUCCGGUUACAACAUUUCUCACUAGCUAGGAGCCCAAUGGCCAUGGGAUUUGUUGUGUGAAAAAGGGAUUUGGAUCCUCUCCUGAGCUAAUGGAGAGGAUCCUCCUGAUCAGUUAUCAUGAGCCGUUGGAUAAAAAUCUAACGGCUAUAAUUAUUAUAACUUUAAAGAGACUCCCUGUUUAUAACCGUUGGAUAAAAAUCCAACGAUCCAUGAUAACUGAUCAGGAAGAUCGUCUCUAUUAGCUUAGGAGAUGAUCCAAAUCUGUCAAGGGCAUGCGGUGUGACAUUUCAAGCCAAAAUGUACAGGCAUGUGGAACUGUGCAUGUCAUAUUGAACGGUAUUCUAGCAGCAGCUUAGCUGUCGUUUUGACUGCAAAACCUAGGCAUAUAAUUUGGCACCCUCUUCUAUGUGCUUCGACUCCCACAAUCCCACCUCCCACCACCACAAUUCUAAGCAAAUGGUUGGUGACUUGGUUAAAUUAUUACUUUAGUAAACUACUCAGUAUUUAAGGAUUCUCAGCCGCUCAGGCUCUGGGGGAGGAGAAGGGAAAAAUCUUCAGUGUGUCGGAAUCAGUAUGGCGAGAACGUUUUUGGCGCAUCAACUGGGGUAAUACAAGUGAUUAGAAAUUUUUUUCAAAUAUUUAACCAUUUGUAUAUUGUCAUAUUUAAUGUACUAGAUCGUAUUUCUGACAUAUUGAAAAAUUUCUUCAAGAGAAUAAUAAAGGAUCAAUAUCCCUAAGAAUAAAAGAGUAAGACCAUGAGAUUAUGAGUUGUUAUGCUUAUGACGUUUCCAAUGUUGAUACUUAAAUUUAUAUGAUCUCUAUAAGUUGUUAUACUUAUGUUUAUUUCUAAUAUGAAGACUCAAAUCUUAUAUCGGAGUGAGUAUUAAUUAGGGUUUCUUUAUUGGGGUAUAAACUCAACACUGAAAUUCAAAUUAUUUCAAACUCGCACUCUUGUUUGGGUUUGAUUGUAACUUUUUAGUUGUGUCAUGAUUGUGAUCAUUCUUCCUUUAACAAAACUAAACACAUGCUACUGAUACAUUUAUAUUUUUAGCUGUUUGAUUCUUGAUCAAGAAUCCAACAAAAAAUAUCUAAACUUAAAUAUACCAGUAUAUAGGAAUAUAGGAUACAUCCAAACAUGUUACAAUUUUCGGGUGUUUUACGAAUAACAUAGAUAUUCAGCCCAAUGCAAACAUUGCAUGGGAAGUCAAUUUUGAUGCUUGAAACAUAUAACAGUGUCCAUCAGAAAAGAAAAAUGAAAUGAAAAACAUAAAAUUUGAUGCUUUUCUUCGAUAUACAGACUAGGAAAAGACCAAGAAAGGGGCAGGACAGCUUUUACGGUUUGAUAUAGAGGAAUCAAUAUUUACAGUCGCAAACAGUAUUCCUCAGAAUUUGAUACUCUAUUUUUUCGUACAUUUUUUUUUUUAAAAGAUACUAUAGAUAAUAGUAGCUUUAGUGAUUGUGCCAAGGAACGCUUUGCAAUCCUCCACAAUUUGUCUGAUGGAAGACAAAUUGAGGCUGGGAUCCCUCAACACCUUCACAAUCUGAAAUAAAAAACCCCUAUCAAUUUCAAAAACUAAUUUGGUGUUAUUCACGCACUUAUUUUUAUUUUCUAUAUUUUUUUGUUAAUCUUUAUCUUUCGAUCAUUUUCAUUAUUCGUAUCAAUGAUCGGAAAUUAAAAAAUAUGUGUAAAAAGUAAGAGACAGUGAAUAUAGCACCACCAAAAGAAUAUUGCAGAUUAUGCAGAUACUCUUAAAACGAAGAUGUUUCUGAACCUGGUCUGUCUUACUCUGAACAUUGCACAAACCCUUUUUAAACUGUGCACGAAUCUUAUUCUUAAAUACUGUGUUUUAUUAGUUAAUUACUUAAGUUUUAUUUAAUUGUUAUUUGCAGGUGGAACCAGAAACCAGAUAUUCCUGAUUAGGAUAAUGAUACUGUGCUUUGUAAGUUGUAUAAAUAUAUAAUUUCUGGUGUAAUUCCAUCACGUCCUCGGUAAUACUGAGCUAAUAAAAUAUAUAUUAGCAAACCCUAAUAUAAUAAGAUGAGACACAGUCACGUGGCUGCUAUCGAGGAGACAUACUUUCUGGGAUCCUGACAGGUGCCAAAAUAAUAUAUAUCACCCCACCAGAAAGGCCUAGUGAAUCCUGAGAAAAUAAAGUACGUACAAUGUGUAAGUAUGUAUAUAUGGGGUGAAGUUUGAACUAUGGGAGUCUCCUGUCGCUGUACAUGCCAGCCCAGUAAAAUUCCACCUACGUAGUACAAGUCCAAAUGCUAGGGCCGGUCCUGAGUUUUUGGGUGUUCAGUGCGAAAAUUCAAAAUAUGUCAUUUUUUAAUAUGGAAACAUAUGUUUUAAAAAAUGUUUAACGAGGGCUAGAACCCAGUCGAAGCUGGGGGGCCAGACCCUCACGUCUAAAUUAUAUUACUUGAGAAAAUAUACAACGGGGGGACAUAGUACCUAAACCCCGACAAUCAAGAAUACAAUCAUAUACAACCACUCCUAGCAAAACUCCUUGAAAUUUCAACCUUUAAGAAAUUGUCUUUUGCCAUUUUUUGAAGCAAAAUCAUCAAUUAUAUCAUCAUACUCCAAGUCUUCAAUCUCAUCAUUUUCAAUGCAUAAGAUUGCUAAUCCAUUUAGCAUAUCUUGAGUCAUAAUGGUCCGCAAGUAAGAUUUUAAUAAUUUCAAUUUUGAAAAACUUCUUUCUGCAAAUGUCACGGUUACAGGUACAGUCAACAAUACACGAUAAGCAAUCAAGACAUUAGGAUACAUGUCAGUUUCUUUUACAAAGUUUGCUAUUUCCAUAGAUGUCCAAGGGUUAUUAGAGAGAAAUGCUUUUUCAGGUAACAUUAUUUGCAACACCUAUAAUUCGGAACAUAAGUCGGCUAGCAAAUGCACAGGGUAGUCCUCCUCCACAGUUUUAUUCUUUUUGACUCCUCUCAGUGAAAACUACAGAGAUGAGAUCAAAUUAAAGAGUAAAAGUUUGGGUUUCUAAUCCGAAUGUGUGCUAUUGGUUGAUUAUCUCUGUUCAAAUGCAGCAAAUAACCAAUCGUUUCGGCCUUAGGGUUUAUGUUAGUCCCUAGGGUUAUAUCUUCACUCUUUUAUCUCCUUCAGAGGAUAAAUAGACAAUAUGAAUAACUUUCAGGGAAUGAUAAUAUUAGAGUUGUGAUAUUUUUAAUCAUGCAAGCACAGCUGUAUUGUGUUGAAAAAUUAUAAUGCAUGAUAAUAUAUACGUGAAUAACUUUGACACUGCAAGAAUAGCUUUUCCUUUAUAAUUUCUCACAAACCUUAUAUAUCUGGUUAUUGGCCAUAGCAUCGUUUAGAGACAAAGAUUCCUAAUGCUAAUCCCCUUGUGGUUAUCAUAAUUUUGGUAAUGUAGCAAUAAGUAUCGUGCAUGCAAAAUGCUACAUCAGUCCCUUCGAACGUGAAUUUAUUUAGACUAUUCAUAUUUAUGUAACUCAGAAAAAUAUUAACAAUAAGAAUCAGUACUCGUCAUUGGUGCAUUACUGUAAUGGUCAACCCUAGUGAGACUUAAAAUCACGGGUCGAAGAGCGGAGGAAGCUCUGAGUGCUAGUACUGUAGUAGAGUACACAGCUGUGGAUAUAUUUGGUCUUGGCAGAUAAUAAUGAGCAGGCGCGUGGAGGUAGAGCUAGGGUUUGGCACAGGUCGGGAGGGAAGGUCAGGGACAAGACCCAGGACCUAUAUGCAAAGGUGGCAAAAGCAUGAAAGUGAAAAGAAAAUAAAGCUAAUGUCUAAAGGAAAAGACAGGAUUGGAAUAUGAGUGCACAAAACAAUUGAGACACCCCAACCACCCAUCAUGUUAUCAAAGCUGGGAGCACCACCAACCUUACCUAUAUAUCCAUCUAUCUCCUUCAUGAUUCGACUUCACUAGUUAUUCACCCAAUAAUAUGUUCCUUUUCUUUCCAAGUUUCCAACACUUCCAACACCAUGGACUCUGGGAUCCCUCUUAAGUAGAGCACAAUAAUUCAUAUAACCUAGCUUUUUAUCAUAUCUCAAAUUAUAACCCUAAUUUUUAACAUGAAAAAGAUAAUUAUUGUGGAGAUAUUUAUGUACAAAAUGAGGUAAAUGUUCAGAUUUCAUGCUACAACGCGUGAUUGAUUUAUAUAUUGUUUCUUUGACAUCAAGUUUUACCUUUUAAUUAGGUAUUUUUUUUAGAUUUGGCUAACGAGUCGUGUUUUUAUGUCAUACAUAUUAUAUUAACAGAUAAUAUCGUGUCAAAUUUGUUAUCUUAAUGACUUUUUAACAAGUGACCCGAUAAUAACCCAACUCAUUAACAGGUUGUGUCGUUUCGUGUUGGGUUAAUGGAUCAUGAAAAAAAAAUUCAUGUCUAAUGUAUAGACUUGGAAAACGGGUCAUGUUCUUGUCGUUUAUAUGUCAUAUCAUUUAUCUUAACGAGAAUCUUAACAUGUGAUAUCCUUUAUCUUAACGAGAAUCUUAACAAAUGACCUGAUAACGACUCAAUUCAUUAAAAUAUAACCCAAUAAUGAUCCGAAUCGUUAAUGGAUUAACCUAAAAUGUAUUUUUUUUCGUAUUAUUUCAUGUCGAAUCAACGAAUCGUGCAAAAAUUAUCAUGCUCCACAUGCAUAAGAAAGUAGGGCAACUUGUUACUGUUAGAAGGAAAGCAUCGUAUGGUAAUGGUUCAGUGACUUUCUGCCCCCACAAACCACAAAAAGAAAUUGGCCAGUUAAGCCUUUUAAGAUUUUUUUACCUUUUUCACAUGACAUUGUCACAUUGCAACCGUAGCAUCCCACAACCACAAAAAUGCAACGUAGCAUCUCGUCCCACAACCACAAAAAGAAGCUGCCCAGCAUGACCUUUUAAGAUAGUUAGAUGGCAUCGAUAUUCUCCUUCCGUGUUAUCAUAUUUUAACUGUUUCAUAUAUGAUUUGCUUGAAAUACUGCAACAGGGGCAUCCUAUGCAAUUUCUUCCCAACAACCAGAAAAAGAGCUGCACAGCUGACCCUUUUAAGAUAGUUAGAUGCUCUCCUAUUGGAGGCGUGUCUAGCUAAGGGGAUAACUUUGAAAGUAGCUUUAACACUGCUAAUCCAUUGAGGGGCCCUAAUGUGGGAGAGAGAGGAUAGUUGGAAAUGGAGUGGAGGACACCAGAGGUACAGGGCAUGUGAACUCUUUGGGGUCCCUUUCCUGGCCAGAUCAUAUUUUCCAGGAUAUAAUGAAUACAUGAUGAAUCAUGCAUGCAGAUGUCAAUAUAUUUCUUCCACAUAUUCUUCAAAUUAUUAACUGAUAUGAGAUAAAAAAACCAAAUAAAUAUCUUCCUUUGAGGUGUUGAAGUAACUGGUCGAGUAGUUCAGCAAAUAUCACACUUCUACUUAACAAAAAAAGAAUAUCUACAUUUCAAUUAGUGUGCAUCUGAUGAUAGUGCUGUAAGAUCACCUAGCUGUGACAUUUUGCAGUAAAUUUCUUGCCUAGCCAAAUGGAAAUGAUUAAAACACUUGCACAAAUUCCAUGGUUAUAUGCGGUAACUUUGUUUUCAGGAGAAAACUAAUCUAGGGCAUGAUACAUAUUUCUAUAUCAACCGCAAUACCGGAUGUAUGAUACAUAGUUAUGUUAGAGUAAAUGUAGAAAUAUAGAGAAUAAUCCAAAUGAUGACUUUGAGAUACGAAUUAGAUCGUUUUCUUAAAGUGUUAUUGACCCCCACUCGAAUGAGUUUGCUAAAAGGUUCUUGGCAAAUCACUUCCAGGAUAUAACAAAGUAUGGAAUAUUCGAUUAGCAAAACCGAAUUAUAUUCCCUUAGAAAUAACUAGAAAUAAAUUGGAUGAAAGUAAUGGAGAGAGAAGAGAGUAAGGAAUGCAUAAACAAAUCUCUGAAAAAUUGUGUGUGAAACAUUAUGUCACAAUAGGUAUUUAUAGGUAUUAAAGCACCCGUUCAUCGAGUUCUUUCAUUUUAGUUGAAGAUAUACAACAUUUUUUAAUAGUGUUAACCCAAAAGACAUGUCUUUUAUUUAGAAUUUUCAGAAAAUAAAUAUUGACUAAUUACAUCUUUUAAUUAUACUCAUACAAUUUGAGUAAACAUCAUAUCCUUUAACCAAGAGUUGCAGUUCAACCAAAAGAUACAAGGUUGAAUUAAUUCAACCUUUUGGUACUAUUAUUUUCGCACACACAUGCUGCACAAUGCAGCACCAAGUCACAUAUAUAUAAUAUAUUUAACCAAGAGUUGCAUUUCAACCAAAAGAUACAAGUUUGAAUUAAAUUCAACCUUUCGAUACUAUUAUUUUCGCACACACACACAUAUAUAUAUAUAUAUUCACUCGAAGAGAAGCAACGGUUGGGCAUAUACCUAACUUUUCAGCUAACGAAUAUAUGAAUAUAUUCUUGAAAUAUUCAACAAGUUAUAUACUCUAAGUAACAUUUAAAAAUCUCUUCGAUAAGUUAGAGUCCCUAAAUCUCCAAAAACUGGGUUUUUGGUAGGAAUAAUUUACCAAUUCAUUUUAAAGUAGUAUUGGUACAGUCAAAGUACACAAUGUUGUAUAUUGUGCAGGAGAAUGAUUUAUGCACCGUUUACAAUCGGAGCCCAAAUGUUAUAUUUUGGGGGUGCGACUCAAAGAUUCUAAAUAAAUAUCCAAAGAAUAAUGGUUUGCUUCUGCUGCUUGCAGUUGCAGAAAAAAGUAUGGAGGCAAGCAAGUGAGAUCACGUGCCUAGCAUCUGGAGAAGAGCGCGUGGGCAUUGGUGAAUGCAAAGGAAAGGAGCUUUCAUGGAAUCUAUUGACGAAGCCAAUACGUCAUCAACAUUAACAAGAGAGACCACAAGGGUUUGGACUCGAGCUGUGAGUCCAAAUAACCCAACAGGCAUUGCUGUGACCUAUCAUGUAUGAAAAUCCUAGUGGUACUAACAUAUCUUCAUGUUUUUUGGAUGGGUGUGAUAUUCACACAUUCCUUUUCACUUCUCUCAUACUUUUUUAAUUUUCGGCCGUCAGAUCGAAUGAAUUAAAGAAGAUCAAAGGACAAAAAUUAACAAGGGUGUGAGAGAAGUAAAAAGGGGUAUAUGGAUAGCACACAUCUUUUCGGAUAAUCAUAUCUUCAUGUUUGAUCCCUUGUGUUCUUUAUAGGUCACGUUGCCCUAGUUACUUUAUAAUGAGCAUGUUGCUGUGACGAUAUCUUAAGUCAAUUUCGUGUUAUUAAGUAUGAUUCAAGUGGAAUUAAGUUAUAAUUGUGAUGCUAUAACCUAUCACCUAUAACAUGUGAAUGUGAUGAUAGUAUCAACAUUUCUUCUUGUUUAAUUCAAUUAUUUUAGCAUACUAACUUAUCCAACUAAGAUGUUACAAUGACGAUAUUUCAAGUCAAUCAUAUUUGCAGCACAGAUCCACAUAGGGACCCAAAUGGCCCUGGAACCCUUCAGAGGUUUUUUUUGGGGGGGGGGGAAUAGCAAGCAAAGGUCCUGCAAGUAUCCUUUUGGAUGUUGGCAUGUGACUCUUGUGCUCAACAAGUAUUUGAUAUAAUGUUUCUCGAUGUUAAAUAGUACCCGGCUGGGGAUCUUGAGAGAACUUAGUAGGGCCACUCGACAACACUUAGUAGAUGUGGCUCGAUAGAGGACGAGAUGCACACCACAUGCCUGACAAAAUGCAAAACUGAAAAAAAAUAUACAAGAUUUGUGCGUUGUGCGCUUUAUUUUCUUUUCCAAUCAGACCUCAAAGUUAGAACCUUAGAUCUGUCAAUACAUGCAUGGUUACAUUCAGUUUACAUGCAACUAGAUGUAAAGUUUGUAAACUGUGACAAUUUUCUAAAUCAAUCACACAUGGUUAAAUUUAACUUACCUAUCUAUAACGGAGUGUAAUUGCAAUCAUUUUCUAAGCUAAUCAUGCACGAUCAAGUUCAAUUUAUGUACACCGAGAAUGUAACUAAAACGGUAUCCAAGGACCCAAACCACUCAUAAAGUGCCAUGUAAAAAAGCUAAAACACAUUGCAAGCUUAAUUGACUUGAGCUAUGCUUAUGGAUUGUAGGUGAAUUUCUCUCCUCCACGUCUUACAAGAAGAGAGAGGAGAUAGAUAGAAGAAACUGAUGCCGAAAACCAAAACCAAGCAAAACUCCAAAAACACAUUAUUUGCAAUUCAUUUGAUUCGAUGAUCAGAAAUUAAGAGAGCGUUUUGAAAGUAAAAGGUGGGGGCGUAAAUACACUCUCUCUCUCUCUCCGCGCCUAUAUCUGUGCGGAGGUGGUGUCAUUGUAUGUCGGGAGAGAAAGUGAAAACACAGAGAGAAAAAUAGAAAAUAGAAGAAAAGAAAAAGCAAAGGCAUCUGUCAAAACUGUCUCUCUAUUUGGUUGCACUCUUUGCAGUAAGUGUGGCAUCUCAACUCUGUAAAAAAAAAGCUCUGUUCCUACUUUAGGAGUGAGAAAGUUAGAGAGAGAAACAAAGAGAGAGUGUCUUUCUGUUUGUGGUAGAGGAGCAGAGCAGAGAGGUCGACAUAUAUAAAAGAGAGAUGCAGCAGCACCUGAUGCAGAUGCAGCCUAUGAUGGCAGCCUAUUAUCCCAACAACGUCACUACCGAUCACAUUCAGCAGGUCCUCCUCCUCCUCCUCCUCUGCUUUUUGCUCGGUUUUUUUUUUUGCUUCUGCACUUCCAUUUGGUUUUUGGUUUCUCCUGCCAUUUUCUGUAUCCACUUAUUUAAAAUAAAUUAAUUUACCCCCCUUUUCUAAUCUCUGAAGUAUUGAUUUUUGGUAUGCUUAAUGGGUUUUUCUUGUUUGAUUCCUCUUGGUUUUUUCUAAUGGACUAUAUAGACAUAUAUGAUGGUAUGUACAUGUAUCAAUGGAUGUUUCUUCUGAUUUUUUGAAAGUUUCUUCAUAACCUCAUCAAGCUAGUUUCUUUGUCUGUUGCCAAGUUUGUGUCCUGUUUCUUAGUGAAGUUUAAAUGGGUGUUGAGGAUGCAUACCUGGGUUAGGCCAUUUGGUUGCGACGGUGUGCCUAUCCCCUUGCACCAAGUUCGAAUCCUCCUCCCGAUAGUUUAGAAUAUCGUCUCAUAAGAAAAAAGGGUGAUGAGAACUGAUAAAUGGUUUCUUUUCAUGUUGGAUAUUUUGAUUUACUAUACAUGUUAUUUAUUGUGUGUAGAUUUAAACUUCGGCUCGUUUGGAAGUGCUUGUAAAAUAUAAGCGAUUAUGAUGAAAAUGUUUUUGUAAUCGAUCCUUAGUAAAAAUGCAAAGUGAAUCCUGAAAAUGCGUUUGCAGUUGCAGGAAGCACUUUAAGUGUUUUGGGCACACUUCUAAACGAGCCCGAUUCUUCUGUCUGUUGGAAAUAGUGAUUACUCACAUAACCAUGCAUUUUCUUGUGCCUCAUGAGUUUAUCUGGUGUCCUUCCGGCUGCAACCUAACUUAAAGAGUGCUGCUUUUGUUUCUGUUUUGACAAGUUGUGACUAGUGAACUAGACUUUGUGCUUUCAUUUACGCGUCGGUCUCUUGAAAAAUCUUUGAUGGCAUCACUAGAAUUAUGAAAGUAUUUAGCUUGAUCCUUACAGAUUGCAUUUACAAUAUGUGCAUCUGUUUUGGUUGGCCAUUUGAUUCCAUUAAUUUUGUAGGACAUAAGUUGAAGGUUUUGCUAGUUUCUUCACAUCAUUCUCCUCGUAGAUAUAUUACUAUUUUGGACCAAAUUGGCUGAUCUAGUUUAGAUUUCAAGUUGCACAGAAAAAUUCGUUACGAAAUAGCAAAUUAGCAUAAUCAAAGACUAAUCAUUUGUAGUUGCACCGAAAUGGUAGCUAUGGAUUGGUUUAAAACUAUGAUUAUCUGCUUAAAGUGCUCGUUUGGCAUGUUCUUCGGGCACCAAAACAGCGAAACCUUCAGGAUUCUGUUCCUUUGAAUGUUUCUAACGCAGGUCACGUCUUCAUCUUGUUAUCGAGCAUGUUUCCAGUGUCGGGUUUCAGAUAAGUGUGCAGCUAUUUUGUCGACCCUGCAAAAGUUUGUCUAGUGAUAGGAACUAGUGACCAAUAAUCUUUCUUUUGCACAGCAAUGGUGUCUUUUUCUAUUUGUCUCUUUCGGAAUGUAUCACUUGCCCCAGUUGCUUACUUCCAUCUUUCUCAUAAAUUUGAGUAAGCAGUGUUGUUGGAUUGAUUCAGUUGGUUUGGUUACACAUACUACUAAUAAUCGUACUUUGAUUCUGUUCGUUAGCGUUACUGUGAAUUUCUUACUCAGAAAUUUUAGAACCUUUUCGCUUACCGCUCUUCUGGUCUGUAUUAUAUUCUUGUUAUCCUAUUGUUAAAUACCUUCUUUAAACUUUCCUGCAGUACUUGGACGAGAACAAGUCGUUGAUUCUGAAGAUUGUUGAGAGCCAGAAUAACGGGAAACUGAGUGAAUGUGCAGAGUGAGCAUUUUAUUUCUUAAUUAACUGCUGCUUUGCUUAUCUUUUGUUAUCACUGAGUGCUAUUCAUUAGCUGCAUGCUGUAAGCUGACACCCUCUUGCCUACAGUAUCGGAUUUAUGAGCAUGCAUCAUUUAGUUUAAUGGAUACUAUCGAUUUCCACGAAUGAUGAUUCUGUUUAGUGUGGCAAACUUCUGUUUUGAGUAUGUACUUUGUCGGAAGGAUGCCGUAAAUUCUUACCAUGGCAUAAAUUAAGCCUUUUUGAAGGAUGCCACUAAAUUACUGCAAGUGAUGGAUGCCAUUUAUAACUAUUUCGAGUACAUAAAAGGUUGCGAAAACAUCGUUUUAGUUGAACUCUGAUUGCUAUAUAUAUAUAUAUAUAUAUAUAUAUGUUAGGCUCGUUUUAGCUUGUGUCAAAAAGCAGAAUUCUUGUGUUUAAACUGCUAGAUGGGUCAGUAAUCGUUUGCAAUUAUUGCAGGAACCAAGCAAGGCUACAGCGGAAUCUGAUGUACCUGGCUGCCAUUGCUGAUUCACAACCCCAGCCUCCUACCAUGCAUCCUCAGGUACAAAACCUCUUUGCGAAAAAAACUAAUAAACUUGAAGGGCAUCGACUGAAUCUGUUAAGUGUCACCGCGUAAUUCAGUGUCCCGAAAUUGUGCAUUUCCUGAUUGUUUUCAUGAAAUGCUUUGUAGUACUCUUCCACCGGCAUGAUGCAGCCAGGAGCACAUUACAUGCAGCAGCAAGCAGCUCAGCAGAUGACACCACAAUCGCUCAUGGCUGCGCGCUCUUCCAUGAUGUACUCCCAGCAUCCGUUUUCAGCUCUGCAGCAACAAGCCCUGCAUAGCCAACUUGCUAUGACUGCUGGAGGAAGCGCGGGUCUGCACAUGCUCGGGAAUGAGGGAAAUAAUGCUGGAGGGAGCGGGCAACUUGGGGCUGGAGGGUUUGGUGAUUAUGGGCGCAGCUCUCCUGGAGAAGGCAUGCAUAGGAGGAUGGCCGGUGGGAGUAAGCAAGAUAUGGAUGGGCGCGGCGGGAGCUCUGGAAGCCACGGUGGAGAUGGGGGUGAGACUCUUUACCUGAAAUCGACCGAUGAUGGAAAUUAAGCGGUGAAAUGAUGGACAUUUUGGUCUGUUAGCAUCUGAACUUAGGGAAUUAGGUGAGGAAACGAAGUUAGCCGAGGAGGGGGAAAAAACUUGCUGCUUAAGACACUUGUGUUUUUAUCUGUUUAGUGUUUAUCCUCAAAACUUGAACUAUGGUUAUUUUAGUGAGACAAUGCAGUUAUGGUAGUAUAUCAUGUAAAUUUUUGCAGGCUAACUUCUUGAUGCGCUUUCAUUUUUUAUGUUGAAAUUUUCGUGCUCAAUUCGCUGGGUUAUUAUGAAUCAAGAUUUCAGAGAGACGGAUCAACAAUCUUCUGCUAAUCAACACUAAUAGUUAAAAAGGGACGCAGAAUCUCUGCUUUCCCACUUCCCGUGCCCUGUUGUGUCCUCUUGUUUUGUGUGGUCACGGUUAAGCCACGUCAACAUUUUAUAUAUAUAUUUUUUAUAGAGAUAAUAAGACAAAAAUGAAUAGUAAUAUAAAAUAUUGACGUGGUUUAACAGUAAUCACACAAAUAAAAUGGCACGGAAGGACACGAGAAGUGAGAACGCAGAGAAUCUGCCUCUGUUUAAAAAAAGCCUACAACUUGCAGUAUCGUACAAUACAGCAGGUGUGGACGUUUAUCACAAAACGGUCUCAUUACAAUUAGUAGUUGAUCUAUUAGUUAUAUGUUAUGUCAAAUUUCUGGCGCUGAAUUUUUUACAUUCUUCAACAUAGCGAUCACUUCAAAUGUAGGUGUUUGCGAAUUAAACUCGAAAUUAAAUAUUGAUUUUACUUCCCUAAUGUAGUAAGGUACAGUAUAAGCUUGCAACACUGCAAAACUGCUAGGAACACAUGAAAUUCACAAUAUCGUAACACUCUCCAAAAGAAAAAGAAAAAACAGAGGAAAACAGAGUCCUCUGUUUCCUUUCAUCACACAUAAACACGUGGAGGUCGGUAACUGCUCAAGAUUUCAGCAACUGCUUCCCAUAAGUUGUUUUCAUCCAUAAGCUGAUCGGAAACAGCGGCCGGCGCAGGCGGAGGAGGGUGGUCCGAAAAUCUGAUCAUCGUAUCUGGUCUUGAGGCUUGUUCUUUUUCAUGAGUGGCAGUGCAUUCUUCAUCAGAUGGAGUGUUGGCAUUUUGGCCUGUGAAUUGCUGAACAAUUGCUCUGAACUCAGAAGCACUUCUGGCUUGGACCAUCAUAGGGCUGGAGAUGUACUUGAUCAUGGGUUCUUUUGAUUUGGCGGGUUUUUUGCUUUGAUGAUCAGGCUGAGAUUGUUGGAGGUGAUUUUUGAGUUGUUCCAUUUUUUAGAGAGAGAGAGAGAGAGAGAGAGAGAGAGAGAGAGAGAGAUAGAGGACUGAUGUUAUGCUUACUUGGUCAUAUGCUUCUACAUAUAUAGAGAGAGAGAUAGAGGACUGAUGUUAUGCUUACUUGGUCAUAUGCUUUUACAUAUAUAUAUAUAUAUAGAGAGAGAGAGAGAGAGAGAGAGAGAGAGAGAGAGAGAGAGAGAGAGGACUGAUUUUAUGCUUACUUGGUCAUAUGCUUCUACAUAUACACACAGAGAGAGAGAGAGAGAGGAAAUAUGGAGAGGUUCUUGAAGGGGAGGAAGGGAAAGGGAUCCUUUCCCUUCCACCAAAUCCACAAAAUUCUCUUCGGAUCUAUUCUACCAAAUCCAUCAAUCCCGACUCUUGAAAUUUGAUCUAACCACUAAAGUUAUUGUAACUUUUAAAGGAGCCUCCGUUUUUAGCCGUUGAAUUAAAUUUUAAGAACUCAUAUUGGUGGAUUUGAUAAAUUUAGUAGAAGAGAUCCGGAAAUGAUCGCUUUUCAGGAGAAAGCAACCAAGAAGGAACCUUUGAGACAAAUUUGUGGAAAAAGUGAGGCAAGACUAAGAAAAAGUUGAUUGGAAGACCUAUGAUGCAGACUAUAUCUACUAAGAUAUUAUACAUUCAAUUUCUAAAAUGGCUGCUUAAUAUUUUUGUCUAAUUCCCAAGUUGCUGCUCACUUAUCAAUUACACACACACACACAUUUUUGUCUAAUUCCCAAGUUGCUGCUUCCUUAUCAAUUAUACACACACACACACACAUAUAUAUAUAUAUAUAUAUAUAUAUAUAUAUAGAGGAUUGUAUAUGAAAGCGUCCAGAGAUAUCGUUUUUAAUGUAGUAAAAAUGCAAUAACAGAAUUCCGUAAAGAUCGUGUAUUUAUUACAUAAGAAUUCUGUACUGAUAUAAAUGGUUCUUGAAUUUAUCUACUGUCAAUUAUCUUAGAUCUAUAGUGAAAAUCUCUGGUAAAAAGCUACUCUCGUAUAUUAUACAAACAAUGAUUUCCAUAAAUGAAAGGCCAAAUAAUCAAAUUACUUAAAAAUGAAAUUGUUUUAUUUAUUUAUUUAGUUUUUAAUUAUAUUAAAUAGCAGUUAUCAAUUUUGAUGAUUGAUGCAGUCAAUUAGGGUUAGUUUGGUAUUAUUGUAUUUUGAAAAAAAAAAUUGUUUCUUUUGUACUGUAAGAAUAAGUAGCUGUGAAAUAAAGUAGUAAAGUGUUUGAUAACGAUAAUUGUAAAAGUAUUUUUAAUAAAAAAAAAAGCAGUGUUAUAGUUUUGAUAAAUAUUUAUGUUAAACAGCUGUGAUUGUGUAAAAUGACAAAAAAAAAAAAAAAAAAACUUAUGGCCUUUUCUUCCUUUCUUUUUCUUUCUUUCUUUUUCUUACUGCCAAAAAGUUCAUGAUUGUUUCCUUUUUCCUUUCUAGCUUUCUCAUUCUUCUUUCUUUAUAUUUUGUUCUGCCAAAAUGUUUCUGCCUUUUCUUCCAUUUUUCAUCAAUGAUCCCUCCUGAAAUUUCAAAGUCCUCACCUACCUUCAUCCCUUCGCAUUUCUCUUUCAGUUCUGGUGAUCUUGAACCUUCAUCCUCACUCCCAUUUAUAUUUCUUGCAUUUCGAUUUCCAGGGCAUUACAUGUUUUGGAAUGUGCGGUGGUGGAUGGGUGGGUGGAAUCUGGGUUAUCAUCUAGUAGGGAGUGGGUUGAGAUCAUGGUCUGUGAGGUGGUGAUGGGUGUAUUUGGUGAGGAUUGGGAGAGAGAUGGGGUGGCGAAUUUGGGGAGUAAGAAGAGAUAGAGGGGAUGGGGUGGUGAAUCUGGGUAGUACGGCGCUAGAGAGCGACUGGAGAAAAGGGGGAGGGUGGAGUCCAGAACUGGGAUGAAGGAGAAAGAGAGGGUAAGGUUGUCAUUUUGAAAAAUUCAUUUAAUGGCAAUGUUCACUCGUGUAUUGUGAUAAAAAGCUGGUUUUACAAAGCUAGGUUUUGCUGCUUUGCCUUUUUAGCUUUUUUUCACUCAAAACUAUAAAAAAAAUACUAAUUUUGAAAGUUUACCAAACACAAAAAAACUGGGUGCUUUUUUUUAAAGUUAAGCAAUACCAAACUGGUACUUUUUUUUUUUGAAAGCUAGGAAAGAUUCAUUCCAGGGCACAGAGGCCAACGAAGAAAACAAGAGAGCCUACGAAGAGGCAAACAGCCAACAAGCUCAAGAAGGAAGGCAGCGUAAGGAGUUACAAACAGAGACACAACAACUAAGCUGAAGCGUCACUCCCCACACUACCACCAACAGCUAAUGUGGACACGGAAAACCAUCAUUAUUUAACACGAAAACAAGCGAAGAUGGAGGCCUAUCGACCCAAAUAACAUCACACAGCUCUGCACAAUCACGCGACGUAAGAGCAUCUGCCGCCGUAUUGGCUGUUCUUGGAACCCAAGACCAGCGACAGUUCUGGAAGGUUUCCCCAAAGAGCUUUACUCUUGCUAAAGUAGGAAUAGCCUCCCAACUGCCAUUCUUUAUAGAAUUUGAAAGGCAAGAAAUCGCCUCGGAAGAGUCAGAUUCCAGAAUAACCUCAGAUAGACCCAAAGAUGCACCCAGUUCACAGCCCCGCAGCAAAGCCAUAGCUUCGGCAGCUGCAGCACAGGGGGCCCGAAUGUGGUAACGAGCAGCCGCAAUGAAAUGAGCCUCAGCGUCGCGUAAAACCACUCCCACAAAACCCGAGCAAGACGUCUUGAACCAGCUGGCAUCAACAUUUAUUUUCGUAAAAGGGGGGGAGGAGGACACCACAACGGAGCACUGCCAGGAACCUGGCCGACACUCUCCCGAAACCGAUCAACUUCAGAGACACAGGAAACAGCUAGGAAAGACCCCACAGAAUUAGAAAUGGCCAGAACAACAUUUACAGGGUUGAUACGCACCUUAUUAAACACAAAAGCACACCUGGCCUUCUAAAUAUGCCAACAAGUAUAAGCCACCAAUCUUUGGGUCCAUAACAACUCAGAACGAUUACCAAUAUCAGGAUUAACAAUAGCAUGCAGCCAACUAAUCCAAGAGUUAAUAGCCAGCCUGUUAAUCUUAUAACUCAAAGCCCUACCAAACCAUACAGCUUGAACCCAUGGACAAAGGAGGAACAAAUGCUCAACAGAUUCAUCAUCACACAAGCAGAUAGGAUAGGUGGGGGAAGUGGUAGACCGCCUCCUGUACAGAUUCGCAUUAGUAGCCAUAAUAUUGUGCAGAGAGUUCCAUAAAAAAUGGCGUAUCUUAGGUUGAACAUCGAUCUUCCAUAUACAAUUCCACAACUUCUCCGGGAUGGAUCGAACAUUAGUCCCCCUCUGUUUCCUCCCCUUCUCACGGGCACAUGCAUUGCAGUUCUAAAAAAAUAUGGAUAAACCAUUUGAGUAAAGUAUAAUUAUGAAAAAAUAUGGAUGAUCAUUUUAAGUUUUUUCCAUGUUGAAAGUAAAAAAUGAGUUACUCAUGAUUAUUUAAGGAAAAUUAAUGAAAAUGACUUCAAAAGUUUGCAUUUUAACAAAAAACUACUCUAUAAUUUUAUUUAAUGAUAAGGACAAAAAAAAAUAAUAAUAAAAAAUAAAAAAUAACCUCACAAAAGCGCGUGUAUUGCAAAUUCUGUAAACUUACCAUAUAUAUUGUAGCAGCCCACACCUUUUAUUAUUAUUUUCUUUAGUAGCUUCAAACCCUAGCCUCAUAGCCCCACGUGCCUCCUUUGUCACAUCCCAGACCGACUCUGUUGUAGCACGAUAUUGUCCACUUUGGGCUUACCAUUAUCUCACGGUUUUGUUUCUGGGAACUCAUGAGCAACUUCCCAGUAGGUCACUCAUCUUGGGAUUGCUCCAACCCGAACUCGCUUAACUUCAGAGUUCCGAUGGAAUUCGAAGCCAGUGAGUUCCCAAAAAGUCUCAUGCUAUAUGGAGGUGGGCAUGUACAUAUAAGGCACAGAGGAUCCACUCCCCUGGGCAAUGUGGGAUCUAACAUCCUUCCUCUUUCUUCAUUUCAUGUUUAGGAGCUUUAAUGAUGAUAGUUAGUACUUUCAAUGCUCCCGUUCUCACCAUUUUCAACAAAAAUGUAAUAAACUAUCUCCCCAUAAUAAUCUUAAUUGAUGAUUUCCUAUUUGAACUUUUUGUGAGAAUGGAAUAGGCUCUCAUCUUUCCUAAAAUUAGAGAAAUACCUGCUCUCUUUAGACUUAAACAACUAAUUGCUUUGGAAGACACUUCCUGAAGAUAUUCGACCAUCAUAAUACUUUUGAUGACAUUCUCGUGUAUAGGAUAAUUAUUUGGGUUUGCUAUUCAUUGUUAGAAUGUUCAUGACUCAUCCAUUAAUUAGUAUAACAACUAAUCAGAAAACACAACUAAUCAUUUGUAUUUAGUUAAUGUUGAUGACAUGCCUUUUCCAAGUUUAUUUUUCAAACCAUUGGCCACUAAUUUCUUGGCCCCCAAAACCAUAGAUGCUAGUGUGCAUUUUCCAGUUGAGCUUCAUCUGUUGUCCAUUGUUUUCUCUACCAUGGUUAAUGAAAUAGUGAUAGUACUAGUGUUUAGUUUAAGAAAUAGUUAGUGUUUAGUUUACGAAAUAUUGAUAAUAUUAGUGUUUAGUUUAAUAAAUAGUCAAUGUUUAGUUUACAAAAUAGUGAUAGUAUUAGUAUUCAGUUUAAGAAAUAGCUAGUUUUCAAUUUAAGAAAUAGUUAGUGUUUUGUUUACGAAAUAGUGAUAGUAUAAGUGUUUGGUUUAAGAAAUAGUUAGUGUUUAAUUUACGAAAUAAUGAUAGUACUAGUUUAUGAAUUAGUGAUAGUAAUAGUGUUCGGUUCAAGAAAUAGUCAAUGUUUAGUUUACGAAAUAAUGAUAAUAUUAGUAAGUUAGUCAUUAUUUGGUUUGAGAAAUAGUUAGUGUUAAGUUCUAAAUAUAAUCAGUGUUCGAUUAUAGAAAUAAUCAAUGUUCAGUUGUAAAAAUAACUAGUGUUAACAUGACAUGACACAAACUUAAAUAAUUGUCCGAACUAAAGAUAAAAUCACUAUUUCGAAAUUAAAAUAAACAUUGUUUAUCAAACUGAAAAAUGAAAAAUUUUCUUUAUUUUUUGUCUUGUAAUAUUAUUACUUAGUUUGUUUAAAAAAAAAUUAUGAAACAAUGAUCAAAUAAACACACAAUAAAAUAAAAAGUAAAAAUUGUAAAAUUUAUGGAAUGAGAGUAGAGUGAUAUGAGAGAUGAGAGAAAAGAAAAAAAAGUUGAUAUGAAGGGGUGAGAUGAGAGGAGAGAGAAAUUUGAUAGGAAUAUGUGAAAGAGAGGAGAGAGAGAGAGGAGCUAAAAACGGUGGAGGGAGGAAGAGGGAGGAAGGGAAUAUGUGUGUAACUGAGUGAUGUGACGCGCGCAUAUUUUGAUUUUGAUUUUUUGUUUUUUUAAUUAUUAUGUUAAACUUUUGUCAUUUUUAUUAAAACUUAAAUCAUUUUUAUUAAAAUUUAAGUUUUUUUUAUUAAAUAAAGUUAAUGGAUGAUUUUUUUGUUAAUAAAAAAUUAAGAGAAGCUAUUUUCAUUAAAACUCCCUUAAAAUUAUUAUUUUCUAAUUCUCACAACUUCACCUUUUACCUUUGUUUUGGAUAAAAUUCGACAGUUGUCACUUAGUUUUCCCUUCAAUGUGUCUUGUUUCUAGGGUAGACUCCUUUUCUAGGGUAAACCCUUUGCGUUUGAAUUCAAACCUUUUCUCGUGAAUAAGAAUAAUUUAGAAUAGAACAUCGUCUCGUCAUAAACAGAAUUGGAUCCGCUUCGGAUUUUACUGUCCAAAAUCUAGGGAUCAAAUCAUUUGGACCACUGAUUGGUGUGUAAAAAAAUCAGAGCCAUUGGUUUUGUGUGAUGAGCCAGAAAAAUAAGUUAAUGGGAACCGUUAUAUUCAAUUUGUGUGGUCCAGAUGAAUUGAUUUUUAAGCUCCGAACACUAAGAUCCGAAGCGGAUCCAAUUCCGUCAUAAAAUGACGUAACAAAUACAGAAAGCAAAGCAAUUUGGUCACUUUGGACAAGGAGACAGACUUUAGAGGUGAUUCUUUUUCCACGCAACACAAUACUAAUUGAACACAUGCCAAAUACUAUGUUGUGGUCAAGCUAUAAUCUGCAGUCCUUGUCACAACACAGCACAAGCCCUUCUAGUCAAGUAAUGCAGAGAAUAUCAUGUAUUUCCAUCUUUGACUUUGUCUCUAAUUAGGCAAUCAAUCAUUGUAGCUAAAAAAUAAUAUAUAUAUAUAUAUUAAAUAAAUAAAUAACUAAACUAAGAUAAUAUAUAAUUGUUUUAAGAGAAGUUUAAUGAAAAACUCUUGAUACUGUUCAUUUUAAUGAAAAAUUACAUUUUUACACUAAAAAAUCAAUCAUAGUACUAUUCACUUUAUCCUUUAUUUUGUUUUUAUCAUUAAAUCUCAAAGUUUUCAAGCCAUUUUCAUUAAUUUUCUUUUGUUUUAGGAGAAAUUAGGUUCUCAUCCUUCAUUUUACUACUCUAUUGAUUAAAAUCCUAUUCAUUUUCAAUUUUUGAUCAAGUUCCUUGGAUAUUAAUAAUAUCAUUAAUUAUUUCAAUAAGAAAAUAUUUUUUUUAUUUCUAAAUAUAUUCAUUUAAUGUUAAAAAUGUUACAAUUAGUAUAUUUAUAUUUAUGACUAAAUUUUUUAUCAUAUAUUUUUGUUUUAGUUUGUAACCAUUUUUUAUUUGUACCAAUUUUCUUUUCAAUUUUAAUUUGAACCCAUAUAUUAGUUUCUUUUUGUGCCUAUAUUUUUUAAAGUUUGUUUGUAUUUGUACCCAUAUAUUUUGUUUAUUUAUACUUUUUAUUUUGCUGAAUGUACCCAUGCUAAUUAUAUGUACCCAUUCAUGUAAAACUUUUUAAUCUUAAAAUGUACUCAUUCUUAAAUAUAUCAAUUUGUUAUAUGUAAAAUGUACCAUUUUUUUAAUAUAAAAUCUAUUCAAUUUUUUUGUAAUCUAUUUUUUAACUUAUAUGGGUACAUUCUUUUUUUCUUUGAUUUUAAAAUGUAUCCAUGUCAAGUUUAAUCGAAGAAAUUACUAAUGUUAUUAAGCCUAAUGCCUUUUUUUUUUGUAAUUUUGAAGAAUGUACCCAUGUUUUGAUACAAUAAUUUUUUUGGUUAAUUUUGAUGAAUGUACCCAUAUUUAUACACACACACACACACACAAUAGUAUAUUUAUAUUUUAAUAUUUUUAAUCCCACAAAUUAUGUUUUUUAUUUAAAAUCUCAUUUAUAUAAACAACUAAAAUUUCUAAUUUUUUUAUUUAAAAAAUAUAGUAACGUACGUAGAAAUAAAUUAUCAUAUUAAUUUCGAGGACCUCGAUCAAAAAUUAAAAACCAACAAGGUUUCAAUAAAAGAAUAUUCAUAGCUAAGGACCGCAUCCAAAGUCUCCAUUUGUUUUAAAGCAAUCCCCAAUGGCCAAUUAAAAGGGAAAUGAAUUUUCUCUGGAUCUCUUCCUCCUAAUCCAUCAAGUUCGGAGAUUCGGACCAUUGAAAUUUAAUCAAACGACUAUAAACAAGGGCUCACUUUAAAAGUUAUAAUAACUUUAACCGUUAGAUCAAAUUUCAAUGGUCCGGAUCCCCGAACUUGAUGGAUUAGGAGGAACGGAUCCGGAGAGGAUCCCUUUCCAAUUAAAAGGAAUUAUCUAGAUGGAUAAGGACAUGGAUCAUCUUUAAUUGGGUCAAUAAUUUGAUUCAGAUUUCUUGUUGGUUUAUCUUCAAAGGUGCUAAUUUCUUGGGUUUCAUCGUAAAUCAAUCAGUAAUAUAGAAAAUAAUUCAAUUAUUUAUAUGUAUAUGCAAGAUCUCUUUUCAUUUUUUAUUUGAGAUUAAUACUUUUGCACAUACCUCAUGUGUGCAACGAAUCCUCAAACCUAGCACAUGGACAACAUAAUGACGUAAAGAAUGUGGUCGUCAGGCUUCACACAUAGUAUAACAUACUCCAAUACCAUAAAAGAAGUUGAAGUUAUACUGUAAAACCAAUUUGCUAUAACCUUUGCUAAUUAAUUGUUCCUUUGUUUCAUUUUCUUAUUUGGUCUCAACUAUAAAAUCAAUUGAUGCUUAAAUUUUCAGACCUCCUGACAAAUUUUAAUUAAUUUUUAUCUAACAGUUCAACAUUCAAAGAUCCAACUUAUGACCAACAUAAGAGUGAAGAAUUUGAUUAAAAAAACAAAAAUAUAUAUAAAAAGUGACAUAUUGAUAAAAUAAAAUAAAAAGGGAACGGAAAGGGAAGAACAUGCCAACGAGUAAUGGAAUCAAUGGACAAUUGAAAUGGCAGCAAUUAAUGGAUAAACGACGGGUCGUUCUCAAACUGAGCUCUCUCAGCUCUAGCCCUUUUCAUGCACCCUGAUUUUUUUUUAACGAAAAAUGAUUUCCGCACAUUUUUUGUUCACUUUUUACACGGUAUUCUUAGUUUUAGGCCUUUGAUUGUCCUUUGAUUUGUUUAAUCUGAUAAUAAAAAGGGUACGUCGGAAAUGAAGAAUGUGUAGUAAUCAUUUUCUUUUUUGGGAUUGUUGUCUUCAUCAUGGAUGCGAAGAUUUCUAUACCAAAAUUAUAAAUACAUGACGAAGUUUUUGGAUGAGAAUUUGAUGAAUUUAAUUGGAAAAAAAAAUUCUCUAAGCUUUUAAUUUCUUUCCCUAACAUCAGCUAGUUUUACAACAAAAGAAGGAAAAAUAUAUUCAACUUACAUUACUAAAAUGUAGAUUCAAAAGAAAAUCUGUGGGGCAAAGAAAUGAUGAUUCAUGAACAAUGUACAACCCCAUAGCUAGGCUCAUCGUAGAGAGACCGAGACUCAAUCUGCGCGCGGCAACAAGAAACUAAAGCCUGAGUUCUCGUGAAUGAGCGGUGGUGGUUCAAUGUCGGAGAUGUCUAUUUGCUCCAUCGACUUUGAUAUGUCGUCAACGGAGAAUGGAAUGCUGCAGUGUAAAGUCUAGUGUCAGUCGAAUGGCUAGGAUUAUAGGUAAACAUGGAAGCUAAUGUGUUUAGCGAUGAUAACAAGCACUAUGAAACAAUGCAGCGUUGAUAUACUGUCUCAUUUUUCGGAUACUAAAUUUACAAGUAACCGAAAUCUUAGAAAAACACGAACAUAUCAGUUUGACAAGGAAAAACUAAUGAAACGGGAUGUAAAGAAGAGGAAGAGUCGAUAAAGAAUGAAUGAAUAACGGCGAAGACAUGAUUGAAUGUUGUCAUAACCUGGAAUCGUCAUCCAGCAGGAAAGAAUUACUGACUGCGUUGUUGGAAUCUUCUGUCAUCAGCACUCUCAUAUUCGAUAUAACCUGGAUGUGCCAUUGGAAAAAGGAAUGGACAAGUGAGUUUGUGGAUGCAUGUUUGUCAUUGUAUUCUAAUUUAUUUUACUGCCUUGUGACGAAGAUGACUCAAACCUAGUUGAGUAAUGGCAUCCAUAAAAACUUACAUCCGAGGACACACUAUGCGUGCCAUAUUUGUCAUCCCAGUACAUUGUACUGAUACGAUAUAGCUGCUGUAUACUGAGGACCUGUUAAAAGAGUAAGUUGUGUCAAAUGAGAUUCGAGGGAGAGUUGAUAGACUUUGAGAUGUUUAUUGUAUCCUUAUAUACACAUCACUUACCGGGCAUAGGUCAUGGCUAAUUUCAUCAAGCGUCUUUUUCGGUUUUUGAUGUAUGACCUGAGCAAAAAGACAUAAAUUUCAGGACAACUUCACCAUUUGUUCAUUUGUAGAAGUAGAAUACAAUGAAAGAUACCAGGAAUCCAAUAGCCUGCCGAAUAUGCUUGAGUUCAUCCCAAGCUGAUCCUGCAUACUGCAUUUUCGUUUAUUGGUAUAUCAGUUAUUGAACAGUAAAAAGAGGAAUUAAAUUUAAGGUACGGUGGGUACCUCAUCUGUUGCCUUAUAGCACCAAUGCUCCAGUUCAGCCAACCCAGCUUUAACAUAUUCACCAUUACUAAACGAACAGCAUUCUCGUCUUAAUAGAAGACUGCGGGUAUAGAAGAAUACAUGGAGGAUAUUACGAGUUUAGUGCUAAGUAGCAUACAAACAAGACAACCUCAAAUUUGGGCUUAUGACGAUACCUGUUGAAUAGCUGAACAUUGAUGAAGGAGAAUAUUUGCGUGAACACCUUACGAACUAAAAAUGGUGGUACCUGUAGAAAGGAACAACGCGUGUCUAAGAAAGGGAGAAAGAUCCUAGGCAAAAUACUUCACAAAAGUUGCAGAAACGAAAAUCAGAAAGAUCAAGUGAGUAUGAAUCUUAAGAGGAGGGGGGAAAGAGUACUAACAUGAUUUGCUUUUAAAGUAUUUAAGAAGUUUCCGAGGCUCUUGACAAUCCCCUGCCAGUGAGCAAUCAAAGCUUUCUGGGCCUCAGUGUUGGCAACUGAUCGCGACGAUCCUUUGACCAAGCUUGCCCUGGAUGUUCUUGGUGCCUGUUAAAGUUUACAGAUUUAGUACUAAGUUUUGACAAAUCAUGGAAGCACAAUUUUUCUCUCCGUAAAUUGUUUUCUAGUUUGUAGGUGAACAAUUUACUGGACCUGGAUGCACAAUCCAAGCAAAGGAGAAAUCUCUUUCUUCAAAUUAUCUCGAAUCAUCCCGUAAAUUUUUUCUACAUAUGCUGUAAGUUGCUGUUUGAAAAGCAAAGCUGGGUACUUGGCUUCAACUUGCCGUAAAGAGUCCACUCCGCCACUCAUUCCACCAUUGAUUAAGGAAAUAUUAACACCUUGUGGCGCUCCACGGAAACUCUAGAGGAAAACAAAAGAAAACAUGUGAAGCAACUGAAGAAAUGAAGAUUUAUGACUAGAAAAUAUUCAAUGUCUGAUGAGAGACGAUGAAUUACUUGUGUCAUCCUUCCAAACAGAGUAGCUGAUGAUGAUCGACGUCGUUGGGGUGCCAUUCCAGCAGCACCGCUUGCUUUCAGUGUGCGCUGGAGUAGUAAUAGAAGUGUUGAGGCGUUGGAUAGCCAAUAGGCCAAGAUAUCGUUGUUAUCCUGGGUCUAAAUUCCAAGUGGUAAUAUUCAAGUUAAAGAGGUUCGUUUUGUGUUAUAAAGAAACGGAAAACCAAAAUACCAGAAGGGUUAAGGAUGGGAGUUCCAAACCUCAAUGGCAUUCCCUAUGGUCUGAAUAAUCCUAUCGAAAAUACUAGUCCGCUCAACUUCGAAUGAUCUCCACUGCAAAAGGCAUUUGUAUAUGAUGCAGGCAGCAAUAGGCCUGUUCCCUGCAAAGCCCAGGUGUUGUGCAAUGCAUCGAAUGAGCAACUCCUGGUUCUCUUGCUGUUUUUCAUUUAGUGAUUUCUGUGGCUUAUCCUCCAAUUCCGACUCCCUGUGAUUUAUUGAAGGACUAUGCAUUUCCUGAUCCAUUUUAUUGGAACAUUAGCAUAAGUGAAGAGUUAAGAAAAAGCCUUUACUGCAUCAAAUUGCCUUUUUUGUAGGUUAAUACUUGACGUUUAACGGAAACUUACCAGAGCUGUCUUUGCAUCCCCUGGAAUAUGACUACUUUCAGCUGCCCUCUGCCAAUUAUCAAACAAUAAGAAAAUCUUAAGCAUCUGAACAUCAUAGAAAACCAUGGUUUACAUUGAAAUUUACCUGAAUAGUUGAUCUGGACCGUCCAGAAAGGAAUUUAUUAGGCGUCAUGGACACAGCUUGUUGGCGUAAAACUUGAUUUUCUGAUUCUAAAUUGGCAAGCUUCUCUUCUAGCCUAAUCAAGGAAGUUUAAAUUUUCAGUAAACAAACCAUAUCAGGAAAGUGAAAGUUGGUAAUUCAUUUCUCUCCAAUAUAUAAUUUUCGGUUUGAACUUAAAUACUACAUGAGUUUAAAACUUGUUCGGAGUGAGAUAUUAAGAACAAUUUUGUAAUUAUCGUCUCAAAUGCACAUAUGACGACGUGCAUUUUGAUGCUCUGCAUCAGAAAACUCAUGCUUUAGUGUCAUAUUACCUGGUCAAAUUUUCCUGGAGCUGACUAACUUUUUUCUCUGUUUCUUCUAAUUUUUUGCGUCGUUCUUCGCCCGAUGUUUGAGCUUCAUUAUAUUUUCUUUCAUUUUCUUCUGCUCUUUUUUUCUCUGACUCCAUAGAGGCCUGGUGAGGCGGGGACAUGUUAGGUAGAGAAAAACCAAGGUCAAGAAGAACUAAAUGAAAAGAUCAAAAUCUGUCGCUACAUAUAUGAACAAAUAAAUGACGAUAACGCAUGAUAGAACAGUCGAAACAUGUUAAAAGUCUUUGCAAACACAGAAUUAUGUGAGACAAAGUAUUAUAGGUGCUAAUUAUUGGACAGAACAUUUGUACCUUUAAACUGUCAACUUCUGCUGUUAGAGAUUCAACUUUUUCAGUGUCCUCGACCAUAACUUGGGUUUCCUGAACCACAGGAGGAGCCUCUUCAAUAGCUUUCUUUGCAGCCUCUUGUUCCUUCACAAUCAAUGCGUUUGAUUCAUCAAGUUUGGUCUGCAUUUCUUGCAAUGAGUUCUGCAAUUUCGUUAUCUCUUGUGCCUUUGCUUCUUCUAGGUCAGUCUGCGAACAUGACACAAGCUUUUAGCAUGAAUUUGUUUUGCAUAAAAUACCUAAAUUAGAAGAAAAUAUUCAACGAAAAUAUUAAGAUGGAUGUUGAACAAGGAAUUUUCUAUCAUAUUCAUCGUGGAAAGUACACCAAUGCAUUAGCAUAAUAGUUUUCGGCCAUGGGACACGAGAUGAAAAUAUUCAUCAGACGUCCACAGCAUUUUCUCUGCCAAACAAAAUUGCUCUGAAAAACAUUGAAUUUACCCUUAAACGUUUUUCCAACUGUAGUCGCCAAUUUAGUUCCUCCACUCGUUUUUCCAGUGCAUCUUUUGCCUCCUUAAGUGCUCCUGUUUCCCUUGCAGCCUGCAGAAAAUUGGAGAUAAUGUGAAUAUCGUAAAGAAAAAAGAGAAACAUACGUAAGAAGAAGAUUUUAAGAUGUCAGCUUGAAAGGGAAAGUGUACGUACUAUUAUUUAUGGCAAUAAUCUACAGUAUUUGACAGAAACUAUGCUCUGCCUGUACACACUAAAUUUUAUGUAUUCCUCUCAUCUUGGUUGCUAGCCUAUGAAUUUGAUAAUUUUUUCACAAAAACAAUACCUAUAGAGAGAGUUUAACGCUUACCAUUUUUAGCUUCCUAAGUUCCUUCCUUGCGAUUUUCCCCCUCAUUUGGCACUGUGCGACUACUGAACCCCUCUUGAGCCUCUUAAAGUAUUUGGCAGCUUUAUGACAACGCCACACCGCCUGCAAUUUUCAUGUAGAUUUUUGUUUGGCAAUAGGAAAUCAGUAAAGUUUCACAUCGUUAAAACAAAACAAAUCUUGCAAGUUACAACAUAUUUUGUAUACAACCUGGACAACGGUUGCUGCUUUGGUUUGCCUUUUAAAUCUGAAUUCUUUACGUCCAGCCAUUGCUCUUAAACCUGUCUGCACGACAAGAACUGAGACAUGGAGCUUGUUGUAAGUUGUUCUGGCUUGGUGUUUACGUAGGUUCUUCUGAAUUUUCACGGCAGCUGACUCUCUUUUCAUGCCGUGGAAGACUUUGCCAGCCAGGCUUCCUGUAAGUCAUACCAAACAAACAUAGAAACAGUUUAAAUUCGCCCGUUGAUUGACGACCCUAAAAUAUUGUGUUAGAAAAGAAAGUGCUGGGAAACCAUGACUAAUCCUUCUGCUAAGAUGCUCUCUGGCUCACCUCUGCAUAUCGAUUGCAUAACUAUGGUUGCCUGUCGCAGUGCAAUAAACCGUUUCCUAGCAUAAUGGGUUCGUACACGCCGCUGUAUAGUUUUAGCUGCAGUACUGAGUACUUCGGUUCUUCGUGCGUCUAACUCAGCCAUCUGACCAGCCCUCAGGAAUACCUUUGUUUUACCUAUCUGCAAUAACAAAUGUCUCUACCAUCAGUGUGCGAUUGGAUGAAGACCAUUAGCUAUAUUUACACCUAUAUGAGGAACACCUCAAGUUACCUGAAACCCUUUAAGACCCUUCUUUUCGAGAAUCCUAGUGCAUGCAACCUUUUCGUCGUAGCUGCUCAAAAGUAAAACAGGUUCAGAAUGCAGAUCCACAGAGUUUAAUCAGAAAGUUGAAACGUUAUGUCAAAAAAAAUUUCUCUCCCCUCUCGAACUGAAAAUCCUUAGAGAUAAUACUUACUUUCCUUCCAAGACCUCUGGUGCAAGAAGUCCAAAUCUGUUUAUGAAUUCGAAAAAGGGUUUUCGAGUAGGGUAGCCAGCGCAGCUAAUACGGAUUGCCUCUAAAACACCCUACAAGGGGAACUGUCAUCAACAUCUGGAAGAAAAACAUGAAAUCUUUUUUUAAGAAAGUAAAAGGGAAAAGGAACACAUUUUACUUACACCACAGCGCAGUUGCUGCAUAAUGUUGACGUUCUCAAACACGGCUGGUUUUAGAAAAUUAUUUGGCUUUACACAUCUGACAUAGUGAGGUUCUGUAGAGUUUAGGGUUUCCAUUAACGAUUGUAGUUGAAGCUGCACAAUUUAAAACAUACAAAAUUUAAGUUUCAACUUCUUGUAGCAUAAGUUGACAUUCCAGAAUAUAAAGGAAACCACACGAGAGCUUUGCAUGUAGCUUUAGGUUGAUAGUUGAUUAUCCAGGGUUAAGUCGACCUUCAUGCUCACCAAGCUAAUAUCAAUGUACCUUAAAACGAGAGCCAAUCGAAGAAAACUUGGAAGAUUUGGCUGUCUCCUCUGGAAGUGGAGGGAAAAGGCCUGCCACGAAAGGACAUUUGGAAACACCCAACAAAUCUUGAUGUUCAGGAACCACAUAGUCCUUGUUUUUGUCCAAAAAUUGGUCAGAUUGAUAUUGGACCUGUAACAAAGUGUUCCCAAGUUAAAACCGGAACGUAAAAGUAUCAUAUAUUAUAUUAUUAGAAAGUGUUGAUUUCGUAUAAUUUACCUCUCCAGCAUAAUGAGCGAUGGUAAAAUCCGUGCGAGAAAGUUUUGGCUUUAUAAAGCGCUUGUGAGUUUUGAAUGUCUGAUAAAGCUUAUUUGCAAAUGUUUCAUGGGUUGACUUGGGAAACAUGCUGGAAAUAGAAAAGAAAGAAAAGCAGUUAACAAGAAUGAAGAAAAGAGAGAAAAAUAAAAGUUAAAUGCAAAACGUUAACGGCCUUGCAUUUAAGGAAGAAUGAACAGAUGAAUAAUAGCUCACCAAGCUUCAUCAAGGAGAGCAACUAUUCCGCCAGGUUUCUGUGAAAGGAAGCAUCAUAUGUGAAAACUUGUAAGGAUAAAAUUGACUGUUGAUUAAUAGUACUGAAUAUCUGAAUAUUCCAGUAGUGAUUGUGUGUGUGUGUGUGUAACUAUAUAUAUAGGUAGGUGAUUGUGUAUGUGGAUGUAUAUGAAGGAAUAGGAGAAGGAAUAACCUUUUCAAUAAGAUCCAAAACGUCUUGAUUAUCGACAAACUCAAUGUAGCUCCAAUCAAUCUGCUCUUUUGUGUAUUCUUCUUGUUCCAUCUUGAAGACGUGCUGAAAAUAUACAGGAAAAACUUAAUUUAAAUUAAAAUAAUAAUAACAGGAACAAUAACCCAAACAACAACAACAACAAAGCCUUUUCCCACUAAGUGGGGUCGGCAACAGGAACAAUAACCCAAGAGCUAAAAAUAGAGAAAGCAAGAGUUCAACAUGAUCUGAGCCAUUACCUGAUUGAAAUGUUGCUGCAAUUUCUCGUUUGUGAAAUUAAUGCAGAACUGCUCAAAACUGCACAGGUUGAUAAGCUAAAAUUAAGUUGUGGAAUACCAUCAACGCAUGACGGGUGUUUGAUAUGAAAUGUCUUCAUUAGCGCAUUUUCAGUUUCUUUUAUACUAAAAAAGACACAGAAUGCACGUAUGUACAGAACUUCAAGUACUCUAAGUGCGGUAUUAUGCUGAAUAGUUGUUACCUAUUGGUCUUAAAACUUUCAAAACCAUAGAUAUCAAGGACCCCAAUCAGCGAUUUCGAGGUAGCAUCUUGUCCAAUUGAGACAUUAAUUUUAUCCACCAACCUGUAUAAAUUUAGAACCACAUCAACAUUUAAUUCUCACUCCAAUAUGCUUCUAGUGGUUAAUAGAAAAUUUAUUCAUAAACCAGAUGUUAAUCUGAUGAUGUUUUAAGCUAUAGUAACUAACCAAUCAAACAAUCGAGAAUAUACUGUCUUUGCUAAACCAUCGCGGCUAAUUGCUGCACUUUGAGGAUCAAGACUUCUCUUGAUAACUUCUUCAGGUGUGAUCAUGACACGCUUACAUAAUGCAUCUUCCAAUGCAUCAGGGUCACACCUGAGGUAAUGUUAUUAUCACACUAUAACAAUAUGAAAACAGACUGGAAACAGAUUACAUGGGUAAAAGCACGAAGAAUACAUACAUGAGAAGCUCUGAAGUCAUCUUAAGAUGGAACUUUGCUUUAUCAUCUUUUGGAACUGACGAAUCAACUUCCGAGCCCUUGGAAAACUCAAUAUUUCCUAGAUGAAGAAUUGCAGCAACUACUCUAAAAAUUGCUUCCUAAGAGAGAGAGAAAAAAGAAGGGGUGUGAGACGACGGUCUUUCUAGGUUCCACGUUAAAAUGAAAUUAAGAAGAGGCUGUACCUGCUCCUUAGCACUUAUUCCAACAAUAUCCAUAGCUCUCCUUGUGGCAAGAUAGUCAUGAGCAUCACUUACACCAACCAGUUCGUAGCAACGUGACUGGUUAAGAUAGUGAAAUGAUUUAGGAUUUGCCAACUUGUAUUUCUCAAUUUCCUGUCAACAUAAACAAAUAUUAGCUCGAAGUUUAAGAGCGGAAAUUUGCAGCAAUACUUUGAUUGUUUUAAUCGAAGUCUGGUUCCUACAUGAUCUUACCUCCUGUGGUGCAGCACAAAGAAGGUAGAAGCAGUGGUAGUUCCGUUCAGGAUCAGAAACUUGGCAAACACGAGACCGUUCCAGAAGGUAGGUUCUAAUGGCUGCUCCUGAGAUUCUUCCUUGCUUAUCAAAUUGAAUUUCAACAAAUUUACCAAAACGACUGCACCAAUACCAAACAAAGAGAAUACCACGUGAAUUUAUCCGAACAUGAUAAUAAUUCAGGAAAAGUAAUUUAUGCCAGUAAAAUGACUGUUCAAACUAAGACAAAUUUGACACAAAUAUGUACUAGCUUGAUAUCGUCUUGCCUAGAAUUGUUAUUUCUAACAGUUUUAGCGUUGCCAAAUGCUUCCAGAACUGGAUUUGACUGCACUCAGAAAAGAAAGAACCAUAAGAAUUUCAUAAGAAACUAAUAGAGCUUGACAUAGAGAAGGUAAUAUGGAGUUAUCAAAGCUUAAUAUCAAUGCUGAUCAAAGGUAGGAUAGAAAUCGUACUUCAAGAACUUGCUGUUCAACUGUCCGUCCUUCAGUUGCAGCCCGGCCACCUAGAAAUGCAAGGUACCUCAUAAGCAUUUUUGUGGUCUCAGUUUUACCUGCUCCACUUUCACCACUGACCAGAAUUGAAUUGCUUUUUCCCUCAUUGAUCAUUGCCCUGGUUUUUUCAAAGAAUUAACUUUAAAUAUUCGGUUUAUUGAUCUUAUGGAGCAAUACAUAGCAUAGCAUGCACAUAAGGAAUGAAGGUAACCUAUAUGCAACGUCCGCAACUGCAAAAACAUGAGGAUUUAGUUCUCCAAAUGGCGCGCCCUUGUAUUGUUGCAUCAUGUGACCAUCGUAGAGAUGCGGCAGUCUUUGGAAUGGAUUAAUGGCAAUAAGGAUAUUUCCAGUAUAAGUCUAUCAUGAUAGCAACAGAGGCAUAUAUUAUUGCAGGAUUAUAGAGAAUAAGAAUUCCUAAUUUGAAUAAAAACUCCGUAAGUAAAUUCAAAUGAAGGGCAGAACAUGUACAUAGAUUUCAUUAAGUUCGUAUCUAGUUUUUAAAUUCUGCAAAACUCCAGGCUCAUGCAGAUAAGAUAGCUUUGUCAUGUCAUCAACUCCAGCAGCAGGAGCUUCCAUAUCUUUUGGAUAUAUUUUCGCCAAUUUGACAACCAUCUUAAUAGCACAAAAAAGUGAACAGGAAUCUCGUUAGAGUACAUUUAUAUAAUACUAGAAGAUUUUCUUAAAAUAAACAAAUUUCAAAGACCAAAAUAUAUAUCCAGAAAGAAAAAUAUCAAAUUUAGUAAAAAGAGUUUACCUUCUUCCCAUUGCUACUCUCGAUCUCAGCUUCUUGUCCAGUAAUCUUUGACACUUGGCCAUCAAUCCAGGCCAAUUCUGAGUCUUCAACCCAGACAUGAGAACCUACAAUGAUAUUCACUGGUGUUCCCUGUAGAUGAAGAUAUUAAAGUAUGAAUAGGUAUACGAAUAAAGUGCCAUAAAAACACACAAAAUUCACUGAUAACCAUUUCUGAAGACUAAUUUGAAUGGCUUUUAUAUGAAUUAUGGCUUAAUAUGCGGCCAACGCCUUUGUCCUAUUGUUGUUGCUUAUCUAUGAAGUCUAUGUUAGCUAUGCCCACCACCAAAAGUAUAGUGUGAUGGUAAGCGCACUUGUCUCUCUUGCACAAUGCUUCCUUUGAGUUGUCUCAUAAAUUGUGCCGUUAGAGUUAUCUCAUAAUUUGUUUCUUUCCCUUGAGAAGAAGCAACAGGUUCCCAGUCUGUUAACCACAAGCUAACACAUACACUAAACGAUUGUUCUGCUCUGUAUCACAAACACUCAAAUCACAUGUUUGAUCGAAAAGAAAACUUAAUCAUUUGUAAUUAACAAACCCAAUUUCUAUAUACCGCAAAACUUCUAAUGAAGAUGUUGUCUUAGACUCCAACAAUCACUCGAAAUUUCAAACUGAAUCAGAGAACCUAAUCUAAUCCACAAAUUAAAGCAAGAAACAAAAAAACUUUACAAAUUUUAUGAAAAAUCAACCGAAACCGCACAUACCAUUUUUUCGUUCUAAGCUGCCGAUCCAAAGCUCAUCAAUUCAUUAAGCACUUUCAUCAAACAUUUCAGCUGCAUGACAUUACACAACCAUCAGCUCCCAACUCCAGCUGAGAAGUGUUCCUCUCCACCAAACACCAUAAGCGAAAGAGACCCCUUUUUCUCAAAAGCAUCAGACUUUCCCUACGAAACACGGGGGUCAGAAAUGUCCGAUCAACGCGCCAGAAAGCUCCAUUUUCCCGGGAAAAUUGGCAAGAAAGUGAAGGAAAACCGAAAUGGGGACGAGAGAUGGAUCGAUUAGCUAGGUGGGAAACUUUUGUUUGUGUGAUUGUUGUGCGUUGUGUGUGUGGGAAGUGAAUGUGGAUCGAGCGGAUUGAGAGAGUGGACAUUCUUCACAAGGGCCUCUUGUUUCGCUUUGCUUUCCGCUCUUUUCGCGCCAAUUAGUGGCUGCUAACCAAGUCUUCUCCUUCUUUCCUUAACGGUCACAUUUCUUCUGCCAUGUCCAGGGGUCGUUCGAAUCUUGUGUGUCCGGAUGUAUUGUAAGAAUUUGUUACCCGUCGUUUGUGCCGUUGGAACUUGUUACCCGUCAUCUGUGCCGUUGGAUCGAAAAAGUAAUUUCCACAAACUCAUUAUUUCUUUGUUUCUUUGUGUACAUGCUGUACGUGUUUAUUUUUGUCAGUUGAUUCUCUCGUUCUUGGAUGAGGAGUUGACCUCGUCAGAACAAAAUAUUCGUGUCGAUCUUAAAUUUUCGUGAAAAAUAAAUUUUUCUAAUGUUCUACUUUCCAUCACAUGUUCGCAAACAACAACAAAGCCUUAACGAAAAAUAAAAAACACCGUCUGACACAUAUACACGAACAUCUCAAACCGCAGAACGAAAAAUUCAAAUGAAACCCAAGGCACGACAGGGAUCCAUUUGAUACAGAUUUUCAAACAGUUUGCUCGUCGGAAAUGGCAAUUCAGCAAGCCGUAGUCUACAUCCAGGGACAUAAAGAAGAGCGUGGCCAAGACGGUCUAUAGAAAGGCACCACUGUGCUGUCAUCCCAUUGAAUCGAAGGGUCACGACCAAGAUAUCGAAUCUCUUUAAGCUUCUGGCUUUUCAGGUGGAAGAAAUAUAUGUUCCAUCCAGCUCUUAUGAAGAUAUACUCGGAAUUCUGAUGAAGGAAUGCCAUAAGUUUAGCUUCUUUCGAAUGCUUUCCAUGGUCUGGAUUCUGCUUCCACAUCGCCUUGAAACCGAGUCUGUACCUCAAAUUCCACUUCUUCUGUGACUGCACAUUGCCUGUGCUGAUCGAUGAGAAACUACUUUCUCCGGCCUCGAGAACCCAUAUUUCCACGCCAGACGUACUGCUCUGACCAUACUGCAAAAGCCCAUCUGAAGAAUGCCCAAGAACGCACUCAUCAUAAUCUUGAGAAAUCCUCCCUUCUGGUAAUUUAAGCAGAUUUAUACGCCUGUUUCCAAGACGUGGAUCAUAAAUGGCUAGGUUUCCCUGGGUUGCAAACCAGUGUAGGAUACCAUUAACUACAGUAGCCUCUCUCCAAGGACGCAAUGCAAAUGUUGAAGAGCAAGUGAGAGUGAAAUGCUUCCAUGUACCGCUGAUUGAAGAGUAAGUCUCAAUGGAGACAGUUUUAGAUUCCCGUCUGCAGUUACAUUUUGCCCGAAUAACCUUGUAGUGGACUGCGUCAUUAAAACAGUCAUCUUCGACAGUGAGGAAUGCCAUGCACAAACUUUGAUAGAACUGCUGAGGUUGAGGAAGUUUGCAUAGCUGUUUGCUGACUGGGUUCCACACCGUAUAUGUCAUUGGAUGGCGGCCAAAAAGAAGUAGGCCAUUGGAAGUGCCAAGAAAGUAACCAAGCUGUUUGGGUGCAGAAACCAUUAGAUUAUCACCUUCCUCACAGGCUGACAAAAAAUGAAUUGCGGGCUCUGUUAGGGGCCGCCGCAUGCCAUAUUUAGAUAUUCCGAGGUAAAGAUGGUUGCACACAAAGAAGCCCAAAAGAUGAUAAUUUACUUUCCAUCGAGCAUGGUAAUCACAUCGAAAAGAAGGGCUACAUAUCACAUGAAGCCACCUCUUCGAUACGAGUAUUAAACUGAAAACAGAUUUCUCUGGCAGACGGAGUAGGAUCUCAUGUAGGAUGUCAUCAUCACAGGUGAAUACUUCAUGAGCAUCAUUUGCAGACUUCUUUUGACCCGUCAUAAUAUCAUCUGGACACAUAAAAACGUGCUGAGAGCAUGCUCCGCUGUAUCAGUACAGUUCUAAAAAUGUGUAGCCAAACAAUAACUAAAGCACCUCCAUUGACAUAAAAGGAUACAAAUCUAAAAGUCACCGGUUGUCCAUAUUUAGAAACACUUAAAAGCUCAUGUCAAACAAAUACUGAUAAACUAACGGAAACUAGAACGCAUUUUACAAGGAGAACCAAGUAAUGACACCCUAGCAAUGACAUACGUUAAUUUGAUCGAUAUUCACAAUCUUUUACCAGAACCCCGAAAGCAGCAUAUCAAUGAAACACGUUUCAAAUUCAUAUUUUCACCUAAAUUCUAUAAUUCCAAGUUUUCCCACACCGUGUAAGCAAAAUAUGCAAUCUAAAAGCAAACUAAGAAAUCCCAAGAGAAUAUCUGCUACAAUAAGUUUCACAUUGCCUAUUCAGGAAAGAAAUCGGGUUUAGGGGAAAAGAACAAGCUUGAACACAUAUGACCCCGCAACCAUAUAUCCGAAUUGCGAAAGGGUAGUGCUAUGCACACACCCAUUUUUACCUCCCACACACCCCUUUUUAAUUGUUGUUCUUUGAUCUUCUCCAAUUCAUUCGAUCCAAUGACUUAAAAUUAAAGGUUGUGUGAAAAGUAAAAGCUUGAACACAUAUGAGCCCCGCAACCAUAUAUCCGAAUUGCAAAAGGAUAAUGCUAUGCACACACCUAUUUUUACCUCCCACACACCCCUUGUUAAUUGUUAUUCUUUGAUCUUCUCCGGUUCAUUCGAUCCAACGGCUUUAAUUAAGUGAAAAGUAAAAAUAGGUGCGUGGAUAGCACCGCCCUUGCGAAAAUUGCAACAAAUCCAAGUUCUAGACUUUUAAGUAGUUUCUAACAAUUGAAACCUAGUUAUCACCGAAACAGCGGAAUCGUCUAUAAUCUGGUUACCCAUUUGCAUGCACUAAAUUAAUUAAGGAAAAAGACCUGAACCUUCACGAGAAAAACCCAACAAAAACACUUCCGACAACCUUAAAGAUUUCAUCUUGCAUGGUCUGAUAAGAGGACAACAUAAAACACCCUAACCAAUCGAAUCGAAACGAAGGCGUUUUCCAAGCUGCCAUUUUUGCCCCAUUUCAUCAAAUUACAACGAAAGGAGAAGAGAGAGAGAGAGAGAGAGAGAGAGAGAGCUUACCUGAGAGCUUGAGCGUCUUGAUGAAUUCCGGGAGCCGCGAGGGCGGAGGAGGAGGAGCUCCGGCGAGUGAUGUUUGGACUCUCACAGUGGCAUAAAAAAACCUGUCGCUUUCUGAUCUCACUGGUUGGGGGUUUUGGGCCACCUAUUUAUAGUAAGGGGUCCGAUUCAAGCAUGGUUCGGUAGGAAUGUGACUUUACUCGGGUUAUUUACACCUUUUAAUUAAAGGUUUGAAACUGCCUCCAAAAUACUACAGUCUCGUAGUAUUUAUCUUCGUUUGUAAGUAAUAGGUUUAGGUUUGCUUUUCGUUAAAUGCGAAUUUGAAUUAUAUUAGUACUAGCUUAUUGUGAGGUUUACCCACUCCCCUUCCAACCACCAAUAUAGAUAAUAUUGUUUGUUAAAAAAAAAAAAAAAAACAAAGGUUUGAAACUUUGAAGUGGUGUUGACCAAAGAAAAAAAAAAAAAUCUUUCGAAGUGUUUUCAAUUUUCAUAGCGGAAAAUGAUAUUUCAAUUUUCUCAUAUUGUAUUCUGAUUUUCGAGUCGGCCCAUUGAAAUUUGAUUUAACAGAUGCAAUUAUUAUAAUUUUUAGAGCGACUCCCUGUUUGUAGUCGUUUGAUCAAAUUUCAACAGUCCGUGUGAUUUGCUCAGAAGGCUCAACCUCCUAAGCCCAGGAGGGGAUCCGGUUCCUUAGUUUUUAUGUUAAAUUGUUGACACAGUAGUUGUGAGAUUCGUUUUGAGAUGAUGUAAAACUCACGCAUAUAUUAUUGGGGGUCAAAUUGUAAGAGUGGUUGUGAUCGAUUAAGGAUAAGCUGAAGAUCCUAUGUGGUGCAAUUGCACCAAAAAGUUUUUUUUUUUGGAAACUUGCACGAAAAAGUUUUUGAAAGUUUACAACUUUCGUCGAACAGGACGAUUGUGCUUUGUAUUUGGUUAUUUAUUUGAAAUAAUGAAGGCCCAUACGUUCAAGAGACGACGAAAGCAAUGGUUUGACCCACUGAUCUCUUUGGACCGUUGGUUGCACCAACAGGUAAGCCCAUGUCCAUGCCAUAAAAGCUUCCCACUUACAGCUAUGGAGAUACAACCCAAGAAAUCCCCCAUCCCACCCACCCCGCCUCGGCAGAUCAAAGAAAAUACAAGAAGAAGAAGGAGAAGAACAUCAUGUUUCACUACAAAGAGGUAAAAGAUUCAAUUUUUAUUUCAUUUUUUUGGGUUUUUUUUCCCAUGAAAAAGUUUCAAUCUUUACCCAUUUCCUGGUGGAUGAAUGCAUUUUGUCAGGAAAAAGAAGCAAAGAAGGAAGCAUUCAGGAAGUACUUAGAAUCCAGUGGAGUUCUUGAUGCCCUCACCAAAGGUUUGUUGAAGUUUCGGACUUUUCCUCAUUUAUUUUUGUGGGUUGGGUUUUUUUGUUGUUGGAUUAAUUUCAUGUUUUCUGUAACUUUUUUCAUAUAAUUUUGUGAAUUGCUAACCGAAGAUUUGACGCAAAACCGACAUUCUAUGAUUCAUACAGACGGCCCACUUGGUGGGAAAAAGGCAUUAUUGUUGUUGUUGUUUUAUAUAAUUUUGUGAUUUUUUUCUGGGACAGUUCUGGUUGCUUUGUAUGAGCAGAAUGAGAAGCCUUCCUCUGCACUUGAGUGAGUUCAUUUCUUUGAUUCUGUGUUCUAAAAUUUAUUUGAGCCUAGAUCAAGUUUUAGAUUUUUUGCUAGCUCAACUCAAUUAGGUUAAUUUCAUGUGGAUUUGUUGAAUAUUUGCUCAAGAAUUCAGAUGUUAUUAUUAGCUACAUAUUCUUCUACAUCAAAAGAUAGAUGUUAGCUUUUACAUCUCGUUCUCAUUGCACAUUUUUGCUUAGAUUGUCAACCCCAUCGGACCAGUUUAUAAUACACCUUGAGUAUGUGUGAACCGUGUUGAGAAUUGUGAGAGCCUUGAACAUAUGAUGGUUGCUAUGCAAUUACGUGAUCCUUGUUCGCGAGGUUUAGUCUGAAUGCUAUUUCAGUUGUGUCAAUUCUUCGUGAGAAAUGGUACUUUUCAUUGUCAAUUUGUUCUUUUUGCUUGAUUGGUGGUAAUUUUUCACAUUAUUGAGGACCUUGAGGAUGUAUAAUCAAUCAGUAAUCAUCGUAUAAACUGAACCAUGAUGCUCAUAGUACUUCUUUAAGUGUUUUCCCUGGAACCGAGUGAUAUAAAUCGUUCAUGAACAGAGAGAAUUGUUGUAACUAGGAUAUUCCGCUUCCAUCUACUACUGUUGCUGUCUUGCAGAUGUUGGGUAGUUGUGCUUAAUUGUGUUUUGCUGCUUAGUCUAGUUUGAACUAACAAAUGUUAAGACGUACUUUGAUUUUGAUAUUCAAUUUUUUGGCAGGUUUGUUCAACAAAAGUUAGGGGGUCCAUCUGUGUCUGAUUACGAAAAGCUACAGGCUGAAUUGUCCGAGUUGCAGAAAAAGUAUAGCACACUUUCAGCAGCAUACCAAGAAACAUGCACUGAGGUAAUUUCUGGAGUUUGUAAUCCUCCUUUACUUUGAGAUUAAUAUGAGCAUUGGGUAAGAGGCAUUGUUAAGUUUUGAACAACAUAUUGCCUAUAGGGCGAUAAGUUAUGUUAAAUAAAGUUGUGAAACCAAGUGUUAAAUUGCAAAGGCAAGAUAUAGAUAUAAUUCAUGAACUCCGUAGAUCUUACGAUUAUGUGAUAAUUGGGGGAAGAUAGGCACCAACUCAUUGGAUGACCAGUAAGAUGCAGGUUUCGCUCAAUAACUUUGAUAACUAAAACGUUCCUUGUGGUGGCAUGUUUGAGAUAUGUAUGAUACUGAUUGCAUUGGCUUUUGAUCUUCGUUUUAACUGUAACAACCUCCUGUUUCGUUAUAUAACUCACCAAAUUAUGCACCGUAUUGCAGCUAGAGGGACUUAAGAGCUCACAAUUACUUAACGUGGCCUCGCUUUCUAUCAAAGACAAAGAGACCGCAGGCGAGGAGGCCCUAAAGGAGAAAAUCUAGAAGUGCGGUAGAUGAUUGUGUAAAUUGCUAAGCUACGCAAAACCUUUUCGUGUGAAUAUAUCAAACAUGUGACAGGAGCCAUGGUUUCCUGGCUGUAGUAUCUACAAUACACGCCAGAACUUCGUACUCUCUGUGUAUGUGCUCGCGUUAACUUGUGUUUGUGUCAUCUCUUUCAUCAUUGUAUGUGUUUGGUGUGAGUUCUAUGUAACUGAUUCCCAUGAGAUAUCUUCAAAUUUUAAUGUCAUUUGAUAUUCUUCUUUAAAUUUGGGAAUCGGGAUGUUGUGCAAGAAAUAGCGAUCCUUGUUUCUUGCUCUAUUCUGCAAUGGUUGUCCAGCAUAAUCUUGAGACAAUGAAAACUCAAACGACACAAACUUGAGAUCUACUUUUGAAGACAGUCACUAAAUUGUUACAACAAUACCGUCGCAAAUGAUAAGAUUUGCCAACAAUUUGUGGCAGAAAUUCUAUCCUUCUCUUAAAAUGACAUAACACCAGCUGCUACUGCAAGCAGAAAACAACGAGUAGAGCAACCGCGACGAUGACCGAGCAAAUUAAAGCCUGCACCAGUGCAAGUUUUCAGCACAAGAGGAAACAAAAUGUCAACACCAAACAUCAAAAGACAAAAAAAUUGUAGGAAAAAAUCUGCAUAAUUUCUUACUGCAAUGGCAGAUGCUGCAAGGCCAGGUCGUUCCCUGGGGUCUUUAAGGUGGUUCCCAAAGUAAAGGACUGUAGCAUAAUACCAUAGUGGUGGAAAGGCAAAUCCCAAGAGAAACCUGUCACAAGCAUCGAUCCUAUAAUCUUUAGUUCUGUCUACAGGACAAACACGCACUCAACAAGAACACAUGUAUAACAUGUCUAGUUGUUUAAAACCACUUCUAAGAGUCCUACCAAACCGUUUGAUUGAUUUAGUACACCAUAUUAUGGGUCGCUUAAGUAUUGGUAUUAAUUCGUGUUUGUACCCUAGAAAAACCGCAAAAAAAAAAAAAAAAAAAUCUCUAGCAUCCUUCAAUUCAAAUUAAAAGUGAGCAUCUUAAUCCUAACACAUAUUCAUCCAUCAGUCUCACUUUAUGCUUGUACUUAAUGGAGGUGGAUUGUGUGCCCUCCCAUUUUCAUACUCUUCACAUUCUCUCUUGUCUGUGUGGUUACGGUUAAGCCACGUCAACAUUUUAUAUUCUUAUUACUUUUUAUUUUAUUAUUUUUAUAAGAAAAUCAAUAUAAAAUGUUGACGUGAUUUAACCGUUACCACACAAACGAGAAGAGAUGGAAAGAGUAUAGAAAUGAGAGGACAAACAAUCCACCUCGUACUUAAUAGAUGUUUGUGCUCUACAAAACACGCAAAACAUCAAUCACUAUCGUCCCUUAAAAAGAAAGAAAAAAGUAAGAAUCUUGAACUAGAAACUCACGAGAACCAUCCAAUGCCACAACCGAAGCAUGAAAGUGGCUUAUCAUACAUCCCAUCAAGCAAAUCUAAUUCUCCUCCAUCAACUUCAAGUUGCACCAUUCCUUUACUUCCAUGAUCUCCACCUGUACCAACACAUUAUGCCGUGAAUAUCUACGUUGCUCCAGAGUAUUCUAUACUUCGUAAUUUUUAUCCCUCGAGCGAUAAUCUCCGACCCUCGCAAAGCAGGGAACUUGGGGUCGCUCUUAUAGCGAAAAUCCCUUAGGUAUUUACUACAACGCCAAACAAGGGAAGAGAGAAAAAUCACAGUACUGACCGUAUUGCUGCUUCAACGAUGUGAUCCCAGUGUUGUUCUUCAUGCUUGCUCCUUCUACCAAAUCCGUGCUGCUCUCAUGCAUGAUCAAAUCGCUGUAGUUAGACACAGAAGUCUCGAAAUUUAUCGACGUUUCGAAGAGGAUCCAUGCUGUUAUGUGCGGUUUUAUGUUGACAAACUGCUGGAGAGAAAACCAGAAAACGAAAAGGUUUCGAAAGGAGGGAGAAAGAGGAACAAAAGGAUUCACUUUUUCGGUUUCUUCUUGUUUUGAAUAAAACGGUUUCCCUCUUUUUAACCGAAACAACUGCCACUUUGCUUUUGGAUUUUAUUGAACAAAGCAUGUCACUUCAUCAUUUACUAACCUCUUUCCGCACGCGUAAUUUUCUUUUCUUUUUUUAUGUUAUUUUUACUUGUAAUCUUAUUUAUUUUAUAUAUUUUUAUUUUUACUUGUAAUUUUCUUUUCUUUUUUUAUGUUAUUUUUAUAUAUUUUUAUUUUAAAUUACGAAUUAUUUACCUUUUUGUCUUCCGGUUAUAUAUAUAUAUAUAUAUGUGUGUAGAUAUUUUAAAGUCUAAAAUAUACUUUUUUCACUCAUCGUGAUUCAUGUUGUGAAAUUUAAGUAUUAAAACUAAAAGAUUCGUCCAUCGAAUGCAUAAUUUUACUAAGGUUGAUUGAUCAAACUCAUAUGUGCUAAGAGCAAUUAUAAUUGAACUAUUUUGACCAAAAAAAAUUAUAAUUGAACUAUCAUUAUUCGACAAAAAUAGCAUUCAUAUCAUUGUUCUUGUGGUGUACAAACCAAAAAAAUAAAAUAAAAAAGUUGAUAUUCAAUUUGCAAAUAUUUCAACAAACACUGAUAAUUAGUUAUAUCAACUUUUGAGCAUAUAGCCCCACUAACAGGUAGGUAUCUUUUGGAGAAGCAACAUAAGGUUGGUGGUGACUGGUGAGGUGCCAAAUUAACUGAAGUUGUCCCACCCAAACAUUAAUUGGGGAUUGCUAUGGCUUUCUUUUUCAAUCUACUAUUUAUUUUUUCAACGUAGAUUCGUGCAAAAUAUUAUUUAUAAUAAAAAAAAAUGUAUAAUAAAAGUAAUUUUUGUAAAGUUUUGUGGACUCGAUCUAACAUUAAGAUGACUUAUAUGUCGAGCACGUCAACGACUUACAAAAGGUCACACUUGUAAUGAAGAAACAAGAGCUAAAACUCGACAAAGGGCUCAAUAUUUAUAAAAUAUGAAUUUCUUAUGUGAGUUACACUAGUUGGAAAGAUAGUAAAUUCGUGUUCUUAUACUCGAUUUUGCAUCGUUUUUUUGUUUAAUUUUUUUAUACUGCUAUAAUUUACUCUAAAAUUGAUAGAAACUUGAAUUAAGUCGCACAAUAAGAUUGACAUAAUGUGGUAUUGAAUCUGCUGAAAUCUAAAACCUUUUAGUUACAGAUGACGAGUAACACUAGUUUGUAGUUUGUAGUUUAAAAUAAAAGUUUAUUUUUUUGUUGAAAAAAAAAAAUGUAAUUUGUGAACUUGUUGACUGGAGUCUAAAUGUCAAAUCAAACCUAAAACCCAAUCCGACGGCCAAAAUCACACCACACAAUUAAAAGCGCAAACCAAGAAAACCAACCAAAAAUAAAAUAAAAAGAAGAAAAAUAAAAUAAUUAUUUUGUUUAUUCGACACAGACGCUCUCUCUCUUUCUCUCUCUCUCUCUCUAAAACUCCGAAUGGAACCGAAUGAAAACCAACUGAGCUCCUACUUCCAACACCCCACCACGACGACGGCCCCCGCCGCCACUUCCACAGCCGCAACCACUCCCUCUCCAACCAAUGGGCUCUUGCCCAACACCCACUCAACUUAUGGGUCCCACAUGUUGUACUCUCACUCGGUGCCCUCCUCGGCGGUGACCUCGCCACUUGAGCCCGCGAAAAGGAAGCGGGGGCGGCCCAGAAAGUAUGGCACGCCGGAGCAGGCUCUGGCGGCCAAGAAGGCAGCGACGACGUCGUCUCACUCCUCGUCCUCCAAGGAGAAGAAGGACCAACACGGCGCCGUCUCGCCUUCGUUUUCUGGGUCGACCAAAAAAUCUCAGCAGUUUUCUCUCGGUGGGUCGCAAAUAAAUACCCUUUUAGAAUUUUUUUUUUGUUUUUUUUUUUUUGCAAUUGGGUAGUGAAAUUCUUCAAUUUUUUUUUUUUUUGCUAAUUUCUUCAAUUUCGAUUUGGGUUUUAAGUUUUUGGUAGCAUUGCUGUGGAAAGAUUGAAACUUGAUGGUUAUGAGUGGGUGUUCUGGAAAUACCCUAUUUGUGUUUCGUUGUGAAAUUUCGUGUUCUCGGUGGGUUGUUGCGAAUUGCUUCGAUUUUAUUUGUGUUUUUUUUUUUAUUUGCUAUGUUUCGCAGUGGCUGCCCUGUUUUCUGUGUUUUUAUUUGUUAAUGGUUUAUUGUGAAUACGUUGCAAUUUUAAAGGUUUUGUUCCGAUGCUUAAAUUUAUAAGUGUUUUCGAUUGCAUUGUUCGGUGUUCUCACCUUUUGGUAGUGUUCAGUUUAAUUAUUGCUAAAUGGUGGGCAUAGUUGGCUGUCAAUUUUAAAAUUGGAGUAGAAUAACUUCCCCAUCUGUUUGAAUGAUAAGCUUUUGGGAAGUAAAAAGAGAAGAUAAGGCAAUUUGGUAACUUUAAUUUACAUGAACCAAAAUCUUCCGAGAUCACACUUUUUGGAGUGGAAACUUUGGUUAGCUUGAUAGUAAGUUAUUGAUAAGAAGCUCUUAUGUUUUUGCUUUUGAAGGAUAGUUACCUAGUGUUUAGUUUCGGUAAUACCGAGUAUAGUUUUUAAAGUGAUGUCAAUACUGUAGUCCAAAGUGGCUUGUUUUGUGGUAUAAAUAAUCAUAAUUUAAAACACUCAUGUGGUACUCUUAAUUGGUUGAUGCAGGCAAUGCAGGGCAAGGUUUUACACCACAUGUUUUAACUGUUGCUGCUGGGGAGGUAUGAAUUUCCUAAUGAAUUCUCAAAGAAGGAAUACCAUGACAGUUUAAUUCAUGUUUUUCCCCUUCAAUCAAGUGUGUGUGUGUGUGUUUUUUUUUUUUUUUGUUUUAUAAAUUGCAGAUUCUGGAAUAUAGCUCUUUCUUAUUUGAUUGCAUGAAUGGAUUUUUUAUUUUCACAUUGUUUUAAUGUGUAACGGGCUGAUAUGGGAUAUAGAAUAUUUCCUUGAGUUUGUUUGUGGGUUUUGUGAACAACCUUGCAGAAGUGGUUUCCUUUUUCCUUUGGGGCAGUUACUGUUGUAUUUUUACUACAUCCAUAGUUGCCUGAACUUACCUUGUUUAUCUUGCCCAAACUUACUUUUGGUGCAGUAGUUAUACAGUUUUCCCGUUAUUGUGUUUUCUUUAUUUGUUAUGUGCUCACACAGUUUAGUGAAAUGUCUAACAGGAUGUGGGCCAGAAAAUCAUGUUUUUCAUGCAACAGAGCAAGCGUGAAAUAUGCAUUCUAUCUGCUUCUGGUACCAUCUCAAAUGCAUCUCUCCGCCAGCCAGCUACUUCGGGAGGCAACAUUACAUAUGAGGUAAUUUUUGUCUUCAGCCUUUCCAAGUUUCAGAAACAUUAAGUAUCUUGGAAUAUAUUGUAUUUGUGCUUUUGGAGUAUCAUAUUCAGUGCUUUGUUCAAGGUAUGUGUAUAUGAGUGGAUACUUGUGUCACUGUGAUUAUAAAAUCAAAUGGCAACGCUUUGGACUAGUGAACCUCCCAGGUGGUAUUAGAUUCUCGGUGGACAAAAAUAGGGCAACUGUAACUUAGUUGCUCACUAUUGGCAACUAACAGGUGUAGUUAUCAGUGUGGGUUCAGAUGGAGGUUAAAUGUACAAGUUCAGCCAUUAUUUUUUUGUGUACAUGGAUUUUUUUAUUGGUCCGUUCAUUCAGCUAAACUGAGAUACGGCAAAGCUGCGAGCCUGAUAACAAUUCUCACUUGCUUCUAAUUUAUUUUUAGACGUAUCUGAAUAAAAAAAUCUUUUAAGUAAAAUAUAUUUUGACUGUAUAGUUCUUAUAGUGCCCUGUAUAUUCUACACAUGAAGCCAUCGUAUGAUUGAUGAAAAAGUGCCAUCCAUAGUGAUAGGUGGCUGAAUUUUGAUUUUAGUAGUGUCCAAGUUAUUCAGGUAGAGUUCAUUGCUACAAAUUAUAGUUGUGCAAUGUGCCAUUGCUCUAUCUCUGUGUGUGUGUAGUUAGGCAGGAGAAAAGGGAGGAAAUGACGACGUCAAGAUUCCUUUCUUUUGAUUUCCUUUUUUGCUUGGCCUAAAGUGGUUUAUGUGGAAAUAAAAAAUAUUAGUUUCAAAAUAUGCCUAUGCUUUUCUAUCUUAGAAAUUUUGGACGUGUGAAACAAAAAUUUAAAUUUCUUAAAGGUCUGCAUAUUCUUGCAAAAAAAAUAUUUUGUUAGUUCCUCCAAAGAUUAAUAUAUGUCUGGCUAAGUCCUUUAUAAUACCAGACAACUUGACGGAUGGAACUGUGGCUUCUUGAUCAUCUCCCUCAUGUUUAGUUCAUCAAAGUGUAAUGGUUUCUUUCUGAUGUUAGGGUCGCUUUGAGAUUAUUUCGUUGUCUGGAUCUUAUGUACGUACUGACCUUGGAGGGAGGGCUGGUGGGCUCAGUGUAUGCCUAUCUAAUACAGAUGGGCAAAUCAUCGGCGGUGGAGUUGGUGGGCCCCUGAAGGCUGCAGGCCCUGUGCAGGUAAUAUUUUAGCAAGUUCACAUUUUGUUGAAUAAUGUCUGUAAUAUUGUUUGAGUGCACAACUGUGGCAUAAGAUACUAGUGUCUUAUGUGUCUCUGCAUCGAAGCAGUAGGGGGUUUGGAUGUCAUCUGAUGCUCAAAUUGAUUUUUCCAUGUUAUUUGGCAUUGGGGCAUUUGAACCCUUUCUUCUUAACUGAAAUCUCUGCUCGUUUCAGUUAGCUUGUUUGAAAAUUGGUUCUGCGGUAUCUAUGUAACACUACUUCGUUGCACCCACAGGUUAUUGUCGGAACAUUUCAGAUUGAUGCCAAGAAGGAUGCGACUGCUGGUGUAAAAGGUGAUGCUUCUGCUGCCAAGUUACCAUCGCCAGGGGAAAUGAUGAGCGGAGGCUUCCACCCAACACUCGACCCUUCUGGAAGACCUCUCGUCAGGGGGAAUGAAGAUCAGCAACCUAUGGGGGGAAGUCACUUCAUGCUUCAGGGCAUGCAUGUCGCACCUUCACGGCCCACAGAUUGGAGAGGUGGUCCAGAUGCUAGAGGCACCGGUGCUUACGAAUUGACAGGAAGAGGAGUUCGUGCACCACAUCAAUCUCCAGAGAACGGGGACUACGAUCAAAUUCAAGAUUAGGGAUUUCUUUUGGGAUUUGAGAAGCGGUUUUUUGUCGUAGAUAGAUGUAUAAUACAUACUUUUCGUCCGCUAACUCUGUUUUUAGUGUGCACCAUACAUUAGAGAUGAUGGCUCCAUACCUGUGACCUCCACCCUUUGAAAUAUGUUGCUGCCUUCACUUUUGCUCAUGGUGUAUGUGCAUGGGGGUCGGCGGCUGGUUUCUGUUCUAUACUUUGCCUGAAUAUGGUUGUCGAUAUUUAUCCGUUGGGGAAUUAAUCACAGUUCUGCAUCUCUUUCGAAAUCUUUUCGUAUGAGUUGAUUGAUCCUUGAAUGGUUCUUCAUCACCUUCUUGGCGUACAGAGUUCGAAUCGCGGUUGCCUGAAAGUCUGCUGAAUUUUCUUUCAAGGGUACGUCAAUGGUUGGCAGAAGAGUCCAUAGUGUUUGUUUGGAAGUGCUUCUUUAGAAAGCACUUCUGUUCAUGAGUGUUCUAGUGAAAGUGAUUCUGUUAGAAGUGUAUUGAAAUUUUUAAUAGAACUGCAGCACUUGAAAUGCUUUGUUUAGGUGCUGCUUCUGGAAAGCAUUUCAUUUACACUAAACCUUUUCUGGCAACCUCGUUUCACCUGCUGCUAAGGGCUCGCUUGAUAAUGUUUUUAGUUUGUGUUAAGACGGAAAAAUGGAGGCGGGUGGUGGAAGGAAGGAGAAAUGAAGAGUUUGUAUGAAAAUAAAAAUGUCGUCGUAAGGUCGUACCCAGUGCACAAGGCUCCCGCUUUACGCAGGGUCUGAGAGAGGUGAAUGUCGGCUAGCCUUACCCCCAUUUAUGGAGAGGCUGCUCCCAAGUUAUGAAAAUAAAAACGUGAAAGUGAAAAAUAAAAACGAAAAGCAAAUUGGUUAUCACAUUCUAAAUUACUUUAGUCCACAAGAUGAGAUAUUUGAACUUUGUUCUAUGUGUGAAAUACAACGCCUUGGCCUUUUGACAAAAUUCGAUCGAAUAAUUUAAUAAUUUGGGAUUUUAUUUUAUUUUUUAUACGUCAAUAUUUUACACUACAAUUGAUGAGGAUUUAGACUAAUCGAACAAACUAUACAGUGGUAUUGAGCUUACCAUCCACGAAAGUCAACACCUAAAACUUCUAUUCACUUACGAGCGAAGAGAGUAACACUAGUAGUUAAGAUUAAAUAUUGAAUGUUCACAAUGUUACAAGUUUAAUAUAAAAUUGAUCCGACCCUCUACCUUAGACUGUUGAUGAACCUUGUCUCAAGGCAUCUUAAGGUCCACACGUUAACUAAAAGUUGUGCAUUGGCUGAUCAAGACUCAAAAGGCAUAAAUCAACCAACACGAUAUUGACAUUUCCAUACUUGCAAACUCCAAUUUUCAAUUUCCAACCUAAAAAGUUGAAACUAGGGUUUUGAAUUAUGCAAAGUUUAGUUGGUCACGAACAUUUAUCUUUUUGUCUGAAGUGUUAAGUUCGACUUUUUAAAAAACUAAGUUGAACUUAGUUAACUAAUUCGAACUUAGUUGGUAAAAAAACACUCAUCUUUCUCCUUGAGACUUCGAGGUGUUAAGUUCUAUUUCUUUCCAUCCUAAGUUGUUUUGAACAAGAAGCGAUAGAGCGUAACAUUAUUAAGAAUAACCAAAUACAAUAGGUGGUGGAUGAGUAUAUUGUUUCCAGUAACCAAUUUUGUUGAUAUGGAGAUAAUUUGCAUUGAACAUAAAUAAUUUUAAAACUCCUAUACGAUUACCACACAAAACCACAAGAAGCAAGAGUCUCAAAACAAAUCUAUCAAAACAAAUGUGAUCGCAAACGACCUUAUCACACAACUUAUUGUUGCAACACAAACAAAUUACCGAAGCAACACAUAAACCCUACUAAAUACUUAAAAGAACUAAAAACCAAACCAAUGACGUGUCCAUUGAGAAGAUCCCUCCCUAAGCACAUGUAUCACAUGUUUUUUUUUGGUCAAAAAAUAGAUUUUGUUAGAUUUGUUGACUCCAACAUCUGAAUCAACUAAUUCAAGUCAACUUGCAACCACCAAACCUCCCGACGGACAAAAUCUACUCAAGAUCGGACCCAUCCAACGGUGGAAACACUAGGAUGCACCACAUCUACCACAUGCACCCGCCCACACUAUACCCACAAAAAAAGUAAGAGGAACAACCUUUUUAACGAAAUAAAUAAGGAAAGAAAAAUAAUUUUAUUACAAGAUGCAAUGAAUAAGUUACCGCCUUUUCCGUGCGAGAACGUCCAGGUUCUCUUCACAUCACACACACUUGCGGGCCCCACGGCCUCCCCUUAAAGGCUAAAAGUUAAACAUCGCAUUCCUCACCACCGACCCAGCUGCUGGUCUGCAAUCUGCAUUUGGGUAUUUGUAUUUUGGUUUCUGGGAUUCGUUUCUGCUACGAGUUGGUGGAGAAAGAUCGAGUCUUUGGAGGUGAUUAAUGGUGGGGUUUGCAUAAAAAGUUGGAUUGAGUAAUAAAGUUUCCGACUUUCGGGUUUUGAUUUGGACACGGGAGGCACCGAGGUGUGUUCUUAUUGCUUACUUUUUUUUUUUCCUGAUUUUUUUCCUUCUGCUCUUGUUUUCUCUGAGAUUUUGAUUCACUGAAAUCAAACUUUUGCUUGUAGUUUUUGAAAUGAAAGAAGGGUUUUAGAAGAACCGGGGAAAAAACAGCAGAGGAGUGGAUUGUAGGAAGUUUGGAGGGCUGUUUUGAUUGGAAAGGUAGAAUUUUGAUUGGGAAGAUAGAAAGUUUAGGAGUUUUUGGCAGAUGGGAAGGUUGGAUCUUAGGAGUUUAGAAAGUGGUUAUGUCAGUCACCCUCCAACAAUCCAGGUGUUUUUCAUAUCUUAGAAUACGGGAAAUGUGUUUUGGGAUUCGUAAUUUGGGAUUGAAGUGAUAGAAUUCGAGUGGUUUUCGUUGUUUUUGGGGUGUUCGAGUGAGUUUGGUUGUUCCGGAGUUUGAAAGAUUGAAAGUUUGAUAGAAGUGGAAUGAUCUGAACAAAUUCAUCACUUGGGCGGGUGCAAUGUUCAGAGCAUUAGCAAUUGGAUUGUUGGUUUUGUGUUUCGUUACAUUAGUUUCGGGCAGUGAUCAUGACUUUUCACAUUGCAAUUGUGACGAGGAGGGUUUUUGGAGCAUACCAAACAUUCUGGAGUGCCAAAGAGUGAGUGAUUUCUUGAUUGCAAUAGCAUAUUUUUCAAUCCCUGUAGAACUCCUUUACUUUGUCAGCUGCUCGAACGUUCCAUUCAAAUGGGUCCUCCUGCAGUUUAUUGCCUUCAUAGUUCUCUGUGGGUUGACCCAUUUGCUGAAUGCGUGGACGUAUUAUGGCCGCUACACGUUCCAGUUGAUGCUGUCCCUCACCAUUGCCAAAUUCCUCACGGCCUUGGUCUCUUGCGCAACCGCAAUAACCCUUUUAACUCUGUUCCCUAUGAUUCUCAAAGUAAAAGUGAGAGAAUUGUUCUUGAGGCAAAAUGUGAUGGAAUUAGACCAAGAGGUUGGGAUGAUGAAGAUACAGAAGGAAGCGAGUUGGCAUGUUCGAAUGCUGACCCAGGAAAUUAGAAAGUCGCUUGACAAACACACCAUAUUGUAUACAACUCUGGUUGAGCUUUCAAAGACACUAGACUUGCAUAAUUGUGCAGUUUGGAUGCCGAAUGAGAAAAGAGGAGAGAUGAACCUGACCCAUGAGUUGAAAACAAGUUCUUCGCAACAGUCGCCGUUCUAUCCCAAUCAAUGACCCAGAUGUGUUAGAGAUAAGAGAGAGCGAGAGGGUAAUGAUCCUGAGGCCUGAUUCGGCAUUGGGGUCUGCAAGUAGCGUCGAGUCUAGUGAAUCAGGUGCUGUAGCAGCAAUCCGGAUGCCAAUGCUUCGGGUUUCAAAUUUCAAAGGAGGUACACCUCAGUUGGUUGAUACGCAUUAUGCUAUAUUGGUUUUGGUUCUUCCGGUUGCAGAUUCUGGAGGUUGGAGCCAUCAUGAGCUGGAGAUAGUGGAAGUUGUGGCUGACCAAGUUGCCGUGGCUCUAUCCCAUGCUGCUGUACUUGAAGAGUCUCAACUAAUGAGGGAGAAACUGGCUGAGCAAAAUCGAGCGUUGCAACAAGCUAAGAAGAAUGCAAUGAUGGCUAGCCAAGCAAGGCACUCGUUUCAGAAGGUAAUGAGUCAUGGAAUGAGAAGGCCAAUGCAUACGAUUUUGGGUUUGCUCUCAAUGUUCCAAGAUAAUUUAAGUUUCAAACAGAGCAUUAUUGUGGACACAAUGGAGAAAACUAGUUACGUUAUCUGCACUUUGAUAAAUGAUGUGAUGGAGAUGUCGGUAAAAGAUAAUGGAAGGUUCCCGUUGGAGAUGAGGCCUUUUGAACUACAUUCUAUGAUCAAGGAAGCUGCUUGCCUUGCCAAAUGCUUGUGUAUGUAUAAAGGCUUUAGCUUUGAAAUUGAUGUUCAAAGCUCAUUGCCUAAUCAGGUGAUGGGAGACGAGAAAAGGACUUUCCAAGUACUCUUGCAUAUGAUUGGGUACCUAUUGAGUACCUAUAAUGGUGGGGGGACUGUCGUCUUUCGGGCUAUUUCUGAGAGUGGUACUGAUGGCCUUGAUGAUAGAUUGCAAGGAAUGUGGAGAAUGGGUAUUCCAGAUGAGUACAUUUGUAUAAAGUUUGAAUUUGAGAUUAGUGAGGCAAAUUCUUAUCCCGGUGGAUUAAUAGCAUCGACACACGAUGCUUGUAGGCAGCACAACAAUGAUGCAAUCAAGAAGGGCCUGAGCUUCAGCAUUUGUAAGAAGAUUGUCCAGGUAAGCACAACAAUGUUUGUUUGUGUUAUUAAUAUUGUUUAUUCUGCUGCUUGAUGCUGUAUAAUUUGCUUCAUUGUAAUUUGUGACCGAUCAAUUGAACUGUUGGUAUGCUCCCCAUGAAGUUGAUUAUUGCCGUCUUGAUCCGUGCAUUCUUAAUAUGAGUCUAUUUCAACUGCAUGUAGAAGGUCUUUGUGAGAAAUGAGUAGUCAGAGUCCACGGUCUCAGAAGUCAUGCAUGUUGGUUAACUUGUUUCCUUGCUUUUUAGUCUCACUUUCAAAGGAUAUCUUAUGCGCCUUUAAAUGAACACGGCACCACAUUCUCUCCACACCAUAUCUCAGGCAACCUCUAGUUUGAUCGGCGACCUAUUUCUACUGUAUUUAAUUUGUAAUAUUGUUGGUCAAAUUGUAUUUUCUGCUCUGAAGUUAGAACAAUAUAUUGGUCAAGGACUAUAUAAGUCAGAUAGUAACAGUCUUCACUUUUAUGUCAAAUUUUAGGGUCAUGGAUACAAUUUCACUGUAUAAAUACAGGUACAGUUUUGAUCUGGAUUGUUUUCUUCCAAAAUAUAUGUUUCUACAAGAAAUGCUAAUAAGAUUUAGAAAAUACUUACCGCAGCUUGCAUCGCUAAUUAUUUUGUGCAGCUCAUUUAUAGAUUUUGAUUUAUGCAUUGAUAUGAGAAGGCAAUCAAAAUAUGAAUAAUGUUAGAAACUUAUGGUUCUUCGGUAAUAAAUUUAUGUACAGAUGAUGCAAGGCAAUAUCUGGAUAUCCAUGAACCCAGUGGAAUUUGCAGAAAGCAUGACACUUGUUCUCAGGUUUCAAAUCCUGUCAUCUAUGGGAAGAACUAUACGUCCCCUGGGAAAUAAUUUGGAGCAACCAAAUUCCAACUCGCAGUUCAGAGGCCUUCGGGUUAUCGUAGUGGAUGAUGAUAACAUAAACCGGACUGUGACCAUUAAGCUCCUCGAGAAACUUGGCUGUCAAGUUACUGCUGUGUCUUCCGGGUUUGAAUGCCUGAGUGCUCUUACUGCCUCCGAAAACUCUUUUCAAAUUGUUGUAUUGGAUCUCCACAUGCCGGAAAUGGAUGGGUUCGAAGUAGCAAUGAGAAUCAGGAAGUUCCGCAGCCGUAGUUGGCCAUUGAUCAUAGCCAUCACAGCAAGUGCGGAGGAGCAUAUAUGGGAGAGAUGUCUGCAGCUGGGAAUGAACGGAUUGAUUCGAAAACCAGUUCUUUUGCAAGGGAUGGCGGAUGAACUUCGUCGAGUUCUACAAUGAGCAGAUGAAGGUUUGUGGAGAUGAAGCAAGUGAAGUAAUGUGGUGUAGUUUACUUUUGUUUCCUUACUUCUUUCACAACUUCUUUAGGUUUCUCCAAUGAGCACAAGUUCUAGAAAGAUGGAAUCCAACUUAAACAUGUUAAACUUAGUUUUACUCAAAAAAUAUAGUAAUUAUAUAUUGCUAACCAUAUCCUUCAUGUCACAAGUAAUAUGUACUGAAUAAUGAGAGUUUUUUUUCUUUGUUGAUGUUAAAUGCGCAAAAUUGAGCGCAAUGGCAUUAUAAGAUUCAUACUGCGACUCCACUUAGUGGGAUAAGACUUGGUUGUUGUUGUUAGUGUUAAACCAAGGCUACUCAUAUUCAAGUUAAGGUGACAGUAGCUAUAUGAUUGUCCUAACUAUAACAAAUAUUUACUCCAAUCCAAUGAUUAUUCACCUAUUCAAACAAAAUGCUUCGCAAAACUUAUACACACCUGUAAUGUCAAUAUGUGCGUAAUUGGCUUGUAAUACCCAUUACAAAUGCUUGGCAAUCAAUAGAAGAGUGGAAUUGAAGAUUGAAAAAGAUAGUCCGAGCAGACACCAUAUAUAUGUUUGAUUAAACCAAAUUUAAAUACCGAUUUGUUGUGGCCUAUAUUUAACUAACAGGGAGAGGGGGCCGGCAGCACAGAGAAAAUAUAGAGAGAGAGAUGUGUUUGUAGGGUUGUGUAAAAGAUGUGUUAUUCUCCAUACGCAAUGCCUUUAUUUAUAGUAAUAAGAGAGAAGAAAUCCUUCUCCUCCAAGGAAUACAAGUCCUAAUAGGGAAGAAUAACUAGAAUAAAAUCUAAUCUAGUAUUUACACAAUCACACUUAAAUAAAAAGUUUAUAACACUCCCCCUUGAGUAUGCAAAUAUCCAAGUAGAUUCGGCAUCAUGUAGAGUUGAGGAAGUCGACUUGUCAGCACUGAUUUUGGGAACACGCUAGUCUCAAUAAGGUAGGAACUUGCAUAAGAAAAUAAGUCUAAAAAAAAAACCCUAAGGCUAUGGUAAAAACCCAAGUAGGGACAAAAUCCGUAGUCUAAGGAAAAAUGUGUGAGUAAUGCAAAGUCAAAUGAAACGUCUACGGGACAUCAUCAGGGAUAUGAUCAACCCAAGGUAGGUGUCUCAUCAAAACCUCGUUAAGUAGCAAAAACCCAGUGGGAAAAAUGCUCUUAAUCGUAAGGAAUAAAAGCACAUUAAGAUCAAGCAAGUAUACUUCAGGAUACUCCCCCCGAGUUUGACACAAUUCGAAAGAGAACUAACAAUGGUACAACUCAGAAAGUUUACGCAUACCAAUUCCUUGAACAAGCUUCUGAAACGUUGCCCUCGGUGGUGAUUUGGUGAAAAGGUCGGCCAUCUUGUCUUGUGAAUGGAUUUGCGUGACUUCAAUCUUUUGAUGUUCUUGUUGUUGAUGUGAGAAGAAGAACUUUGGCGCAAUGUGCUAGGUGUUGUCUCUUUUGAUGUAACCCUUCUUAAGUUGUUCGUUGCAUGCUAUGUUGUCUUCAUAGAUCGUCGUCGGGACGUCUACGACGGGGUAAAGAUCGCAUGAGCUUCGAAUAUGGCCCACAACUACUCUCAGCCAGAAGCAUUCUUGAGUUGCUUCGUGUAGGGCGAUAAUUUUAGCAUGGUUAGACGAAGUGGCAACUAAGGUCUGUUUAGUUGACCUCCAAGAGAUUGCGGUGCCUCCAACGGUAAAGACAUAACCUGUUUGAGAACGCACCUUGUGCGUAUCAGAUAAGUAUCAUGCGUCGGCAUAACUAUGUUUGUACCAUACUUGACCAAUCCCGAAACUACUGAGCACCAGUUAACGUUAUACCGUCAAGGACCCAGAAGAGUUUCCCUCAAACCAGGAGGCCAAUCACAGCGCGACACGUGUCAACAUCAGAAGCCAAUCAUAUCGCAAAAGUCUCAACAUCAGAAGCCAAUCACAACACGACACGUGUCAAUGUCAGAAUGAAACUAGAAACUCUUUUCUAUAAAUAGAGAUCAUUCUUUCACAAUAUUUCCUAAUGUCAUUUGUACUAAAUCAUUCACUAGUACUCACUAAAGGAGAGCUUGAACCUAUGUACUUGUGUAAACCCUUCACAAUUAAUGAGAACUCAUCUACUCAGUGGACAUAGCCAAUCUGGGUGAACCACGUACAUCUUGUGUUUGCUUCCCUGUCUCUAUCCAUUUACAUAUUUAUCCACACUGGUGACCAGAGCAAUCUAGUGAAGGUCACAAACUUGACACUUUCUGUUGUACCAAAGUCAUCACUGAUUUUGUGCAUCAACAUUUGGCGCCGUUUGUGGGAACGACACGUAUUCCCGCUCUCUUCAGUUUUGUCAAGGUGGUUUCCACCAUUCGUACACUCUCUUUUGACUAGACAUCCCUCUCUAACAUGGGGAGCAAAAGAAGCCACAACACGCAUAAUGACACCCCUCUUGCACCUGGUGCGAAGCAACGAAGGAAUGAACAAAAAAAGUUUGCUCUUCAGGCUAAAGUCGAUGAGCUGGAAGUUCAGAACAACAAGAUAGCAAUGAAGAAUGAGAUCCUCCAAGAGCAGUAUGAGAAGGUCUUUGAGACGCUUCACGAAACUAGGCGUACUCAAACACGCGAGCUCAUUACCUUUGUGGACAUCAAUCAUCAUCUGGGUGCCCCCUUCGACAUGGGUAUCCCUGAUGAGGAGCGAGCUAAUCAUCAAAACUUUGAUCAACAUGAGACUUUUCUCAACCCAGCUGCUUUGACCUGAAGUAUGAGAAGUGGAGGAAAACACCUCCUUACAGAAGAAGUGGAAGGAUCAAAACUGUCUUUCACGAUUGUCGAGAUUUCCUAAAGCAAUGUUAAGAAAAUCCCAUCCAUGUAAGCUUAAAGAUCAAUUACCCAAGGGUCUCUGAAAGACUCAGUCCCCUCCCAUGUCCCAGGCCGGCUACCAAUUUGGGGAAGGGGCAACAAGUCCUAGAGAAACACGAAGGUAUAGGAGACUCAGAAAUGUUCCGACAGACAUACCUUGGAAGUCAGUAUGGCGUCCAGGGAAAAAUCACAUGCUCUUGAUCAAACCUUCAUACUUCCAAGAGGAGAUGAAGAUUUACGAAAGAAAACUCCAGUGGUACAUGACUCCACUCAGGACCCUCUUGUCCUACAACUUCUUAAUGAAGUAAACAAGUUGAAGGCCAAACGACAAGCUGAGAUAUCUGAUUGGAACCAACCUAGGCCUGGCCCUCUUACAAGGAGGAUCCUCAACACCCCUCUCCAAGCAAAGACAAAGCAGAAGCUUAGCUUGCAACUCUAUACUGGAAAGGAGAACCCGAUUGAACACCUUAACCUUUUUGAGUCCACCAUGGCAUACUAGAUGCACACCGAUGAAGAGCGAUGUCUUUUCUUCCCCUCUACCCUCUCUGGUAGAGCUCUAAACUGGUAUUGUCAUCUUCCACCUAAGACGGUAAACUCAUUUGAGGAAUUGAGGAAACUGUUUGUUUCUCAACAUAUUUUCCAGACCGAUCGCUUGCACUCUACGAAUGACUUGUACAUUAUUCGCCAUAUGCCAGACGAGUUAUUACGUAUGUAUGCUGGCCGAUUCUGCCAUAAGUAUUCCCGUUGUGCCAAGGCAGAUGACAAGACUGCCCUCAAAGCCUUCACAGCAGGCCUAUAUGACUGUUUCUUUAAGUACAUGAUCAAUGCCAACAUUUGGAAGACUUACUCUGAGGUGAUGGCCCAGACUUAUAACCAUGCCUCAGCCGAGGCAAUGACAUACCAAGGGAAACCCCCCACAGCCACCCCUUAUCAGCAAGUAGGGAGUGGAAGCCAAAUCCAACCAAAUAAGAAGACCUCGACCUUCCAAACAGCAGCGGUGCCUCCCCUGCCUUACUUAAUACUUCGCCAAGUCAACAGACGUAUCAAUCUCAGGGCAAAAGGAAAUAUUUACAUCCUCACCAGUCUCAUUUUAGUAAAAGAAGUAAGGGACAUUAUCGCGAUAACCAAGGGUAUCACCACGAUAAUGCCCGCCCCCAGGCAGUCAACACAGUGGGCUAAGCAUGUGUCAGGACAUGCCCUACCUCGAGGUAUGAGACAUACACACCUUUGAACGCCACAUGCAUGACCAUUUACCCCAGCAUAGCACACCUAAUACUGAAGCCAAUGUCGAGGCAGUUGAGUUACAAGCCCAUGAAGAACACGGGCACGUUUUGCUGCUACCACGAGCAUAACGGCCAUGACGGCGAGAAGUGUAUCACCAUUCGUGAUCAUAUUGAAGCUUUGGCACGUGAAGGAAAAAUUGAUCAAUUCCUCCUUCACCCUCCAAGGGUAACCGUAACCAACGCCAGGUGAAUGUGAUAUAUUUCAUAAGCGACGGCACACCCAUAUCCGAAUCUUUCAAUAGAGCCAUGAAAAACAGCGAACAAGCUUUAAAGCCUGGCCACCAAGUGUUUCACGUGGAAGACAUCAAAUGAGGCAAGUAUCAAAAGCCUAACUGGGAUCCAAUAUGUUUCUACCCUGAGGAAGAAAGAGGUAUCAUCUACCCUCACAACGACCCACUGAUCGUGGAGGCUCACAUAGCCAACUUUGAAGUAAGACGAAUCCUGGUAGACACGGGGGUUUCGGUCAAUAUCAUGUUUACUGAAGCUUUCAGGGCACUUAAUGUAGCUGAACACUUGCUCGAUCACUCGAUUUCUCCUCUGAUAAGCUUCUCCGGUGAUAUCGUGCAACCUAUAGGGAUUAUACACUUACCUUUCACCAUUGGUACAUACCCUUACACAACUACCAUUACCACUGAUUUCCUGAUGGUUGAUUGCCCAACGACAUACAAUGUCAUCUUUGGACGCACAGGUAUCAAUGAUCUCAAGGCCAUGGUAUCCACACAUAUGUUGUUGAUGAAAUUUCCAACCCCCUAUGGCAAUGGUUACAUCAGAAGAGAUCAACUUAGUGCACGGUCAUGUUAUAACACUUCGGUCAAGCAACAUCACCUGCAUGUGCCCAAGGAAACAUUUUCUAUACAUGACCAAGUCAUAAAGACUAGCCCAGACGAAGCCAACUUGGAUUUUCACGGUGGCAACAGUCAACUUGACGAUCUUCGAGAUGACUAUUUCACCCAGCAAGCACAACCCACUGAAGAGCUGGAGAAGGUUUCUAUCUCAAAAGAUUAUCCAAAUCGCAUGGUUAAGAUUGGCACCAUCUUGUCACCACCUAUUCGGUUGGCAUUGAUCUCUUUUUUGCAAGAGAACACUGAGGUCUUCGCCUGGUCAUGUUAUAACAUUGAGAUCAACUUAGUGCACGGUCAUGUUAUAACACUUCGGUCAAGCAACAUCACCUGCAUGUGCCCAAAGAAACAUUUUCUAUACAUGACCAAGUCAUAAAGACUAGCCCAGACGAAGCCAACUUGGAUUUUCACGGUGGCAACAGUCAACUUGACGAUCUUCGAGAUGACUAUUUCACCCAGCAAGCACAACCCACUGAAGAGCUAGAGAAGGUUUCUAUCUCAAAAGAUUAUCCAAAUCGCAUGGUUAAGAUUGGCACCAUCUUGUCACCACCUAUUCGGUUGGCAUUGAUCUCUUUUUUGCAAGAGAACACUGAGGUCUUCGCCUGGUCAUACAAGGACAUGCCAGGCAUCUCGCCCGAUAUCAUCUGUCAUCACUUAAGUAUUGACCCCAAGACUAAGCCAGUGAGACAGAAGCGAAGAUCUUAUGACGCUGAAUGGUAUGAGGCAAUGAAGGCAGAAGUUGAAAAAGUCAAAGGCAUAGGCUUUGUCAGCGAAGUCAAUUAUCUAACGUGGGUAGCAAAUGUUGUCCUUGUUAAAAAGAAUCCGACCAAGGAAAGUCUCCUGCUCCAAAAGGUCUUGUGGAGAUUGUGUGUCGAUUACACCGACCUAAAUAAAGGAUAACUUUCCUCUUCCUUUCAUAGACAGACUUAUAGACUCUACGGCAAUGUGUGAACUCCUGAGCUUCAUGGAUGCUUACUUAGGAUACAACCAAAUUCUCAUGAACCCUCCGGACCAAGAACACACAACCUUCACUACUGAUAGGGGACUAUAUUGCUAUAAAGUCAUGCCCUUCGGCCUAAAGAAUGCAGGAACGACUUAUCAAAGACUAGUCAAUUCAAUGUUCGUCGAACAGAUUGAGAAGAGCAUGGAAGUUUACGUUGAUGAUAUGCUAGUCAAGAGCAAACAUGCUGACCAACACAUCGCUAACCUAUCUGAAACUUUCACCAUUAUGAAAAGGUAUCAAAUGAGGUUGAAUCCCAACAAAAGUGCCUUUGGCAUAGGCCCUGGCAAAUUCUUAGGCUUCAUGAUAAGCCAACGAGGCAUUGAGGCUAAUCCCGAGAAGAUUAAAGCAAUCAUCGACAUGAAAGAACCGGUAACUUCAAAAGACAUCUAAAGCCUUACUGGUAAGGUGGCAGCCUUAACUAGGUUCAUCUCUAAGGCCACAGACAGAUGUACUCAUUUCUUCAAAACACUUAAUGGAAGUAAGAAGUACAUCACAUGGACUGUUGAAUGUGCCGAGGCAUUUAAGAACCUCAAAGACUACAUGGGUAAAACCCAUCUGCUCUCCAAACCUGAGGUUAGUGACACUCUCAUUAUCUAUCUAUCGGUAUCGGCUUCAGCAGUAAGUUCUGUUCUCAUUCGAAAUGAUGGUAAUGUCAAACAGCCUGCCUACUACGCUAGCAAGGUCUUACAAGAUGCAGAGACACGAUACUCCAACAUUGAGAAAUUGGCUCUAGCAUUGGUCAUGUCUGCUCGAAAACUUCGCCCUUACUUCCAAGCACAAUCCAUUAUUGUGCUUACCAAUCAUCCUCUUCAACAGAUACUCCAAAGUCCUGACACUUCAGGGCGAAUGAUAAAAUGGGCGAUAACAUUGGAUGAGUUUGACAUCUCCUACCAACCAAAGCCAGCUGAGAAGGGCUAAGCAGUGGUAGACUUCAUCGCCGACUUUACAUAUCCUGUUGACAUUGUUUCUACGCCUAAAGAAGUGGUUUGAUUACCCUCAGAAGCUCAGAAAAUAGAACCAACAGCCCCAUCAUGGAGUCUAUAUGUUGAUGGCUCGUCUAACCAACAGGGUUGUGAAGCAGGACUAGUCCUUACGACCCAUGACAAAGUGGUGAUGGAGUAUGCUCUUCAUUUCAAAUUCAAGGCAUCGAACAAUGAGGCCGAAUAUGAAGCCCUCCUAGCAGGCUUACUUUUGACCAAACACCUUGGGGUUAAACGAAUUGAUAUCUUCAGUGACUCCCAAUUGGUGGUUAACCAGGUUAUCAGCAACUUUGACGUUAAAGAUAGCUCCAUGACAGCAUAUUUGGCACAAACACAAUUGUUGCUCAAGCAUAUCCACUACCAGAUCACCCAAAUUCCUCGAGCAGCAAACAGUCAUGCAGAUGCUUUGGCUCGCCUCGCCUAAGCGGUGGAAGACAAGAUUGGGAGAAAAAUUCAGGUCGAAUUGUUGGCAGCACCAAGCACCAUGGCUGCGGAAGUGUGCAACUUACAACAGUGGGAUAGUUGGAUUACCCCGAUUUAUAGAUUCCUUGCUCAUGGCACCCUUCCAAAUGACAAAGUCCAAGCUAAGCAGAUUCGAUACAAGGCUACCCGUUACUUGAUCAUUAAUGACCAACUCUACAAGUGGGGUUUUAACCUACCAUACCUAAGAUGCCUUACGCCCGCAUAGGCGGAAACUGUUCUUCGGAAAAUACAUGAAGGAGUCUGCGGAGAUCAUGCUGGAUCUCGAUCCCUAGCACACAAGGCUUUUCGCCAAUGAUAUUACUGGCCAACACUCCACCAAGAUGCCAUCAGAAUAUCCCGCUCAUGUGAUAACUGUCAACACUACGCAACUAUUCCUCACUCCCCUCCCGAGCCGCUUACUCCUAUGAUCAACCCUUGGCCCUUCACUCAAUGAGGACUUGAUUUGAUCGGCCCAAUACCUGCAGGGAAAGGCAAGGUUCGCUAUGCAAUCAUUGCAGUUGACUACUUCACAAAGUGGGCCGAAGUAGAACCCUUGGUAACCAUUAUUGAGGCAAAAAUAUAAGAUUUCGUAUGGAAGAACAUCCUUUGUAGAUUCGGCAUUCCCAAUGAGAUAGUCACUGACAACGGGUGACAGUUCGACAACAAUAAAUUCAUAAUGUUCUGCUCUAAGUUCAACAUCAACUUAUGUUUUACCUCCCCAGCUCAUCCCCAGUCUAAUGAAUAAGUUGAAGCCAUCAACAAAAUAAUCAAGCGAACUUUGAAAACCAGCUUGGACAAGGCUAAAGAUUGUUGGCCAGAAUUUGUACCCCAAGUUCUUUAGUCAUACCGCACUUCGUAUCGGACAUCAACAGGAAAAGCCUCAUUCUCACUUGCCUUUGGUGCAGAGGUAGUUGUCCCAGCUGAGCUUGAGCAAGCAACGUUUCGAGUCCAGAACUACGUGCAAAGCGAAAAUGACAAACAACUUACCCUCAACUUAGAUCUAGUCGAGGAACACAAAAACCAGGCUCACUUGAAGAAUGUCGCUUACAAGCAGUGCAUCUCCAACUACUAUAACUCAAGUGUCAAACCUCGUUCUUUCAAAGUGGGGGACUGAGUAUUGAAGAAAAGAUUACUCUGCGACAGAGUCCUAAGUGAAUGAACACUUAGUCCAAACUGGGAUGGACUGUUUGAAGUUGUUGGCAUUAGUCGCCCUGGCUCCUACAAGCUUAGAAGCUCCUACGGCAAUAUCCUUGGCCAUCCAUGGAACGCUGAUCACUUGAAGUACUAUUACAAGUAAACUCACAUUGUACAAUUGUUAAGCUUCAGCCGUUCGGCAUCCUAUGUAACGAAGACUAUUUGGCAUGAAUUCAAUAAAUAGGUGAUUUAGACAACUCAGUCCUAAUCCUCUUACAUUCAUAGCAAUGAAACACUCUGGUUCAAAGCUUCAACUCGUAGAAAGCUUCACACACUCUUGAUCAAGACAGUGUGAAGCAAAACCAAUUUAUGGUGCCAAUAAGAGCUUCAUCAUAGGAGUUCAACCAUAAUUCUCAAAAGCUUCACACACUCUUGAUCAAGACAGUGUGAAGCAAAACCAAUUUAUGGUGCCAACAAGAGUUUCAUCAAAGGAUUUCAACCACAUUCUCAAAAGCUUCACACACUCUUGAUCAAGACAGUGUGAAGCAAAACCAAUUUAUGGUGCCAACAAGAGCUUCAUCAAUGGACGACAACGACAAUUCUCAAAAGCUUCACACUCUUGAUUAAGAUAGUGUGAAGCAAAACCAAUUUAUGGUGCCAACAAGAGCUUCAUCAAAGGAGUUCAACCACAAUUCUCAAAAGCUUCACACACUCUUGAUCAAGACAGUGUGAAGCAAAACCAAUUUAUGGUGCCAACAAAAGCUUCAUCAAUGAAGGGCAACUAUAACUCGUAGAAAGCUUCACACACUCUUGAUAAAGACUGUUCGAAGCAAAUUCAAUUUAUAUGGUUAAUCCAAACCCUCGACUACUACAAGGUGUGGCUUGCAUCACAAUCUCUUGCUCAACAAUGUGGAAGAAAAAUUUGUAUAUGUUGUCUCUCCCACAUUUUCAAAUUUCUAGUUUUCCAAAAAAAAUAAAAAAGAGGGAAAAUGGGAAAUUCAACAAAUUUCUAGUUUUCCCAAAAAAAAAAAUUGGGAAAUUCAACAAAGCUUCAUCAAUGGAGGACAACUACAAAUUCUCAAAAGCUUUACACUAUCUUGAUCAAGAUAGUGUGAAGCAAAAUCAAUUCAUGAUACCCAACAAAAGCUUCAACUCCAAAGCUUCACCUACAAAGCUUCAACUCCAAAGCUUCACCUACAAAGCUUUAACUCCAAAGCUUCACCUACAAAAGCUUCAACACAAAAGCUUCACCUACAAAGCUUCAACUCCAAAGCUUCACCUACAAAGCUUCAACACAAAAGCUUCACCCACAAAAGCUUCACCCAUAAAAGCUUCACCCAUAAUAGCUUCACCUACAAAAGCUUCACCCAUAAAAGCUUCACCAACAAAAGCUUCACCCACCACAAAAGCUUCACCUACAAAAACUUCACCUGUAAAAGCUUUACCCAUAAAAGCUUCACCAACAAAAGCUUCACCCACAAAACUUCACCCACCAUAAAAGCUUCACCAACAAAAGCUUCACUCACAAAAGCUUCACCCACUAGAAAAGCUUCACCUACAAAAGCUUCAUCCAUAAAAACUUUACCAACAAAAGUUUCACCCACCACAAAACCUUCACCUAUAAAAGCUUCACCAACAAAAGCUUCACCCACGACAAAAGCUUCACUCACAAAAGCUUCAACACAAAAGCUUCACACUAUAUUGAUCAAGAUAGUGUGAAGCAAAAUCAAUUCAUGGUACCCAACAAAGCUUCACCUACAAAGCUUCAAGACCAAGGCUUCACCUACAAAGCUUUAAAAAAAAAAUAAUAUAUAUAUAUAUAUAUAUAUAUUUUUUUUCGGAAAUUCGAAAAUUCAAAAAUUCGAAAAGAAAAAAAAUUGAAAAAAAAAAUUGCCCAGACCUUCUCUUCUUUGGGCCUAACAACUUUUAUAACAAAUAUAUAUAUGAAAGAGGAGUUUUGGGCUACCACUUAGAAGGAAAUGCCUCAUUCGUCAACUCCCUCGACCGGAGACUUGGGGGACUCCUACCAUAUGCUACUGCACCUUGAUACUCGGAAGUCUCAUGACCACUCAGUGACUUGGAUUUUUCAAGUCUCCAACCGAAAAGUUUUCCUCACUCGGGAAAUUAAGGGAGCAUUACCUUAACCUACAUGCUUCACUCACAAAGCUUCAACAUACAAGCUUUAACAAAAGAAAACAAAUUCAAAGAACUUAGCGAAUGAGGCCUUGGUGUAUUUAACACAAUACGUUGAAAUGAAGCAAAGCUUAUUUAUUGAUAUCUCUGAUAAGUUACAAAUAUGUACAUAUACAUGAAUCAAAAUAAACAAACAAGAAGGAGCCUUCACAAAGGUUGCUCAUGAGAAGUCUCAGCAGUCGGCAGAGCUCCAGAAAGAGAAGGCACCAAAGGGUGAUUAUUCGAAGCCUCAGUACUAGGCAGAACUCCAUAAGGAGGAGGCACCGAAGGUUGAUCAUUUGGAGCUUUAUUACGUGGUACAGCCCCAGAAGACGAAGGCAAUAAAUGCAUUUGGAACAAACCCACAAACCUCUGAUGAUCAAGUAAAAUCUGACCAUCAGAUUUCUGCAGUUGGUCGAGCUUCCUCUUCAUGUUUGUAGCAUAGUCAUGUGCGAGCCUGUGUAACUGUUUAUUCUAAUGUUUGAGCCCUCUGAUAUCCUGUUUGAGACUUAUCACUUCAGCCGCCAAUGAUUCAACUUGGUGGGUUUGAGUAAAUAGGCGUUGGGCCAUAUUAGACACAGAACCUGCACACUGAACACUGAGAGCCAGAGAAUCCUUAAUAGCCAACUCAUCAGACCGUUUGGAAAGUUGUCUGUUAUCUUUGGGAGUGAGAAGGUUCUGGCCACCACCUCAGCGGUCAUAUCAUUUUUCAUCACAGAGUCCCCAACUGUAAAAGGACCAGUAGGGGAUAAGAAUGAUAGGCGUCAUAUGUUGUCUUGAGAAGGCAUGGCUGCCUCUUCACCAAAGUUCAAGUCAAAACGACAGUCGGAUGGGCCAUACAUUCUCAGAAAUGAUGAAGGAGAAAUAAGGUGCAAUAAAUCUCUAAAGUACAAAAAUAAGGGGAAAAUUCCUAUAAUCAAUAACUCUCUGAACGUACUUCUUGCACACAAUUGGUGCCCCUAUAAAAGAAAGGGCAACAGGGCUGUUGGUUCAAAAAUCAAAGAGGUACCACUCUCCGAAUUUCGAGAAGCAGAUUUUCCUGAGUAAAAUAUGUCGACAAUCCCUACACGCAUCAUCAACUCAUCGGGUACCACAGAUAACUUUACCAAAGAUCUCUGACAAAGUUUAGACACAUAAAUUUUAAAGGUCCAGCUACCCUACCAUUACCCACAAGGGUAAAGGAAUAGCACCACUGCUUGAUAACUGGAAAGUCCUUGUGUGUGUCAACCUCCGUGCUAUGUGGCAAGGCAGAAUGAUAAAAAUGCCCAACCUUUACUCAUAUCGAAAAAACACUCCCAACAGGAUUACUUGCUCAAAAAUCGAAGAGGCACCGCUCCCCGAAUCUCGAGAGCCAAACUCCCACCAGGAUUGUUUUCUCAAAAAUCGAAGAGGCACCGCUAUUCUACUCUCGAGAGCCAGACUCACAAUAGGAUUGCUUUCUCAAAAAUUGAAGAGGCACCGCUCUCCGAAUCUCGAGAGCCAGACUCCCAAUAGGAUUGCUUUCUCAAAAAUCAAAGAGGCACCGCUUUCCGAAUCUAGAAAGCCAGACUUCCAACAUGAUUGCUUUCUCAAAAAUCGAAGAGGCAUCGUUCGCCAAAUCUCGAGAGCCAGGUCCCUGACAGGAUUGCUUGUUCGAAAAUUGAAGAGGCACCGCUCUUUGAACUUUGAGAGCCAAAUUUUCUGAACUUUGAGAGCCAAAUUUUCUUGGAUAAAGCUUAUCUGCAACCUUCACAUGCAACAUUAGUUUUUCAGAUACCACAUACCACUUUUUCAAAGUGCUCUGACAAAGUUAAAACACGUGAAUCUUGCAGCUCCCACUACAUUGCUAUAACUGAUAAGGGUAAAGGAACAACGUUACCACUUGUUGUUGGGAUAAUUCCUAUAUAUGUCGACUUUCAUCCUUCACAACCAGGCAAACCUGCAAAUAAAAAAAAUGCUCAACUUUUCUUCACAUCUGAAAGGGCACUCUCAGUAGACUCUCUCGAAAUACUCAGCUUAUUUUCCCCCUGAUAAUACCUCUGCAAACAAGUCACACCAGAGCCAGAGUAUCUCAUAUCAUCAGGGUUAAAAGCAAGAGUAUCUCAUAUCAUGCUUUUUCCUUGUCUUUUCCUUUGGCCUUGUUCUUACUUGCAAGACAAAGAGAAAGAGAGCAAUCAGUCAGCACUUGGAAUCAAGCUUCCAGUCAGGAACUGACUGCCUGGAACCCUUUGCCUGAUUACUUACCUGACAUUGCUCUCGAGUACUCAUCUACAACAUCUUAUGCUUCCAGAAAAGAUACUACAUCUGCCUGAGGAACAGAUAGGGCAAGUGAGAAGGAUACAAGGAAGCAUGUGGAGACAAGCGCAACAGAACACGUGCCGAUUCGUCUAUUACUUUGUCAACAGGAAAAGUAUCCCAUAUCAUCAAGGUCGAACGCACUCUUGAUUUGAUGGACUUGUUAUGACCCUCAAAUUCUUGAGUCGGCCUUAUACUUUGGAGGAAACCAGAAAACCCUCCAGCCUAGUUCAAGAAUAAGCAUGUGGAAAGUUACUUCUUCAAAAGCAAAAGUAUCUCAUAUCAUCUCUUCUGCAUUUGCUUCUCCUUAUCCUUGUUGCUGUUUACGACAUAAGGAGAAUGAGAACAAUUAACCGGAAGCCGAAGUCGAACCUCUAAUCCAGGUUGCUUGCUUGGAAGUCUGAUUGCUUACCUUGUCUAUUACCUCUUUCAGCAAAUCUCCUAGCUCGGCAACUUGGGGGACUCCUACUAUAAGGUUUGUAUCACACUUGACCAAGCCCGAAACUACAAGUAAGCUUUAAGUGAAAUUGAUACAUUACCUUGUGCAUCUUCAUCAGUUAAAGAUACCACCCCUAGAUGGAGGAAAAGUACUUCCAGAGAAGAUGCCACAUCUACGUAUGAGACAUAUAAGGCAAGUGAAAAUGAUACCACACUUCGGUACUUAGAAGUUUCGUGAUUACGCAAUGGCUUGGAUCUUGCAAGUUCCCAACCGAGGAUCUUCCCUCACUCGGGAACUUAGGGGAGCACUGUUUGUACCAUACUUGACGAAUCUUGAAACUACUGAGCACCGGUCAACGUUAUACCGUCAAGGACCUAGAAGAGUUUCCCUCCAACCAGAAAGCCAAUCACAGCGCGACACGUGUCGACAUUAGAAGCCAAUCAUAGCACGACACGUGUCAAUAUCAAAAGCCAAUCAUAACACGACACGUGUCAAUGUCAGAAUGAAACUAGAAACUAUCUUCUAUAAAUAGAGAUCAUUCUCUCACAAUAUUUCCUAAUGUCAUUUGUACUAAAUCAUUCACUAGUACUCACUAAAGGAGAGCUUGAACCUAUGUACUUGUGUAAACCCUUCACAAUUAAUGAGAACUCAUUUACUCCGUGGACGUAGCCAAUCUGGGUGAACCACGUACAUUUUGUGUUUGCUUCCCUGUCUCUAUCCAUUUACAUACUUAUCCACACUAGUGAUCGGAGCAAUCUAGCGAAGGUCACAAACUUGACACUUUCUGUUGUACCAAAGUUCUCGCUGAUUUUGUGCAUCAACAAACUAACAAGGCGAGAAUCGACUCGAGAUAAGGGGAUGUGGCAUCACUCGAGGAUUCGUAGGGAUAGAAUAAGCCCAAAUCCGUGGUACCCUUAAGGUAGCGUAAGAUGUCUUUAACACCAGUCCAAUGUCUACGUGUUGGUGCAUUAUUGUAUCUAGCUAAAAGAUUAACAGCGAAGGGGAUGUCCGGUGUAGUGCAUUGAGCUAAGUACAAUAAAGCGCCUAUCACACUUAGAGAAGGAAGUUCAUGCUCCAAAAUCUUUUCAUCAUCCUCAUUCGGAUGGAAUGGAUCUCGUUUUGCAUCUAGCUAUCGAACGACCAUAUGAGUACUUGAAGGCUUCGUUUUAUCCUCGUUAAAAUGGCACAACACAGGUGUAGUUCGAUUGAUGUAUUAAGAUUUCAUCCGAACGGUGCUCUAUCUCGAGACCGAGACAAUAUCGAGUCUUUCUUAGAUCUUUCAUCUCAAAUUCCAACUUCAGGUGUGCAACAGUUCUGUAGAGCUUUUUAGGAGUUCCGAUGAGAUUCAUGUCAUUAACAUAUACUGCAACAAUCGUAAAAUUGGAAUGUGACUUCUUAAUGAACACACAAGGGCAUAGUUCCUUGUUCACAUAUCGCUGACUAGUCAAAUACUCACUCAGAUGGUUAUACCACAUUCUUCCAGAUUGCUUCAAACCGUAGAGUGAACGUCUCAGCCAAAUUGAGAGUUUGUUCCAGGGUUUGGAAAUAUUUAAUCCAGUUCAGGAACUUUCAUAUAAAUUUUCAUAUCAAGAUCGACAUAGAGAUACGUAGUCAUUAUGUCUAUCAGCUGCAUACUCAGUUUUUCAGAAACUACCAAACUGAUAAGGUAGUGAAAAGUAAUAACAUCCAUAACGGGUGAAUAAGUUUCGUCAUAGUCAAUCUCGGGGCGUUGUGAGAAGCUUUGCUUAACAAGACGAGCUUUGUAAUGCAUAAUUUCAUUUUUCUCAUUACGCUUCCAAACAAAAACCCACUUGUAGCCAACGAGCUUCACAUGUGGAAGAGUAUGAGGUACAGGUCCAAACACCUUACGUUUCGCAGGCGAAUCGAGUUCGACUUGGAUUGCUUGUUUCUAGUUUGACCAAUCGGUUCUACGUCGACAUUCAUCAACAGAACAAGGUUUAAUGUCAUCGUUCAACAUGAUCUUAGUAACUACUACAUAUGCUAAUGCAUCAUCGACGAUCAUCUCAUUUGUACACCAAACAUCAUCCAAGUUAGCAUAAUAGACCAAAAUCUCAUGGUUCUCAGGAGACGGAUUCAUCUCUUCAGGGUAAUUUUCUAAAAAAAGGCCUAGGCAGCCACCUAGGCGCUGGGUGGAGGGUGGCCGAUGCGUUAGCUUGCAAAACGGUGGGAAAAAACGGAUGGGCUCUAAGUGGGCUAGGCGGCCUAGGCGUUUUUUUUUAAAUUGAAAAAAAAAAUCCUAUCUUUAUUCUAAUUUUCUAAGUUCCCGUUCCCUACAUGCGCCUAUGUUUAUACCUUGAAAUUUUGUUAAUUUUAUAGAAUAUGUGUGUAUCAACUUAAAUUCUAGGAUGUUAAAGACAAUUACUAUAUUUCCUCCUAUUUUUCAUUUUAUGUGGUUUUAAAUUGUGAACUUGUUGUACAUGGGUCAUCCUACAAUACUCUUCACUAUGGUUAUAUGGCAUAUAUGCUUGAUAUGUUUUUAAAUUUUGGACUUGUUGGAUACUCUUUUUGCAUUUUAUCGUUCUUUUAUUAUCUUAUCCUUAGAUUUCAUAUAAGUAUAAUUUUUUGUAAGUGUCAAUAUACAUUUAUUUACAAGAAAUUUACCUAAAUCCGCCUAGGCGCUAGGCGCUAGCCCACCGCCCGAUUAGCGCCUAGCGUUUUUUAGAACCUUACUUCAAGGAUGCUUCCGUAAUCUAGAAUUUUCUCAUGAGUUGGAUAGAAUAAGUAGGCGACAUUUAGAUUCACGGUAGGCUCUUCAGGGGCCUAUGUCUUGGGUUUCCUUUUUCGGGGAUGUGAAUCCUUAAACCAAGUGGUUUGCCAUGCUUGUGUGCAGGGCUAGAUGAUUGGCUAGCCGCUAAUGUACGUGGAUCGGCCAAAGUGAAGUCCUGGGCCUCUAGGAGGGAAGUCCAUCGUACAAUUGGUACAUUUAUCUUUGCAUGCAUAUUUGCAGUUGGAAUAUGUGAUCUUGUCACUUGCUCUAAAUUGGUGAAAGCAUCUAGCAUGCUCUGAGCUACGCUCUAAAGAUCUAAUAUGCACUGCACUUCAGUCUCAGACUGAGUGGUGCGAGGAUCUAAAUGAGACAAAGUGGGAGUCGUCCACAAUAAUUCGCAUCGUUCUUCAGGAACAUUGACGUUAUUAUCUCCUCCUAACGAUGGGAAUAUUGUCUCAUAGAAGUGACAGUCCGUGAAAUGAGUGGUAAAUAGAUCGCCUAUCAAAGGUUCUAAGUAACGAAUGAUUUAAAGAGAAUCAUAUUCGACUUAGAUUUACAUUCUUCGCUGAGGCCCCAUUUUUGUAUGUAAGGGCGGCGAAAUCGGCACAUAGACUGCAUAAUAAAAAAUGCGCAGAUGCGAUAUGUCAUGUUCGUAUCUAGUAACCAACUGAAAUGUGCUAUAUGGUUGGGUCGCAACAGGCAUCAGGCAGACUAACAUGGUUGCGUGCAAUAUUGCAUGGCCUCCAGCAGCAAUCGGGAGCUUAGUAUGUAUGACCAACGAUCGAGCAAUCAUUUGUAAGUGCUUAAUGAAUGCCUCUGCUAGGCCUUUCUGGGUAUGAACAUGGGGUACUGGAUGUUCAACUUUAACCCUAACCGACAUGCAAUAGCCAUCAAAAGUUUUAGAUGUGAAUUCUUCAGUAUUAUCCAAUCAAAUACAUUUGAUUGGAUAAUCAGGGUGGUCCCUGAGCUUGAUAACCUGAGCCAACAGUUUAGAGAAUGCAGCGUUCCUUGUGCACAACAAGUAAACGUAUGACCAACGUGUGGAAGCAUCAACCAAAACUAUAAAAUAUCUAAAUGGUCAGGAAGGGUGAAUUGGUCCACAAAUGUCCCCCUGAGUCUUUUGUAGAAACAUACGAGGAUUCGAGCGAAUCUUGUCAUAAGAAGGCUAAUAAUAAGCUUUCCCAUGGAGCAUGUUUGCCAUGCGAUUCCUUGAAUCGAACCUAAACUUCAGGUUAGUGGAUGCCUAUGUGAUGAUUUGAAGAUACGACGAAUUGCUGUUCGUCCAGGGUGUCCCAAACAAUCAUGCCAAAGUGUAAUUUCGUGCGCAGUCCUAAAGGUAGGGCUGGACACAUAAUGGCUUUCUAUAGGGCGUAUGGUCGUAGUUUACAAACCACUAAGGAUAUGCUCCAUAUUCUCUAGAAUAUGCUUCUAGCCAUAUUCGUAGAAAGUUAUGCACAUAAAUUAAACUCCAUUUUCUACAUAGGUUUCAGCAUGGUAACUAUUAUCUCUAAUGUCCUUGAAACUCAACAAUGUUCUUCCGGAAUGCGGAGAAUAAAGUGCCUCGUAAAUGGUCAAGAUUGUACCAUUGGACAACGUUAUACGUGCUUUACCGUAUGCUUUGAUCAUGUUGGAUGGUCCUGAAAGGGUUGUCAGAGGUGCAUUCUUAGGUAUGAAGUUAGUGAAAUAGAUGCGUUCAUGCAAAACGGUGUGCAUGGUUGCACUAUCUACCAAACAACUAACUUUCCCACUAGUUACCUAGAAAUAAAAAUUAAUUUGAAUUGGUCACAUGCAUAAAAGUUCUAAAAACAGAUAUGCAUUCAAAAUAAUUUAAGUAUUCAAGGAUGGUAAUUAAUAAAAACUUAAUAUCCAAAAACAAAUCACCAACAAAUAAUCCAAAUAUAAAGGAAAUUGUUCAAAAUUAAACCAGAAAACAAGGGGGGUUCGGACACUAGGUGGAUUUCAGCCCCCAGGGUUCUAAAUUCAACUAAAAAUAGUUCAUGUCUAAGAUUCUAAUCUUUCAUAGGGGUGGUAUCCUCCUGAAUGUCAGAAAGCUCCAUCUUGGUACUCUCUGGUUCUUCCACUUGCACAAAAUUUGAUUCAAACUUCUUACGAUGAGAAUGAUAUUCAGCUACAACCUUCUGGGGAGCACGGCAAACAUGGGACCAAUGGUCCUUUGAACCACAAUGAUAACACAUGUCCUCAUCCAUGGUUUUAGGUGCUUUGCUCUUAUUCUUGAAGUUUGGGGCCUUGGGAGCGAGGUUAGGGCGCUUCUAGGCUCGAUUUCCUCCCUUAGAUGGGCCUUGGCUUUGUUGUCCUUGACGGGGGCUUCUAACCGCCCCUACCACGCCUAUGUUGGCGUUUUGGGCGUUGGUUCAUGCUAUAGUGUGCUCAGGCACAAUAGUUACCCCAGUAGGUCGUGCUUGAUGAUUCUUCAUCAACAGCUGAUUCUGUUUCAUCUUCAAUGACGGGACGAAAAAUUAUUUGCAAUGAGUUGGAGCUUCACAUCUUGGACCCACUUGAGGUAGUUUUUUCUAGAGACCUCUAAAGCAGUGAAGUUGAGUUUGUUCAAAUUCGACAUGUUUCCUAUCACAAAAUAAAUGGAUAAGAUGUGGUUAGUGUAGUGGAGAAAAAAUCAAUCCAUUCACAUAGGAGUAAAACAUUCAGGUUCUAAUAGAUAUGAAUUGGUUUAAAUUUAUAUGAAAAAGCUUCGGGUUUUCAUCGGUGAUGUUUUUAAGGAAAACUUCAGGUUUUCAAACAAGGCAUGUUUCUAGAAACUUCAGGUUUCAAAAAAAAAAAAUUAUGAACUUCAGGUUCAUAUGUUCCAACAGCAAAACACAAAUAUAUAUAUAUACAUAUAUAUGCAACAAGAAAAUAUGCAAAUAGAUAUUCAAGUCUAAAAUUAUAAUUGAAUUAAUUAUUUGGACUUCGGGCCAAAAUUGAAGUGCGGGUGAAAAAAUUAUAAAACCAAAAUUGUCUAUAUAAAAAACAAUUAAGCUCGGGGGCCAAAAAAUAUGGGCCAAAAUCCACAGGUAGGGAUGAUAAUUCUAACCAUUAAACCUGAUAACCGUGGAUAAUCGCCCGAAUGGAUUGGAUUUAGGUAUGAAAAUUUGGGUAUAUUUUGGGUAUGGGGAAAAACAGUGAAUAUUAUUCGGUUAUGGUUUUGGAUAUGGUUAUAGGAGUCCCCAAUCCAUAUCCGUACCCGAAUCCAAACCGAAUAAUAUAAAUAUAAUAUAUGUAUAUAUAUGUUUUUCAUUAUUCACCGAAUCCAUUACCUUGAAAAAUUCACGAACCCUAGAAAAAUUCACUUGCAUCUUCCCCGUUACUACAAGAAAAAGAAGAAACAAAAAAAAAUGGAAAAGUCUGAAAUCCCAUCGCAUUCAGGUGAGAUCGAAUUGACAUUCCCUUUGCUUGUCAUCAUAACUCUGAUUUUGGGAUUGUAAUCGCUAAUGUAUAUCUGAACAAAACCCUAACAACCCUAACCCUAAUGCCCUGGUUAGUGGUACUCGAUUGUCCGGAGGAUACCAGCAUUGCCGACCAUGACACUGUAUAAGUCUCUCUCUCUCUCUCUCAAUGCUAUGGGACCGAGUAGCCCAAUCAGAAGGUGCAGUUUGUAGGGUUUGUAGGGUUUUUAAGGUUUUUUAUUUUUUAUUUUUUUGAACAAAGGUUUUUGAAGAUAAUAUCCAAAGCAAUAAGACAGACUCCAACCUUUGAGUAAAACUCCUUGGACAAAAAAAAAAAAAACUUUUGAGGAAAACUCCAAUUUUGGGUUCUAAAUUUAUCCCAACUUACUCCAACGCUUGGGGCAAAUAUGAGUUAAAACCCAAAACUCAUUUCUGAGACAAAUUUAGCCCAGGAUUCCCUUAUGGGUUAGUGGGGCUGGCCCACCAUAUACGUGUAUUUUUUUAGUUUUAUAUUUAUAAAUUCAUUGAAUCCAACAGCUAAAAUCUAAUUUAAUCAAAUCUAAUGGUCCAAAUUUAAAUCCAACUGCUAAAGUAAUUUAAAAAAUGAUUUUAUGUGUUUCAUAUUCUUUCGUAGUGUUCCACGAGUUUCAUGGUGCUGGUUUAGUGAGUUUUCAAUAUUUAUCGGAAUCUAAAUAUUUUUAGGUUAAAAUAUUCAUAAAAUUAAAUUAGGAUAGUCCACAUAUUUUUUUUAAAAGAAAAUUACUUUUAAAAAAAUUAUCCUAAAUUCAUUCUUUAAUAAUCUCGGAUUAAAAAUUUAACCCAUAAGGGUUGGAGGAGAAAAAACUAUUUCUGGGUUAAAACCUAAAUUUUCUAGGUUAAAUUUUUUUGGUUUUAACCCAAGGAUUUGGAUGGUCUAAAGACCGAGUGCCAAAAACAAAAUGCCCUGAUUGGAAGGUUAAUUUAGAGAUGUUAAACUGGUACCUUGCCACAGUCUCUAGUUUUGUAUAUUCUGAAUGUGUUUUAAAUUAAAGGUAGGAAUUUUACAUAAAAGUUUGAUUAUAUUACAUUAAUUACUGAAAAAACAAUUUGACAUGAGGGAUUUAGGCUUCAUUGAUGAUAAUUUUUCCAUAUUUUGGGCAUUAGGUUGAGAUGGAAAUCUUAUGAUGAAAUUUUUGUUUCACUCAUCGACAUUGCACUCAUCUCCUGUUCUUGCGUGUAGUUCAGUUUGCGCUUCUCGUCCUUAUUCUGGCUCUUAGAAGCGUGCAUGCAUCACGCUGAGCACUGAGCAAUAGUAAUUCAAUCUAGUAUUUGAGGCAGGUUAGUCCAGUUUGAAACCCUAUAAACCUAGUAAUAGUAAUUCAUUCUAGUACCAGAGGCUCGACAUGCCCGUACAUCACACUGAUGAGGGUAAAACUAACCUCUUUUGUCAACCUCGUUUCCCCUAUGCUCAUUUGAAACCGAAUAUGGCUCCAACUUCUUUGCUAUGCAAUGUUUUCUCAUUUUUCUUUCUUGGAAACUUAGGGGCAGUGAAUAUGUACGAAUGCCACGCCUAGAAAACUGUUGCAUUCACUUCAAAUUGUACCCGUUCCUAGUCAGGAAACUUUCAUGGAGUACAAAGUGAUUUCACCAAACUAAUUAGUCAUUACCAUCUUCACGACACCAAAAACCCAUCAAUCACCACAUGGGCACCUUCCUUACCCGUGGCUGGAAAAAAAAAAUAAAAAAUUCUUCAUUAGUUUUUACCCUAGAGAAAAUUUGACCAAACAAAUUCAGAACUGAUAGAGGCAAUUUUGGCUGCAAGUAAUUGUGUAGACCUUACAAGUUAAUUGAAGGACAGGAUAAGCAAAAUCCGGCAGUUCUACAGGAGACUAGGACUAAAAGGACCACAUCAUACACGUACAAUUCUGAGCCCUCUAUGUGUCCAAGUGAUCCAAUUCAUAACCCUUGGUCAGUUCCUUUGGCAUUUAAGUACCAAUUAAAUAUGCAAACCAAUCCUUUUGUCUUUCGACACGAUUGUCUUGUGUGAAUUCUCAAGCCUCAAAAACAAAACAAACUGAAUUUCAAUUUCUACUUCUGUUUAUUCUAGAAGAAGCAAUAGUACUAUUAAAGAAAAGAUUAUAAAAUUUAGGAACAAACCAUUCUCAACACAAAAGUUGAUAAGAUAUGGAGAGAAUAACGCACAACCUAUCAUAAAUAAAGGGGUGUGCUAUCCACACAUCCCUUAUUAAUUUAUGUCCGUUGAUAUUCUUCAAUUCAUCCGAUCCGACGGCCAAAAACAAAAAAUAUGUGGGAGAAGUAAAAAAAAGUGUGUGAAUAUUACACCCCUAAAUAAAAUCCUAAUUCAACCAACGGGUCCGCAAUUGGAUGGAUGCAGAGCUCUAAUUCUAAUGUUGGUUUUUUUUUCUUAAUUAGUUUCUUAGUUUUACUGUUCGUUUCUUCCUGAUCAGCUUCACUAGAUUUAUAAACUAGUGACGACUAGACAACGGUAAUACUUUCUGAAGUUAGGUUAAUUUGAAAAGCUAGAUAUAGCUUGCCCUGAAUAAUCAAUAUCUUAAUUGUAAACUGAAGACCUAAGUAAUUUAUUGACACAAAAGCAUACAGUCACUACUGCACCACUACUAUAUGCAGAUAUUAUAAUUUUAUAUUGGCUUCAGAAAGCAUAUAGAAGAAUAUAUAGAAUAUUAAAAAAAAAAAGGUAAUCCCAUGAUUAAAGAAAAUGUUCUAUUUCUCUAGUGAAAGCUUUAGAUUGUUUGAUAGAUCGCCUUAUAAAAUGAGAUCCAAGAGCUGGUUUGUCAAGCUGUCAUUCGAACUGCCAUCAGUUCGAUCAUUAUAUAACUAUUAAGUUAAUUAGGUUUAAACUUCAAAUAUAAAACCAUAAUCUCAGUUUACGGCUGGAAAUGCAUGAAGCACAAUCACAAAACCGCGCCUACAUCUAUUUUAUCUUUAUCGAUAAUUAGGUUUAAUUAAUUAAUUGUGAUUUGAACUAUUGCACUCGCUGCAAUGGAUAUGAAGCAUGGUGAUUAGCCAAUAGUGAUGAAGAAUUUUUGGAAGUCCCAAUUAACAAGAGAAGACGCAUGCAGUCCAAUCGAAAUUUUUACAAAUGCAAUCAAGAUUUAAUAGUAACUAGUAGCCUUAUUUGUCUGAUAAAUAUUUGUGACGUGUUUAAAAUGUAAUUUAUAUGUUAAAUAAAAACUUGUCACAAUGUGAAUUAAGAACAAGAAAGUAUAUCUCCACUCUCUCAUUUGAAAGUUAUAAGAAAUUUUUCAGUGCAUUCAAAACAAUACUAAAUACUAAAUAUUAUUAUACAAUUAAAGAAAAGGUUUUUUUUUUUCAUGUGUCUCUUCAAAUAUUUAAUGAAUGUUAUUUCAUCUCAUAUUUUGAACACACUAAAAACUCUCUCGAAAGUUAGGUCAACGUAUGGAAGAGCACCUAAUAAUCCAGCCAAGGACAACGUGUAAUCCACGGUGGGUGCAUGCAUUCGAAAACAACUUUAAAUUUUAAUUAAAUUUUUAAUUGUGUUUGCGUCAUCAUCAUCAUCAUUCACACAUUCAUCGAUCAGAGGUUGAGUUGGAAAGUGAUAAUAUGCUCUCAGAAGUUUUUUUUCCCACUGGUGAUGUACCUCAAUACUUAAUUAAUGAAUUAUUAUUUUUUUGUCGAAAUUAAUGAAUUAAUUAGGUCUGUAGUUUUCUACUAACUAUUGUUUAUAAUAUGCAGAAACUUCAACUUUAUUGGGUUGUCCUCAUUUCCUUAGUGCAGGUUUUACAGAUUCCCCUUCAAAGUAUUAUAGUUUAGUUGGCUUGUUUAAACAUUAAAAAAUAAUUGGGGCUUCAAAUGUUGGUAAAACUACACCAGCAAAGACAACUACUGGUGCACUAAAAGGAGGUUUCAUUUGUGCGUGAGUCUUAGUCCGGAUAUUAUUUUAAUUAAUCAGGCUGCUUUAAAUAUUAAACUCUUUGAGGGUGGGCUCCGUGAUCCUCAACGCAAAGCUGCUUUACCAUUAUAAAUUUAGGACGAAUGUUGUAUGCAAAUUAUUACUAGGUAAUAGACAAAUUAGGGUUCAUUAAACAAUGACACGUGAAUCCAUGUGAAGAGGGUCCUUCAUGUUUCUAUACUAUGCUAGGUAAACUUAUUUUUUAAGCCAAAAUUUUAAUUUAUGUAAUGUGUCAUUAAUAAAAAAUGAGCAUAUGUUAAUCAAUUUUUGAGUAAUAAUUCAAUAAUUAUCAUCAACCACAUCAUAUAGUUUACAAAAUAUGAUUUAAAUAAAUGAUCUCAUUAACAUUACCCAAAUAAGAUGUAUCCUUUGAGUGUCAAGGAAACAUCCUUUUGGUGACAAUUUUACAUAAUUAGUAUUGUAUGUAACAUAGAAGUUAUAAUAUUAAUGUCACAUCCCGGGAUGGGCCCCAUCACAUCCCGGGCUUGACUCCGCUGUAGCACAAUAUUGUCUGCUUUAGGCCCUGACCACGCCCUUACGGUUUUGUUUCUGGGAACUCACAUGAGAACUUCCCAGUGGGUCACCCAUUAUGGGAUUGCUCUCACUCGAUCUCGCUUAACUUUGGAGUUCCGAUGGAACUCAAAGCCAAUGAGCUCCCAAAAGGCCUCGUGUUAGGUAGAGAUGAAAAUAUACAUAUAAGGCUUACAGGAUCCACUCCCCUAGGUGAUGUGGGAUGUUACAAUCCAAAUGUCACAUCCCGGGCUCGACUCUGCCAUAGCACGAUAUUGUCCGCUUUGGGCCCCGACCACGCCCCCAGGGUUUUGUUUCUGGGAACUCACACGAGAACUUCCCAAUAGGUCACCCAUCAUGGAAUUGCUCUCGCGCGAACUUGCUUAACUUCGGAGUUCCGUUGGAACCCAAAGCCAGUGAGCUCCCAAAAGGCCUCGUGCUAGGUAGAGAUGGGAAUAUACAUAUAAGGCUUACAGGAUCCACUUCCCUUAUAUGUAUAUUCUUAUCUCUACCUAGCACGAGGAUUUUUGGGAGCUCACUGGCUUUGGGUUCCAACGGAACUCCGAAGUUAAGCGAGUUCGCGCGAGAGCAAUCCCAUGAUGGGUGACCCACUGGGAAGUUCUCGUGUGGGCGUGGUAGGGGCCCAAAGCAGACAAUAUCGUGCUACGGCAGAAUUGAGCCCGGGAUUUGGUGGGGGCUCGGGCCGGGAUGUGACAAUUAAUGUUUAACUCUUUAUAUCCCUAGUACCAUAUAUAGUCAUAGCAUGGAUGGGAGAUGAACGUUGUGCGUGUGAAAGACUAUUGAUCAUAUAUCUUUAAGAUCCUUAAUUUUUAGAUUUUCCAUAUUAGUUAUUCUUGCAGGAAAGAAAUUUUCAGUAAUGGUAGCAUUAUUCUUAGUUAUGUAUCUAACCAAGUCCCAUCAUGAAUCAAAAUAAAACUAUUCUCUAAAUAAUUAGGGUUUCUUAUGAUGAUGUGAAGCACAUAUAUGACCUUUGAGCUUCACAUAUGCGCUAAUAUGCUUUGAUACCAUUAAAAAAGUUACAGUGUCAUGAGAAAUCAAUUGACAAAUGAGAUAUAAACAAACGCAAUGUUUGAUAAACUUUCGAUUUAAAAUAUUUCUGCAUACUCCUCCUCACUUACUUUAUAUAUCUCGACGGAGAUGGCAUUGUUUUGUACAAUUUUAUGGUCAAUUUUUUCAACAGUAAUGGUCUUUCGCUUAACAUAAAUAAAUUUUAGACAAGCACAGUAGCCAAAGUCGACCAGCAAUAUUGGUCCCAUAAAUUAAACUAGCUAAUAAAAAUAGUUAAGGAAACAACAUGUGUAUUGGUUUCAUAGAAAAGUAGACUUAAAAUUUCACCUAAUAAUAUAUAAGAUAUACAGAUGAACAUCUAAGACGAAAGAAAAGCGUGGAUGUCGCUUCCAAUUUUUCGUAUUUCUUAUGCUCAUUAUAUGUUAAACUAAUUUCCAAUUUAAUAAUUCUUCAUAACAUUUCCGGUUAACACAUUAUUAAAAAGAAAGAUCACUGCACAAUACACAUAAUUAAUUAAAUCUACCGAUCACACCACUUAGACAAUAUAAUAUAAUAAAACAUAAAAUGAAUGACCAAAUCCAAGUAGCAGCUUAAUUAGACUUGGUUCAAAAGAUUAAUUGGUAGUUUAAUUAGAAGAAAUAAAUUGAAAUAUCUCAGAAAGAUGCAAGGGGAUUAUAUCCUAUAUAUAUUUAUGUAUAUACAUUUAAUUUUAAUUUAACUCUUCCAUCAAUAUUAUUUAUGAUUGGUUUCUUUCAUGUUUUAGUCAUUAACUAAUAUAUAAAAAUACUCAUUGUAAAGCAUUCACCUAAUUUAAAAGGGAAAUUCUACAGCUGCACCAGAUGAAGAAAACGGAGCACCAGCUCAAGCAGUACAAAGCACAACACAGAUUAAUGAAGUUAAAGUACCUCAAUAAUUUCCAGUUUCAUUCUUCCUCUCAAAGUGAGUUAAUUUCAAAGAGACUACCACUACAACAAAAGAAGCUAUCACUGGCGAAGCAAAAACCGACAUCACCCAUUGACACAAUAAGGCCCUUUUUAAUAGUAUACUACUAUUAAGCACUCACUUCUCAAUUUUAUUCCUAAUUAAUUCACAAUAAUCCAUAAACCCUAAAAUUAUUAACUUGAUUUAAAAUGGAGGCCUACCACCACCUUGACCAUGAGCCCAAGAUGAAUAAGCUGCCUGCUGAUCAAGGCUCAACUGUGCCUGCCCUCCAUUUGGAAGCAUAUUCGAUGGCAAAUUAUAAAUCCCUGCCAAUGCCGCCGGGUCUCCCAUCCCACCACCUCCAAUCCCCGGCGGCGACCCCGCACCUCCCGCUGCAGUCCCCGAACUAGUACCCCCUCCUGUUUGCUCUUCUUCCUCCUCCAAUGGCAACCUCUCAUACGUCGCAUUAGAAAACGUUGCCGCGAUCACCAUCACGGGCCCUGAAGCCACAAGGGGGCCAACCACACUUCCUCCAACAACCUGGCCCUGCCCGCCUGCCAAAUAUAUGGUCAACCCGGUUGAACCAGGCAGUGCAGGGCCAGGCAAAAACGCUCCAGUCAAGAACAAAAUCUCGAACCUCCCGUGAAGCGCCAUGACCGCGCCGGGCGCGGACGGCUGCCUGAGCGUGACGUUGAUGACGGUGCCGCUCCCACUCAUGACACAGACGCCGCGCUGCCUUCUCCUGGCGAACUGGGCGACGCUGUCGGCGAUGUCGGCCCCGCUGGAUAUCUCCAUGACGUGGCUGCGGAGGGCGUUAGGGCUAUCUCUAGUCACAAAGAUUGGGGGUUUGGGCUUGUUUUUGGAGCCGGGCGGACGGCCUCUAGGUCGUCUCGUGGCGACUUCGAUGGCUCCUUCCUUGGGAUCGUCGCUGUUGUUGUCGUCUUCGUCACCGCCGGAUCCUCCGAGGCUGCUGGUUCCGGUGGUGUUCAUGGAGAUCCCCAGAUCUGGUUUCAUGAGGUUUUUCAUGGGGGAGCUGCCGGCGGCUGCUACGGCUGAGGUUUCGUUCACUACUCCUCCUCCCGGUAGACCUACCUGUCCAGCCCACCACCGGUUCGCCAUGAUCGAUUGAAAAAAUGAAAAUGAAAAGUAAAAAAAGGAGGAGGGAAGAACGAAGAUAGUAUAGUAAUUUAUAUAAAUUUAUAAAAUAAAGGAAAAGAGACAAGUAGAAGACUAGAAGUGAUAUAAUUAAGCUGGUUGAUUAUAUAAAGAAAGUUUGAUCUGUAUAAACAGGAAAUCUAGAUAUAUAAGAAGAGCUUGAAGAGGUAGGGUAAAGAAAUGGGGAAGAAAAUUCAGAGAGCCCUAGCUGGACAAGUAACAAGAGUGAAGUGUAAGAGAGAUCUGAUCAGGUACGACCAAGAUAUAAACAUCAAAUGGGGAAGAAUUUACCUAAAAGUUGGGGUUUUUUGGGGUUAAAUUAACUUGGGUAGGGUUUGGGUGGGUGUCAAGGUCAAAUACUGUCUAGGGGAAGCUAGCUACCUUUGGGUUCCUUCUCUCCUUCUUUCUUUUAGUUUCUCUCACUACAAAGUUCUCUCUGUCUUUCUCUCUCUGAAAAAUUAGAUGUGAUGAGAAUUGGAGAUAGAGAUGAAACGAAAUGAAAUGAUGAAUGGGGGAGGUGGUGGUGCGUGGUGUCGGUCUUGGGAAUUAGGGUUUUGUUUGGGUGGGGUCGAGUGCGCGUGAUGAGAAUGUGGGAUGCACGUCCUCCUCAACUCUGAUCUCCUCUUGUAGCAAAGCGUCAUAUGGUGCCCUACGCAAGAAACUUGACAAGAAGAUCGAUUUUCAUGUGAAAGUAGUAUCAUCAAUAAUGCAUAAUUACAUAUAACCCAACCACCCUAAGUUUUUCAAUUGUUAUUUUAGCAAGAACUUCCGAUUUUUACAUGCUGUUUUUCUUUUCAUGUAUAUUUCUGUUUAAUUUCAGUAUUUAGAUUGAAUAAAGUAAACGCGAAUCAAGAGCAUCAAUAAACAAAGUGUGCAGAUGGACAAAAAAUAGUGUGUAUAAAUUAUAUGUCAAAAUUAAGUAACUCAUUUAGAAUUGCUUUUUUAAAGCACUUCGGCUUAAAAGCACAUCUAUUAGAAGCACAAUGAAGAUUUUUAUGUAAAUGUGAGUGCUUCCUGAAAAGCACUUCUAACUUUUUAUACCUAGUUAACAUAAUCUGAAACGUUUUUUAUAAUCUAAAAAUAUUUCUAAUUAUUUUAAAAAUACUUUCAAACAUGUUCUUAAUUGUUUGAACAUAUUUUUUCAUGUAUACAUUCCCUCUUUUGGAUCUCAUAUAUUAUCACAUGUAUACACUCAUUCAUAACUCCAAGAUGUAAUUUGGGAUUUUGUUUUUGUUAAUAUUUUACUCCAAACAGAUGAGUGAGCACUGAGUAUGGAUUUCUCAUGCAUGAUCAUAUCAUAUAAAGAAAAGGAACUACGCACAUACGUACGCAAUUUUGGAAUGCAGUACCAGUGCUUUUAGCUCAACUUGUUCCUUUCCUAUGCUUUCUAAUUAGCAUUUCCUAGUUUUUAGCAUUUUCUUCUAUUCUAUAAGAAAAACAUAUAAUAAUUUGAACAAAAAAUUAAGCUUAUAAGCUGGUAAAUUAACAUAAAAGCGACCAUUUGAUGAAAUACUAUAUAAUAUUUAACUCUUCAAUACUACUUUAUUAAGUCGUUUGGAAGUGUUUUUAAAAUAACUAAAAGCACUUUUAGAUAAAAUGUUUGUGGAUUCCAAAAAGCACUUGAAGGUACCACUAGUUAUGUGAUUCUUAUUAGUAGCACUAGUUAUGUACUUUUCAAAAUUCACUUACACUCUAUUUGGAUGAGGAAAUUUAAGAUUACUAAGGAAUGUUAAAUUGACGGAAAUUGAAACGAUGGAAAUCUAUUUUCUAGAAUUUGUGAAUUUUCUAGCAUUUGUGAAUUUUUUUUAUUUGGUUAACCUAAAAGAACAAUGGAAUUUGUUAUUUUUAAACUCUCACUCAUAGUUGUGAAAUGACACCUAUUUAAAUUGAAUUUAAACUUGGGAAGUAGGGGUCCCAAAUUUCAAGUUUUUUUUUUCCACGCAGAAAUUCUAAAUUUCUAUGUUUAUGAAUCCAAACAAGGGAAUUGGUGCAUGUCAAUUUAUAAAUUUGAUUUUUAUCCAAAUUCCAAGUUUAUUCCCUCAUCUAAACAUAGUUUUACACUUUUACUAAGAAUUGGUUCUAAAAGUAUUUUAACGAAAAAUGAAUUUGUCAUUUUAAAAGCACUUCCACGAGUCUUGUAUCUCUACUUGGGGCUGAGCUGGCUAGUCCACUAGAAAAGGAGGGGGGGGGGUGUUCAAGAAAACCAAACCAUUCAACUUUUACUCCCACAAUCUUUUCAUUAUUGUCUCUAUAUAACUCUAAGUUUGUUAAUGUAAAUCUUCGAUAUUGUCUCUUGUAAAGAAGCAUGGCCAUGUACAUGUCUUAAUUUAUGACCACUCCACCAUCUUUGCAUGCUUCCAUUUAUUUUCUUAAAUUUUGAAACACACAAUUUGCUCUAACGAGGGUACGUAGUAUUCUCAUGUUUUUUUCCAUACUCUCAAACGAUUAGUAGCCCUUAUAUCUUAUUUAGAGUAAUUUUUUGAUGGAUCGGAUAGCAAACCAGAUUUUCAUUUCCAAUCUAAAAAGAUUAAAUUGGAACAAAUUGUGGGAAUCGGAUCUUGUCUCUCAAUUUUCUAAACAUAAUUCGGAUAUUUCACAAAUUUUUAUAUAAGUUUUCAAACUUUUGUGUACAUGCAAUUUAAUAUGCUUUAGCUUUGUAUGUAUUUGUAUAUGUUUCUAAUUAAUUAUAUAGUAUAUAAAUAUGUUUUUAAAAGUGAGACAAGUCACUUCAUACUAUGUUUCACCGUAUAAAUAUCGUAUAUAAUACCCUUAACUAUUAAUUAAAGAAAGGCUCUUGAAUUUGAAUAAAAAAUUGCGUUUCCUUAAUGAUUUUAGAAAAUACAAAAUUGAUAAAUAACCAAUCAAAUCAGUAUUUAUUUUUUAAAAAUCAAAACUCUUCCCAGUUUUAACUAUAACAACAAUUAUGGGUAUUAGAGGUGCAACUUGGGUUGGGCCAAUCUGAAUCCGCCCAUGUCUAGUCUGAUUUUAAACCCUAACAAGCGGGUUUUUUUUUAGUUAUAACCCGUCCGAACCCAACCCAAUUUCAACAUGUUCAUUGAUUGGGUUGGAUUGGGUUGAUCAUUUGCCCAACUCAACCCAACCCGAUUAACCAAACCCGAUUGGGUUGAGCUGUGCAACAUGCUUCUCAAUGACCUCUGCACCUUUGCACCUUCAUGAGAACCUACUGAUAUAAUAUACAAUUUGACAUGAAAGGAAUCAUAUUAAGUUUAUUCUGCUUUCACAUCACAUCAUGUAGAACAACUUCCUUUAUUAAAUUAACUAUUCGACCUCUCUUUGAGAUCUGCUUCACAACUUGAGUUGUCAUUGUUUCUUAUGUUGCUUUCUUGUGCCGAUUCAGACGAAGCAGGCUAUUAAGCAAGUAAAUUUGAGGGAAAGUGAUUUUAAGGUCAGUUGUUUGCUAAUACAAAUAGGUUGAUGUCUUUGUGGAUGUAUGCAUGCCUGUGCGGGUGCUUUCAGAAACAUAGGAUUUAAAAUUCGAUGCUAAUGCCUGAUUAAAACUUGAAAAAGUUGGGCAAUCUUAACCCAACUCAAGUAAACCCGAAGCCGAUUAAACCCGAGCCCGAAUGAACCCGAUUAAAACCCAACCCAAAGCCAAUCCCAAAUUGUAAAAGUUGGGUUAGGAUUGGGUUGAUCUUCCAACCUGCCCGAGUUACACCCCUAAUGGGUAUACGUAAAUCUCACUUCAUACUAUGUUUCACCAUACAAAUAUCAUAUAUAAUCAAAAAAUUUAUUUUCUUAAUCAUUAAUUUACAAAUAUACACUAAAAAAUUAAUCAAAUUAUAAAUUCAUUCAUUGUCCAUUUUUGUUGAACAAUCGACAGUUUGGAUAUAUUUAUUUAAAGAAUAUAGAGGGUUGUAAGUGGUAAAUUGCCCUGGUGAUUAAGCCUUUCUCUUCAACGCACUGUAUUUCGAAUUUAAUCUCUCACCCUUUUCUUGAUAUAGCUUAACAUAGUAAUAUUGCCAAAUAAAAUGUCAUACAAAUAAGAAAAUGACUAGAGGGUUACUCAGAUGGAUAGUUAAAUUGGGGUGGGUUUGAAUAAUCUUACGGGCCCAAGAUGCAUUCAUAUUUACAACGGGCUUGGAUUAAAGCCCACGAUCAGAGUUUCAUAUCCAUUAAAUACAUAGAGAUCCAAUCGGGUUGGAACUCCUCCCCGUUUGGACAAGCUCCGAGCCAGUUCGAUCGAGAGGGAGAGGGACAUGGCUGACGACCUGUUUGAAGGCCUCCCUCCGCCAUCUGCAAACCCUCCUCCUCCUCCUUCUCCUGAAAUCCAACUCCGGCAACAGCUGCCGGAACCACAAAAGCCACCAAAACCGCGAAAAACAGCUUCUUUUAGCUGCGACUCUUCUUCUUCCCCUGCUCCUGCUCCUCCUCCAGUUGCUGCCCCUAAACCAAUUCUCAAAUCCGCCCUCAAGCGGCCGAAUCCCGCCGAGUCGACCCCAGAAGGUAUCUUUUUUUGGGUUUUUGGAUACAUUGCUUCCAAACCCAUUACUUGUAAAUUCUUGGAUUUUAUUUCCAGCAGCUAUAAAAAAAAUUGCCUUAUUAGGGUUUUCGUUUUACAUUAAUUUUCGCUGUUGAAGAACCCUAGAAACAGAAUUGAAUUCAUUUAACUAUCAGGGUUGCAUUUGUUUUUAGUUAUUGUAUUCCCUGAAUUAAUGUACUGAAGUUUUGCUCUCUGUGAAUGAUUAGUCUUUUCAAAUAACUUUGGGAAUGCAGCUUUUCGUAAAGGAAAUGUGGUUUCUUACUGUUCGUUUCUUUGUGUUGGAAUUCUUGCUAGAAAUUAGUGUUGACGAUUUAAUAAAAUUUGAUUCUUGUUUAUUUCUUCAUGUAUGCAACUUGUGUGAAAUACCAAUGUUUUGAUUUGGUCAAAUGAGCUAAUAUUUUGGAACUGGAUUUUAGAAACUGUGCCGGAAAAGAAAAAGUUGAGGUUCAAAACCACGACGGAUGCCUCAGAGCAACAGGUGAUAGAGGCGAUGCAGAAGAUAGCUUCGCAUAUAAAGACUCCUGCGAAGUUUAGUAAGGCUUCAAAGCUUGCCAUCCAGCUUAUUCAGGCGGGAAGUGUGAAAGCUGAGACUAGUGAUUACUGUUUUGCUAUACUAGAAGCCGCAAUGGAAUCUCCUACUUCUUGUACGGAUCCUUCCAUGCGAGCUGAUUACCAUGCAUUGUUUUCAGCGGCACAAGAUGCCUCUGAGGUAAGACUGAAAGUCUGCAUGUAAUGCACGAUAAUGUCAGUGUUGGUUCAUGAAAUUUUUAUUUGAAUACUCAACUUACAAGGAUUAAAUUUUUGUUUCAGUGUCUCGAUAAGAAGCAAAAGAAUCAAUUAACAACAUGGACAAUCAGGGCAGUGAUGGCAAAUGAAUUAUUCACCGACGACAGCUUCCUGGUGAGAACUUUUCCUAUGGCAAUUUGUGAUCAUAGUUUCUGAAUCAUGUAAUGAAUAGCUUCUUUGGUAUAUGAUUUGAUGAGAAGGAUGAACCAUGCAACCGAUUUGGAUACAUAUGCAUUCUAAACUAAUAUUUUUCAUUUAAUAUUAUCUACUAAUAAAUUUCAGCGUAGAACUACCAUUUGUUUUUGUGAUAUCUUCACCAACCCUGACUUACCUUUUUUCUGUCUUUCAUGUUCUUCCUCUUUUUCUCGUCAUGCAUUUGUUAUGUGAAUGUUUACACAGUUUUCAAAAGCAGCUGGACGAUUAAAGGAAGCCAUAUCUAAUCUGCCUGUUGCAACCGAGGACGAUGACAGAGAGGAAGCAGCUGUGCUGGAAGAUGGAACAAAGAUAGCAGAUGAAGAUGAUCAGACGAAGCAGGAUGUGACUUCAGCUGCACCAGCGGAAAAUAAUGAUGAGUCAUCUGAUCCGUUUGGGCUUGAUGCAUUUUUAACUCCUGCCUCUACAAAGAAAGAUGAUAGAACAAAGGAAAAAAAAGAUAACAAGAUCACGAAGGAGGAGGAAGAGACCAAGAGAUUCCUCAGAUCAAAAAGAGAAGCCUUGGUUCUUUGUUUAGAGAUAGCUGCUCAGCGUUAUAAAACCCCGUGGUAAGUUCUUGAAAACUUUAAAUUCUUCGAUGCACUCUUCUUAUUAUCCAACCUAUUACCAUCUGGAGAGCUAGAAUUUCUUAUUUUAUAUUGUACUUAUACUUUGCAGGUGCCAAACAGUCAUAGACAUAUUAGCAAAGCACGCCUUUGAUAACAUAGCAAGGUUCACAUUGAAACAAAGGACUGCCAUUGAGAAACUUUGGGUUUCCAUACGGGAACAGCAUAAUCGUCGAAAACAAGGGAAAUCGAUUACUGGGAAACUUGAUGUCAACGCUUUCGAGUGGCUGCAGCAAAAAUAUUCUACUGAGAAGAUCAGCAUUCGGCACUCUGUAAGUGGUAGCGGAGGUCGUAAAACUGAAACUUGGCUUGGAUGACAUUAUGUUUUCGAUGUGGAAAUGUUGAUCAUUCUUUAGAAGGAAAAACACGAAGAAUUUGUAAUUGUUGAUCUGAAUGAAUUAAUCACAUUUCAAAUUUACGUUACAUGUUACAAAUAAUCGUCGUUUGCUACCAAUAAUCACCACAAGAACAGGAUCCUUCUCUGAAGUGGUGAAAGCGAUUCCGGUCCCUUACUAUAAUUACCCUCCCGUAAAUUUUUGAUAAAAGCUUUGUUGCUGUGUGGCAAUCGUCACAGACUCGGAGGUUCUUCACAACCCGAAUCGGGGUACCUGCAGCAGCAGCGAUCAAACCGAAUGCCAUGGCCAGUUUCUCGCUGUGAUAGUUAACCGCAGUUUCUUUCUCUUCCUCAUCUAUGUUCUGCAACACGACCGACGUGUUAGGAGCGUAACCUGCCUCUUUCAGCUUCUUGAUCAUCUCAGCCAGCAUUUCGUAAAUUUUUCCGGCUUGAGGGUGCGCUCUAUCCCCCAUUACAAAGUCAUGGACCGAGCCAUUUACUUCGAUCGAGCUGAGACCGGGUUCUUUCUUGGUUCCUCUGUCUUUCAUGGCUUUUCUCACCCCGGCAACAUCAUUCCAUCUGUUUGAUGCUGCAUAGAUGUUCGACAUCAGAAUGUUGUAUCCACAAUUUCGAGGUUCCAACUGGAGAAGCUGCCUUGACGCAACUUCAGCCAAGUCGGGAUUUUUAUGGAUUUUGCACGCAGCGAGCAGGGCACCCCAUACAAUUGUGUUAGGCUGUAUGGGCAUGCUUUUGAUCAGUUCAUGAGCCUCGUGGAGUUUCCCAGCUCGACCUAACAAAUCCACCAUGCAUCCGUAGUGCUCAACCUUCGGAGCCAAUCCAUGGACACGAACCAUUUUCUCAAAAAAAUUCUCUCCUUCUGCCACCAAUCCAGCGUGACUGCAAGCAUGGAGAACUCCGAUAAAUGUGAUGUCGUUAGGCUCCACAGCUUCUCUGUUCAUUUGUUCAAAGAGUUCCAGAGCUUGUUUUCCACAGCCAUGCAUAGAAAAUCCUGUCAUCAUGGCAUUCCACAUGCAAAUGUCUCGAUUUGUGGCUUCAUCAAACAACCUGAGAGCCAUAUCGAUUUCUCCACACUUCGCAUACAUGUCAACUAGAGCUGUUCGUAAAAUGACAUCAACUUCCACCCGUUGCUGGUUUAUAUACGAAUGAACCCACUUGCCCAGGUCAAGGGCUCCAACUUCUGCACAUAACGAAAUCAGGCUAACCAUUGUGACUUGAUUUGGCCUUGCUCCGCUAUUCUUCAUCCGAGCAAAGAGCUGUGAAGCCUCAUUAGUGCAAUUGGCAUGCGCGUAAGCUGAGAUCAAGGCACUCCAAAUCAUAACAUCUUUGUAAUCCACACUAUCGAAAACAGCCCUUGCAUAUCUGGUUUCUCCGCAUUUUCCAUACAUGUCGACCAAAGCAGUGGCCAAAGGCAAAGACAUGACAAACCCAUGUCUCAGAAUGUAGGCGUGCAGCCACUUGCCUAAUUCCAUAGCGCCAACAGACCCAGACUCGAUAAUCAAACUCAGCAUCGUAAUCUCAUUCGGAAAACUUCCUUCCGCCAGCAUUCUGUUGAAAAGUUUUGCUCCCUCGUGUAAAUCUCUGCAAUGAAUGUACCCCGCAAUCAUUGCAGUCCACGAAACAAUAUUUUUCUGUCCUAACCCGUCGAAGAGCCUCCUUGCAUAAGUUACAUUUCCACACUUGACAUACAUGUCGAUCAUAGCAGUAGUAACAGGAACUCCGAAUUUCUCAUGCUUGCCAUUCCUCACAACAUGAACAUGCAUCGCUUUCCCCAUUUCGAUAUCAGCAACCCCCGCAAAGAGAUUAACCAUGCUAAUCAUGGCAAUCUCACUAGGCUUCACUCGAACACGAUGCAUUUCCCUUAUAAGAUCCAAUGCCUCACCAAACAAUCUGUUCCUAACACAGCUCCUAAUCAUUGUACUCCAAGAAACAACAUCUCUGUCAGUCAUUUUAUCGAACAGCAAGCGAGCUAGCACCACAUUCCCACUUUCGCUAUACAUUUGGAUCAACGCGUUGCGCACGAAAACAUCACCAUCCAACCCGCUCUUCAGCGCGAAGCCGUGCGUCUCCUUUCCCAAAAUCGCGAAAGACGAUUGCCCGCAAGCUUUGAGGACUGAUGGAAUGGUGAAGCUGUCGACUUGAGUGUCCAUUCUUCGCAUUUGGGCAUAUAUUUCGAGUGCAAUUGCCGGGCAGUUGUUCUUAAUGUAUGAAGUUAUCAAGAAGUUGUGCUGAGCUGCAGGGCUUAGCUGGGUUUGGAGGUGCGUGAGAGGGGUUUGCUGGGUGUGAUCAAAUUGGGUUUUGAUCAUGUGGGCAUGGAUUUGCUGGGUGUGGUCAAGGUUGGGGUGUCCAUGGGGGGUAAAAGAAGUGGUUGGUUGGUGGGUAGAUGGGUGGGUGUUUGGGUGUGGGGUGUGAUUGUUUGGAGAGGUUUGGAGGAAUUUGAAUUUGGAGGGAGGAAGGAGGGAAGGUGGAAGGAGAUGAGGUUUGGUGGUGACCAUUGUAUGGUCCAUGGAUGUGUAGGCUUUGGAAUUGCAUCUUUUUCUCAAUGUUUUCAUCCCAUGAGAAAUAUCUUCAAAAUCUCCCCUUCCAUCUUCUACCUCACGAUUGGGCUUCAGCUUGGGCUGGGCUGAAUAUCUUCAAACAUCUUCUACCUUACAUCUUCACCAUUGUUUGGUCCAUGGAUGGACAGGCCACCACUGAGGGUGAAGAAGUUGUCACAAAGAGUCACUAUUUUAAAAAUUUCCGCCUAACGCCGUCAAGGUCUCUGCCUAGGUUUUAGGCGCUGGCCACUGUCCCGAUUAAUAUUUAGACGUUUUAAAAUUAAGAAAUGAUGCUAGAGCUGCUGAGGUGCUCGCCUCGGCACCCGCCUAGGGUUGUAACUCACUUAGAUAGAAAAUAGAUAGCUUUCCUUUUGUAUUUUAUUGUUUCCAAUAAAUUGUAAGAGACUUAUUGAUUAUUUAAAUAAACACACAUUAUGUUUACUUCACAUGUUUUCAUUAUGUUCCAAUACUUCAUAAUAUAUAUGAGACUCGUCUUGUUAUAUUGAUUGUGACCGAAAUAAGAAGGGUACACCACAUGUUUUUAUAUAAGUAAUAGAAAAUUUUAUUUUUUAAGUUAUUAACUUUUUAACACACAUAUUUCACCAUUUAUAUAAUGACACGUAAUAUAUCACCCAUGUAUCGGUCACAUUGGAAAAGUUUCUCCCUGCAAAGUAAAUUACAAAUUUCAUCCAAAACCCUACACCCCAUCCCGUUGCUCCUCUAUAUAAACACACCUUAAACCCUGGCCUCUCAUCUCAUCUUCUUCACUGUUCGUCUCCAAUCCAAAUCUCAUCUUCAGGUAACGUAAUGUCUCUCUCCCCCAUCUUUUCUGUAACUCAAAGUUUCUAUCUUUUCUGUUCAAUCUGUGAUGCCAUUAGAUCCCAUUUCCAAAGAAUUAAUAUUUCAAUCGUAAAAUAAAUGAAUCGAGGAAAAGCACAUAUCGAAGGCUUAUGGGCGAUAAAUAUGAACAGCCCAUGCGCUCAAAAAUUGUGCAAAAUCAUAAAUCUUUCUUCUUUUUUUUACUAUAUCCUCUCGACAUUGCCCGAGGAUUUCGAAGAAUGAUGACAUUGCUAAAUCCUGCUGUUGAUAUCAAAUUUAUUUGUAUUCUUUGAUGGGGUGGGGUUUGUUAAUCUUUAUUUGUUUCUUGAUUUGUUUAUUGGGUUUUUGUUAUUCAAACUGUGAGAAUUUUGAAUGUUGUUGCCCGAUUUCGUUGUUAGAUCAUGAAAAAUAUGUUAAAAGUAUCGCCUUUGUGAAUUAAUUGAUUGAUGUGUUAAUUGAUUUGAUCUAUGUGUUUGGUCUGAUGUGAUUGUGAUUGGUUUUGACAGAUUGGAAGUUGUAGAGAAAAUGUCGAACCCGAAAGUUUUCUUUGACAUAUUGAUCGGAAGGAUGAAGGCGGGUCGAGUUGUAAUGGAGUUAUUUGCUGAUAAAACCCCGAAAACUGCUGAAAAUUUCCGUGCUCUGUGCACCGGAGAUAAGGGGAUGGGAUUAUCAGGGAAGCCACUGCACUUUAAGGGAUCCACAUUCCAUCGCAUUAUCCCGAACUUCAUGUGCCAGGGUGGAGAUUUCACAAAAGGCAACGGAACUGGGGGAGAGUCGAUUUAUGGGGCGAAAUUCGCGGAUGAGAACUUCAACUUGAAGCAUACUGGCCCUGGAAUUUUGUCCAUGGCGAAUUCUGGACCUAAUACGAAUGGUUCACAGUUCUUCAUUUGCACAGCGAGCACACCUUGGCUUGACGGAAAGCACGUUGUGUUUGGAAAAGUUGUCAAUGGAUACAGUGUUGUUGAGAAGAUGGAAAGGGUGGGUUCGGAGCGUGGGACUACUUCUGAACCUGUUGUGAUCGAAGAUUGCGGUCAGAUAAAAGAUGAGUGUUGAUGUUUGAAUAGUUGGGGAAGUUUCAAGUAACGUCAUAGCUUAGGGUUGCUUUUAGUACUAUAGUUAGUUUCAAGUUUCAAGCAAAAAUGGUGUUUUGUUUGAAGAAAACUGAUGUAAUGCAAAUAAUACUUUGAAUGGAUGUAUAUUUUCUUAAAUGCUUUGAAUGUGUAUAAUCGUGGCUAUUUAUCUUUUUAUCGUGUGUGGUGACUUAGAGCAUUUUUAACGACUUAAAAAUAGAGAGUAUGAUUGGAGAUGGUCUAAGACUAUAAUGCGAUUACGAAGAAAUAGUGAAAUUUUGGGUUCUUUUGUUGUAAUGAGGUCGGAUUAAUUUCACUAACGGAACUAUGCCAAAGUCCAUUCCAAAUUGUGCUAAACAAGCCUUGAGGAGGCAUUUUGUAAGAAUGAAACCAAACCAUAAAAGAUAAAACCAAUUUGCAAUAUGUGAAGUAGCUCAAUAUCUUAUAAUCUUUGCAAGUUUCCUCUUUUAACUGAUGUGAAACUCUUUUACCUCUACAAUUCCUCUCAUGCGUGGUGAAUUUUCAAGCCAAACAUGUGGACAACACAAAUUGGGAGAAGUUGAGCACAUGUGACCGUUGGGCUUCAUAGGUGGGCCAACCUAGCUCUAAUACCAUAAAGAAGUUGAGGUUCCAUCAUAAAAACAAUUGGCAAUAUGAGGAGUAACCCAACCUCUUAUAAGCUCUUACAAGGUUUAUCCUUUGACAAUGUGAGACUUUAUUAUCUUCACAUCCUCACAAUGAGAAUAAGAGGGCAAAGUCCCACAUUCGUGAAUGUAGGGGCUUAUAAGGAGUUAGGCUACUCCCCAAUCUUCAUUCAUGGUAUCAUAGUACAUUACCCCAUAUGUGAAUUUCAACGACCAUGUGCUCCACGUUACCCAAUUUGUGCACGUGAGGGGGCGUGUGAUAAUAUGAGAAUAAAAUCCCACAUCAGUGAAGGACCAAACCAUGCAAGGGCUUAUAAAGAUUUGAACUACUCCCAAUAUUGCUAAUUGAUUUUGUAGUAGAAACCUACUUCAGGAAGGCCAUCGAAGACCAUAACAAGAACCAGAGACGGUCUGCCGAUCCCGAGGUGGUGAGAAACGUGAAGGGGUAUAUGCAGUUCACAUGGUUUAUGCACAUUUUGUACAUACUCAAAACAUUUAGAAAGGAAAAAGAAGAAGUCCAAGAGCUGCCAAUAGCCUUUAUACAAGCAAAUGUGUAUUUUAGCUACAUUUAGGUGAUGGGUUUUGUCAAUUGCUUCCAGAUUUGAAGGUUGUCAUGUUUUCACAACAUUGCAUAUAAAAAGGGGGGAGGUUGAAGUUGAAUACCCAAGAUAUCACACACUUCAUUACUUGAAAGUACAAUGGCAACUGCUGGUGAGUUUUGGCUACAUUAUUAUAGUUCAGAGAAGCGAUUUCCGCACAUCUCUGUUAUCUCUCUGCACGCCUUGUUUAUCUAGGAGCGGAAAGAAACAGGGCCGUACAAAUGGGGAAAAAGAUUGUAUAAAUCACUUUUCUUUUUUAAUUGUUGUUGCUAAUAAUAUUUCAGAAGUGAAUCUGAUUACAUUGCUUCCAUGGUGAUCAUGAUCAGAUGGUCGGAAGUUUACCACUAUCCUUAGCAUUGAUGGAGGAGGAGUGAGAGGCAUCAUUCCGGCGACCAUGCUCGCCUUUCUCGAGUCCGAACUCCAAGUUAGCGUGUCUGCUUCCGCCAGACUUUUUUUCGUUUCUUCGGAACCUUGAAUUUGUUCAUCAUUCUUACCUAAUUGAUUGAUUUACAAAAUGCUUCCUCCUAAACGAAUAGAAACUGGAUGGAAAAGAUGCAAGGAUUGCACACUGCUUUGACUACAUUGCUGGAACCAGCACAGGAGGCCUUGUUGCUGCUAUGAUUACCACACCAAAUAAAAAAAAGCAACCUCUGCUUUAUGUACAUGAACUCAAGAAGUUUUAUUUUGAUGAGCGUCCAUACAUAGUGCCUCAAGAACCGACUAAAACCGCUCGAAUGUAUGUUCCAUAAGAGGACACUAUUUUGAAGUGCUGAUAACAAUCUCACUGUAUAUAUCUUAUGAAUUGAACUGUUGGAUCGGUCUUUCCAGCAUACCCGCUUGAAACAUUAGACUUGUUAUAUGGAUUGACAUAUAAGUUUUUCUUGAAUCGUUGAGCAAGCAGCUCUGAAGUCAGCAAUGGCCUCUCAUAUUCCUUCGAGUGCCGCUUGUGUGGUGGAAUAUGAGCCAUUCCAGAACUAGCACUCAUACCACCACGAAUACCUCUAUAGCCUUUGCCACGACCACGUAAGGUACCAGGACGACCGCCACGAGCAGCAGCGGGAGCAGUGCGUCUAGCAUCAGCAAAGAAGACAGUAUGCAUCCUUUGUUUCCGCUCAGCAGUGAGCAGAAGGGCCUCUGAAGCACUGUGAGAUAUGGCUCCAUCACGAUCCUGAGCAGAAGCCACGGUGCUUUCACAUGCAGGGCCAACAUUGUUGAGAACAAUGGCAGCAAUGUCUGAGUCAGAAACAGGAGCACCAGAUAAGGAGAGGGCGUCAGCAAGGCAACUGACACGAUUGAGAAACUCAGCAAUUGAGGAGUCGCCACGGUGGGUGUUCAUCAGCUCACCGUGAAGUUGAAGAAGACGGCCAGUGGGCUGCAAAUCAUAGCAUUCGCGCAGACAGGUCCAUGCAGAAUGAGAACUGGUUUUCCCGAUUAGGGCACCCAACACAGUGGUAUGAACAGAGCUCUUGAUCCAGAACAUAACCAUAGCAUCUUGUUGAAUCCAUGCUUCAAACUCCGGAUUCACAGUAUCAGUAAGAUUGCCCUCAUCAUCUUUGAGAAAGGCAGGAGGACAUUUGCUAGUGCCAUCAACAAAGGAGACGAGAUUCCUGCUACGAAGCAAGGUAAGCAUCUGGGCUUGCCAGAGAGGGUAAUUGGUAGGGUCAAGUUUAAUCGGAAGAAAGUUGGAAACGUUGGAAGAGCUGGAAGAGUUGGACGCCAUUUGAAAGAAAAAGGAAAUGCUUAGGAUCAGUGGCGAAGCCACGUGGGGGCGAGGAGUGGCGGCCGCCACUCCCCUCGCCGGAAAACACCACUGGAAAGCUGGGUUCGCCACUCCCCUCGCCGGAAACCUCACUGGUUCAUCUCCUCUGGAAUGCGACGACGAUUACGAAUACAAUUGGAGCUGCGAACGAGUUCCGGUGCUCCGAUACGGCUUCUACUACCUCUCCCAUGUCUGAUUGUUUCCUUUGCUCUGGUGUUCCGUACGAAACACCACCUUCUUCUUCGUUUCGGAUUUUCGAUGCUUCUCUGCAACCGGGUAAGUUGCUACAGACCCAAGUCUAAAACUCCACUGGGUAACCCCCGAUUCAAUUGGGCCUGUUGGGGAUAAAUUGUUCGAAAUGGUCCAAUCAAAUAGAAGCCCUAUUUUCCCCAAAUAUGAUAAAUCACGAGUUUAUGGUUCUUGUAGUUGGAUUUUUUUAUAUAAAUAUUACGUAUAAUUGAAUAAUACGGAAAAUAAACAGUUGAGAAUCAAAAUAUAAGAUCUAAGUAUUUGUGAAAAGCAAAUUUAAUUGUGAAAACACUCGUAUGAUUGAACAAUACAUAGCAUUAAAGCCAAAAUUUUAAUUUUGUUUAAUAUAUUUUCAGUUGUAUCAAAUUUGAUCAUUGUAAUUUCCUAGUUGUUGCAACAUGAAAAUAUAUCCUUAUGUUUGUUUUACUACUAUAUCCACUAUGUUAAACCCACACUCGUUUUACUACCAUAUCUUUCAAAUAUUCUGAGUAGUCCUCCUCCUCCUCAAAUAUUCUAAGAAGUCAUCCUUCAAAUAUUCCAAGUAAGUCACAACAAAGUGAGGUCACUGAGUUGGAUGAAAUAUUGGCUAAUCUUCUUGCAGAUCCUGCACAUAAACGUCGAAUGAUUGAUUAUCCACCUAAUUAUCGUGAAGCAAUUCGUAGACAUUAUCUCCAAAUUGUAAUUUGUUUGUAUUGAUUAAUUAUGGAAGACAUUACUAGAUAAAAAGAUUUAGUUGUUGUCAUUUUUCUUUAACCUUGCAUUCUUUUAAGUUCGCCCCUCCCCUCAAGAAAUCCUGGCUUCGCCACUGCUUAGGAUGAAUGCUUUGAAUAAACUCAGCUUAAUGAAUUAUGAGUGAGGCUUCCCCUCGAUUAUAUAGGAUUACAACUUGCUACAGGGAUUUUUCUUUUUCUUAUACAACUUGCUGGAGGGUUUUUUUUUUUUUUUUCUUUUUCAUUUUAGAGACAACUUGGUGGAGGGUUAUAUGCUUUUUUCAUGACAAACCUUGGUGGAGGGUUAAAUGCUUUUUUUGUGACAAGCCUUGCCGGAGGGUUUUUUCUUUAAUUUUUGCUAAUUAACCUUGCUGGAGGGUUUUUUUUUUUUCGUACAUCGAUAUUUUUAUACUAAGAGGAGGGGGAGUUCGGCUAACCUACACAAUAGGCAACCUAAUUUGGUAAGAUCUCUCAUUUUCAAAUGAAGAUGAAAACUACCAGACCGUAAUACUGAGUGAUCACCGGAGAGUUUUAAUAAAGAAUAAAAGUAGCUUUGUGAAGUUGAAAUUCUGUUUUAGUUUAAUAAAGAAUAAAUUAUCUUGAAAUGCUCAUUUUACAACUCAAAAGCCAAUUUUGGAGUUCGGUGGGUCAGAAAUUUGUGAUGCAAAUCAUCUAACCCACUGAAAAAUGUAAAAACAGGUAGAUUACAUUUUUUUUUUCUCCUCAAGUUCUCGUCCAAUUUCAAAUUUGUAUGUUUUUCAAUUUUUUCAAUUUCAUACGACGAUUCACGAUUUUGUAUAAAUGUCUUAGAUCUGUAUUAAUUUAUGUUAGUUUCUCUGUUAUUUGUCCAUGUGAACGUCGUCGGCCGGCCCCACAAAAUUUGUGCCAAAUGAAUAAAAACCAAUUAAAAAAUGGAUAUUCAUUAUUAAAGAAAAUCAAUUUAAAGAAAACCUUCUUCUUUGACAACAAAUCAAUAUGAAGAAGAAACCCUUCAUCUUCUUCAUCUGAAAGUUAAAAAAUCAAAGUACAAAUUAAUGUAUAAACAUUAUUUGAACCUUUAACGUGUGAUGUUGAGUGUUGUAUAUCACCAAAAAGUUAAAAGAUCUUGCAUUAGCUUUGUAGAAGUUAUUGUAGAACCUCAAGAGUAUAUAUAGUCCACCUAUUAUCAAUUGGACUUUAGGAGAGAUUUUUUUGUGUCAGGAACAUGGCCUAGUACACCAUGUAAUAAUACAAUUGGUUGGACACUUAAAUAUUUUUUUUAACUAAUUGUAUUAUGACACUUGGGUAUACCAGGUAGUGUUCUCGAAACAUUGAAAAUUUUUCUCGGACUUUGGGUAGAAUCUCCUAAAAUGAUACAUACUCCAGCAAAAGUUAACAUCCUGAUCAUAUCACGAUGAACACCUAAUUAAGCAAAACAAUCACUCUCCCAAUAAGCACUUCAUUGCGACUACAUAGGUUUACAACGAAGCAGCACACGAUUAUUUCACCAGUGAGAGGUUGCAGCAUGCACGUAGUUUCGUUGCAUGUUAGAAAAGGUUCACAGCAUAUCAACUUCACAUUGUCCUGCAGCAUAUCAGAAAUCAAGCGGAUUUCAACAUUUUCUUCCUGAAAAAUCGAAAGAAUAAGAUCGACAUCAUGUUACUAUGAACACAUGAUAGAUCUUUUCUUGGUACAGAGAUAUUUGAUUUUCAGAGAAAAAUAUAAGACUUACCUGUAACCUUGAAACGAGCAUUUCCAAAAACAGCCUCCCAACCAGUUUCUGUACCAUAUGUUAAACUGGGUCCUCAAGCACAACUUUAGCUAUAUUAACCAUAUGUUAAACUACUGCUUUCCAUUAUCGAGACAGGAGUCUAUCAAAGCUAGAGGUUUUUCUUCACUAUUCGACUCGGUAGAUUCCAAGGAAAUGGGCACAAGUUUAACGGUAGACAGAAACCGGUUCUGAUCAUCCAUACGAAUGGUGCAAAAUCUCGAUAUAGCAUGGUUUGCAUAAAGAAAUCUUGUAUCAAAAUUAUACUUCGAUGGCUUCACAUUUAAAUUUUUCUUGAACUGGGGAGCAAGCAGCUCCAGUGUUGGUAACGGGCCUCCCCUUUUCUGUUAACUGCCGCUUGUGCGGUGGGACGUAAGCCAUUUUAAAACCAGAACUUGUGCUUAAAAUUCGUAGCAAGGCAAAAAGAAACUGCAAAAAUUUCAUUAACUAUCUUGGUUGUAAGAAAGUGCCUGAGCCGAAGCAUUUACUGGCAAUGAAGUCAUCGAAAUGAAAUCGCCAAAAGUUCAUUAACCAUGAAUUAUGCCAGAUACAAAUAGAUGGCAGAAUUGAAAGAAAUCAUUAAAACAGUUACUAAUUAUCCAUCAAACGAUGCCAAAAUUUGAACAUAAAACUAAGGAGGUAGACAGAUAUAUACACGUCAAAUAGACAGUGAUCACUGAUUUACAACAACAAGCAAUUUCAUGUUAAAAAACAUUCACAGCUCAAGAAGUUAUCCCAUAUCAACUGCAUAUUGAUCGGAAGGAUGAAGGCGGGUCUAGUUGUAAUGGAGUUAUUUGCUGAUAAAACCCCAAAAACUGCUGAAAAUUUCCGUGCUCUUUGCACCGGAGAUAAGGGGAUUGGAUUAUCAGAGAAGCCACUGCACUUUAAGGGAUCCACAUUUCAUCGCAUUAUCCCAAACUUCAUGUGCCAGGGUGGAGAUUUCACAAGAGGCAACGGAACUGGAGGAGAGUCGAUUUAUGGGGCGAAAUUCGCAGAUGAGAACUUCAACUUGAAGCAUACUGGCCCUGGAAUUUUGUCCAUGGCGAAUUCUGGACCUAAUACGAAGGGUUCACAGUUCUUCAUUUGCACCGUGAGCACACCUUGGCUUGACGGAAAGCACGUUGUGUUUGGAAAAGUUGUCGAUGGAUACAGUGUUGUUGAGAAGAUGGAAAAGGUGAGUUCGGAGCGUGGGACUACUUCUGAACCUGUUGUGAUCGAAGAUUGCGGUCAGAUAAAAGAUGAGUGUUGAUGUUUGAAUAGUUGGUGAAGUUUCAAGUAACAUCAUAGCUUAGGGUUGCUUUUAGUACUAGUUAGUUUCAAGUUUGAAGCAAAAAUUGUGUUUUGUAUGAAGAAAAGUGAUGUAAUGCAAAUAAUACUUUGAAUGCAUGUAUAUUUUCUUAAAUGCUUCGAAUGUGUAUAAUUGCGGUUAUUUAUCUUCUUAUUGUGUGUGGUGACUCGGAGCAUCUUAACGACUUAAAAACAGAGAGUAUGAUUGGAGAUGAUCUAAGACUAUAAUGUGAUUACGAAGAAAUAGUGAAAUUUUGGGUUCUUUCAUUGUAAUGAGAUCGGAUUAACUAACGGAACUAUGUCAAAGUCCAUUUCAAAUUGUGCUAAACAGGCCUUGAGGAGGCAUUUUGUAAGAAUGAAACCAAACCAUAAAACCAAUUUGCAAUAUGUGAAGUAGCUCAACCUCUUAUAACCAUUGUAAGUUUCAUCAUUUAACUGAUGUGAGACUCUUUUACCUUCACAUUCCCUCUCAUGCGUGGUGAAUUUUCAAGCCAAAUAUGUGGACAACACGAAUCAAGUGACGUGGAGCACGUGUGGCCAUUAGGCUUCAUACAUAGGCCAACCUAGCUCUCUAAUACCAUGAAAAAGUUGAGGUUUCACCAUAAAAACAAUUGGCAAUAUGAGGAAUAGCCAUACCUGUUAUAAGCUCAACCAAUUGGCAAUAUGGGAAGUAACUCAACCUCUUAUAAACUCUUGCAAGGUUUAUCUUUUGACGAUGUGAGACUCUUUUACCUUCACAUCCUCACAGUGAGAAUAUGAGGAAGUCCCACAUCGAUGAAUGCAUGGGCUUAUAAGGAGUUUGGCUACUUCCCAAAUUUUCUUCAUGGUACCCUAGUAGGUUUAUCCCAGAUGUGAAGCUCAAUAACCAUAUGUUCCACGUUACCCAAUUUGUGCACAUGAGAGGGCGUGUGAGAAUAUGAGAACAAAAUUCCACAUAUGUGAAGGACCAAACCAUGCAAGGGCUUAUAAAGAGUUGAGUUACUUCCAAUAUCGCUAAUUGGUUUGCUAAUUGGUUUUGUAGUAGAACCCUACUUCGUUCAGUGGCCAUCGAAGACCAUAACAAGAACCAGAGACUGUCUGCCGAGCCCGAGGGUGGUGAGAAACGUGAAGGGGUAUAGGUAGUUCACAUGUUUUAUGCACAUUUUGUACGUACUCAAAACUUUUAGAAAGGAAAAAGAAGAAGCUCCAAGAUCUGCCGAUAGCCUUUAUACAAGCAAAUGUGUAAUUUAGCUACAUUUAGGUGAUGGGUUUUGUCAAUUGCUUCCAGAUUUGAAGGUUGUCAUGUUUUCACAACAUUGCAUAUAAAAAGGGGGGAGGUUGAAGUUGAAUACCCAAGAUAUCACACACUCCCAUUACUUGAAAGUACAAUGGGAGCUGCUGGUGAGAUUUGUUAGCUACAUUAUUAUAGUUCAGAGAAGCAAUUUCCGCACAUGUCUGUUCUCUCUUUGUACACCUUGUUUAUAUAGGAACGGAAAAUAACAAAGGCGUGCAAAGGGGGAAAAAGAGUGCAUAAAUCACUUAUUUUUUUAAUUGUUGCUAAUUAUAUUUCAGAAGUGAAUCUGAUUACAUUGCUUCCAUGGUGAUCAUGAUCAGAUGGUCGAAAGUUUACCACUAUCCUUAGCAUUGAUGGAGGAGGAGUGAGAGGCAUCAUUCCGGCAACCAUGCUCGCCUUUCUCGAGUCCAAACUCCAGGUUAGCGUGACUGUGUCCGCCAUACUUCUUUUUCGUUUCUUCGGAACCUCGAAUUUGUUCUUCAUUCUCACAUAAUUGAUUGAUUUACAAAACGUUUCCUAAAUGAAUAGAAACUGGAUGGGAAAGAUGCGAGGAUUGCAGACUACUUUGACUACAUUGCUGGAACCAGCACAGGAGGCCUUGUUACUGCUAUGAUUACCACACCAAAUGAAAAAAAGCAACCUCUGUUUGAAGCACAUGAACUCAAGAAGUUUUAUUUUGAUGAGAGUCCAUACAUAUUCCCUCAAGAACCGACCAAAACCGCUCGAAUGUACGUUCCAUAAGGCGAGACUAUUUUGAAGUGCUAAUAACAAUCUCACUGUAUAUAUCUUAUGAAUUGAACUGUUGGAUUGGUCCUUGCAGCAUACCUGAGUGGCUUGAAACAUGGGCUGGAUGGGUCGGACAGAAGGUUGAAAAGGUGGCGGAAAUCCUGUCAUGGGUCGAGAAAGAAACGUUACACCCCAAAUACGAAGGUUAUGACCUGCGCGACAGAAUCAGGAAGAUAGUUGGGAAAACACGGCUUCACGAGACUAUAACCAACGUCAUCAUCCCCUCUUAUGAUAUCAAGUUUCUCCAACCAGUCGUCUUCUCCACCUCAGAGGCGAAACGUGAUGAAUUGGAGGAUGUUCUGCUAGCAGAUGUCUGCAUUGGCACAACUGCAGCACCAUACUAUCUCCCUUCCCACCAUUUCACGCACACACCAUCAAAGGGACUCCCGAGAGAAUUUAACCUCAUCGAUGGUGGCGUUGCAGCCAACAAUCCGGUACAUAUACACUCUUAGACGUUCAUUAAUUGAAGAUUUUGAUCAAACUGAUUCGUGUAAAAAUUGUUGCAGACUUUGCUUGCAAUCAUUGAGAGUGCUAAGGAGAUGUCACCAAAUAAAAAUGUGGCACAUUGCUUGAAGAACAUUGAUAGUAGCAAGCUUCUUGUUCUGUCCCUGGGAACUGGAUCCUCGAAGAGGGAUGAGAAGCUUGAGGUUGACGAAAAUGAACCAUGGGGAAUCUUUCAAUGGUUUGUAGGCCCAAAAGAUACCACCCCUUUACUUGAUGUUUUGACAACUGCAACAGAAGACAUGGUUGACAUAUACAUGUCUGCUUUCUUCAACGUUUCAGGCUACAAUGAUAACUAUCUCCGGAUCCAGGUACAUAGUAAACCACCAAAGAAUGAAGAAAGAUACCUUACUUCCGGCUGAUUAUUUAAUGCCAUGGAUGCAGGAUGAUAGCUUGAAAUACACUGAAGCUGUUCUGGAUGACUCCCGCAAAGAAAAUCUCGAGCACCUUGAGAAGAUUGGGAAUCAACUCCUCGAAAAACCUUUUUCAGCACUGAACCUGGAGACCGGCUUGUUGGAACCAAUUAACAACACAUUCAAAUACAAAGACGCACUUGCACAGUAAGAAAUAAGAACACUAUAAGCUGAUCAUAUGAUCAAGUCACUUUUUUCAUCAUAUCUGUUUUGUGAUUUACAAUUUUCAUCUGUUUCUUCAGUAACUUGUUGCAUUUGUACAGGUUUGCCAAGAAACUGUCGGAUGAAAAAAGAGGACGUCAAACCAGUUCCUCCCGUUGAUAAAAUUUCAUCUUUCUUGUGCCUAGUAUCUAGCUUCUACUAUCUACCUAUGUGCUUGCUGAACAAGUUUGGUUUCCAAGUUUCUAGUGUCCUUGCAAGCCUGCUCGAUCGUAGACUGUGUGUAGUGCAGGUUUUCGUUUCAAACUUUUAGUGGGUUGUACUUCCAUAAAGUAUAUAUAAAUAAAAUGAGGCUCAUCUCAUCUCAUGGCUGUUUGUUCCCAAGAGAUUACUGUUCUGUUUUGUUAUUGAAACGGAAUGAGCUCAUUACGAUACACAGAAUGAACACACAUUACAAAAGAUAACAUAUCUAGUGAAGUCGAAAAUCGUUUAAUAUUCAGAACAUAAGAUAAACAUACAAAAAACAGUUCAAAACCUCCUAAGAGAGUAAUUCUGAAACAAUGACGACUAAUCUGGUUAAACCUUACCGAAAAUCCUUAUAUGAGUUGUAUGAAUCUCCUUUGUAACAAGAGUGAUAUACAAGGACCAUACUCUUACACUUCUACUCCCAAUCCUCUUCGCUCAAUUGAUCGUCUGCCUCGUCUCUUGGUGGCCUCACUAUCAGCACCACAGUCCCUAAACUCUCCUCCACACCAGUUUCCUUCAAUGCCGAUCCCCUUACAACCUUAAACCCCAAACCCUCACCAUCCACUGCUGCCAAAUAAAACCCGUCAUCAGCUUCCACCUCCCUCCUGCUCCUAUCAGCCACCACCAGAAUAGGCUCUUCCUUAUACCACCUAUUCACCUUCCAAGGCAAAACCCUCGCGUCACCAAACGACACCACAACUCCGCCCUUUCCUAAACUCACCACCGGCUCCCAACCCGGCAACACCACCCACCUCUUCCACCCCUUCUCUGCCACAAUAACCCCAAGCUCCCCCUCACUCCUACACUCCCACGGGGCCUCCAUAACCUCCUUAUCCUUCUCCUCCGCCCUACAAACUGGCAAGAUCACAACUUUAGUCGACUCUGCCACCUCCCCAAACUUCAACCUCACAACCGGAACCCGAACCCCUACUGCAACAUCGUCCUCCUCCUCCUUCUCCUCACUCUCUCCCUCCAACUCUUUCAAAAUUACCUUUUUAGCCUUAUCGGUCUGUGCAACCUUCAAUGCCUGCUCUAAAGCAGCAGUUCUAGGUUCAGAUGGAUUCUUGUGCUCCCUCGCCUGCCUAAAAUACAUAAACCCUAAACAAUCCCCAGCGCUGGCAUAGUCAAAGCUCUCCCAACCGUUUUCGGUCCCCCGACGAGGGAAGUCCUUUAUCGAACGGGCCAAAUCCUGAGUUCCUUUGGCAUCAAGCUUGUUCUCAAUUAUGAAACGGGCAGCAGCAGCUCGCUGCUGGACACUCAGGAGCCGAAUUUCGUACAGCAAUUCGGAACCCCUCACGUCGAAUUCGGAAACGAUUUCUGGGUCGGUGUUAGAUUGGAUUAAAGAGUCCCUCACCUUCGCCGCCACCACCAGGCGGUUCUGCUCGACGCUGGAAAUGCCGGUGAUUUCUUCGAUGGUGGGGGCAGUGAAGCCUUCUUGGGUUAGGGAGGGGAUUAGGGGGGCGAAUUCGAACCAGAGGCCGAGGCGGUUGGCGAGGAUCUCGAGGCGGCCAUUGGCGUCGAGGGAGCGGAAUUUGGAGGGGAUUGGAGAUGGGGGCGGCCGGAAUGGCUGGUAGAGUUGUUGUUGCUGCUGUUGGGAGCUGGAGGAGGGAGUGAGAGUGGCGGAGAUGGGUUUCGGGGAAAGAGGUUUGGUGUGGUGUAGGGGUGGUGGGUGGGGGUUGAGGAAGGUGGUGGAGGAUAAGAAGGUUGUGGUAGUGGUGGGGUUGAAAGAUGAGAAGGGUUUGAGAGAGUUUGCUGUUACCGAAAGCAUGGUGGUGGUGGUGGUGGUGGUGGUGGUGGUGGUGGUGGGUUUUUGGAAAUUUGCAAACUUUGGAGGGAGGGAGGAGGUUUGUCCCUUAUCUCACCAGUGAUGCUGCUUCCGGAUGAGAGAGAGAGAGAGGAGAGGAGAGGAGAGAGGAGAGGAGAGAGAGAGUUUUUCACUUUCAGACUUCAGUUAUUCAGUUGAAGUUUUAUUGGGCUGGUCCAACAAGGACCAUCAUCAUUGGCCCAAAUUAACCCAUGCCCACUUCAGGGUCAGGGACAAUCUAAACCAAAAAUGAUCAACCAUGAAUACUGCCCAGCCUACUGAACAAAUCGGCCCAAUUCAACAACACCUUGCCCUUGCCUUUUUUUUUUGUAUUUUAAUCAGGUAAUGUUAUUGGCGCUUUACAAAUUUCAUUUUGCACUCUAAAAUUUAUAUAAUUAGAAAUAAAAAUACAAUUGUGAGAAGUGCAGAAUAAAAUUUUUAGAGUACUAAUAACAAUUCCCUUUAAUUAUUCAGUAUAAUUCACUAACUCUUGCGGACUCCCAAACCACCAGGACGUCUGACUAAGACCCACGAUGCGGGAUUACGAAGGGAUGUUGCGUUUUUGUUUUUUGUAGUUCUUGGCAUAGUCGCAUGUAUCUUCUCUGUUUACUUUUGUUUAUUAUCAAUAAAUUUGGUAGAAGAUCUGUACGGGUGGGUUGCCCCUCGCUGUUGCGUUCUAUUAGGUUAUGGAUUACAAGAACAAAUGUAGUUGUAUGAGACAUCGCGGUUAGAUGGGCGGGAGAUUUUUGGUUGUAGUGGUCCUCACCCUUCGGAAAAGCAUAAGUGCCUUGCACGUGGAUAUUGACAAAGAACUAAUAUCGCCUAAUUUUCAAAUACUUCUAGAGUUUCAAUCGAAGUUUGGUUGACCAACCUUCUUUUCAAUCACACACACAAUGAUAAUUAGUUCAAAGUAAUUAGCGAGUGAUUAUAUAAUAUAAUAGCCUGACCAGCUUUUGAAACACACAAAACAACUGCACCACCAAUCUUAGUUGCUAAUCUUGUAUUAAUUUAUUAUUAAGCAUGGGGACAUUUAUAUCUUAGUUAUAAUUCAGUCAAAUAAAAAUAUUAUAUGACUGAAUCAAACUUAAAACGCAACAUGUGAAACCAUAAUUAUUCGUCCUCAACAACUAGGUUAUCUCGUAAUUCUUUAUUUAUUUUUCUUUUGGAUGUUUGUUUUAUUUUGUAAGAUUUAAGGAUCACUUGAAUCUUCUUCUUUCAUUGAAAGUGACAAUGGGCUGGUUUCAUACAAUGCACCACAUGGCCUAUGUCUACGUGACGUUUUAAGCUGUAGUAUUGCCAAUUUAACAGACAACAAUGAUUUACAGCUGGAUAUUUAAAUAUUGUUUUAUUGUUUUUCAGUGGAAAUUCAUGUCUGGUUUGAUGUAGAUAUUUAUAUAUUUGUGCGUAUUUUUUGAAACAUAUUUGUGUGUAUAUACACAUACAUAGCUAUGGUUAUAUUGAAAAGAUUUGAAUUCUGAACUUACUUUACUUUUGUUCGUCAUCCUUUUCAAGUCUUUAAUUAAGAAGCUAACCCGUGGUGGCGUAUGUUCUUAAAGAGGGAGGCUUCAAGUGGAAUUAUCCUCUUUUUCUGUUUAAUACUUUAGCUGAGGAUGUAAACAUUUCAAUUAGAAUUUAAUAUUAUUUAUCUCUUUAAUACAAAAAAAAAAAAAAAACUACGAAGCUAAACCUAGCGACGUAUACAGCCAUACAAUAAAUGUCUUGUUCUCUACGUGUUAUGAAAUUAAACAUACAAUUAAGUAUGGCUAUUCCUAAGUAAAGAUAUUAGGGGACGUUUGUUGCGCUGGACUAUCUCGGACUGGACUAGCUUCAAGGACUAAGUUGGACUGGCUUAGACUAGACUAAGCUGGACUAACUUAGUGAAGCGU
rnacentral:lncRNA from 1 species